UUGUUUUGCUCUCCGGCAGAGGCACAUCUUCCUUCAUCACCAGCCAAACAACUACUUCCCCUGCGGGGCCUCCAUCACCUACCAGAUCUUUGUAGGCCUUGUUGGCCCACCUAACUCUGUUUAAACCGUCUGAUAUAAACCCUGGACAGGUGUCCUGCCCGAGAUUUACAAAUUUCUCCUCAUCUGUACGUCCUAACCCAUAUACUUCCACCCACGCGUCGGUUACGCUUUCCACUUUUACCCAUGACCCCACUACCCGUACUGGCUGAGGAAACAUCACUCUAGAACGAUCCAUACCAACUCCUCCUCCGUACCCCUGCAGCAACUGCAACUGACCAUUAAUAUCAUUAUUGUUGUUAUUAUUACUGACACGCCCUUGAUUACCACCAAAACUCAACCAGAUCGGAGCAUUCUUUUCGUUUUUCUUCACCAAAUGAUCCGUCGGAGAGUCCUCCUUCCUUUCCGGACUCUCCGACAAUAACGGCAGCGUCACUACGGUUUCACCACCAGACACCGUUUUACCACUAGAUUCAUUUUCUUCAGGUGAAGCCGCUUUCCUUUUCCUACCGGUACUAGUUCCGCUAUUGGAUUUCUUGUUAGAACUACUACUAUUACCAUUUUUAUUGUGAUCUUUAACGUACCUUCUCUUCCACCGUCCAGUACUUGGAGUAACCUCAGUCUUCUGCGGCGGAGUAGUAGCUCCGGAAACAGAACCACCGGCUGCCGGUUUCGGCGCAAUAGGUCUAUACCGCAGCAUUAUCCGGUCCACCUUUGACAUAUCGUACGCUCCCCCACCCCCCGCCGCGUACCUAGCUAUACAACACCCUCCUCUCCCAUCCAUUUCCUCUUAUUCUUAAGAGGAGAAGAAGAAUCUUUCGUAUUUUUGAUUGAUUUUAGGGAUUUUAAUUGUGAGGUUGAAUGAAAGCAAAGAGAAGUGAAGGUAUAGGAGGUGAAUUUAUAAGUGGGAAGAGAGAAGAAGGGACGCGUGUGAGGGUGGUGAAUAACACGUGGGAGAAGAGAGGUGAAACAGCGCAGAGAGGUGAUUGGUUAAAGAGUAUAACGUGGCGUUAUGUUAAGGUGAGCCCCACGUGAUUGAACCUAUAGGAUUGAGGUUUUGGGGUGGGGUCCACGUUGUAGCCAAUGAGAAUGAAGGGAGUGUUAUGGUGUGGUAUCAGUAGAGGGACACGUAGGUGUAGUAGGGUGUGUUGUGGGGUCGUGUGUGGUACAGGGUCUUCCAGAAGAAGAACACGUGGUCCAAUGGAUGGAGAAUCAAGUUGGACUCUGUAUAACGAUAGCACCACGUGGAUGGUUGAUUCUACUUGCAAAAUUUGUGGGUUCAAAGUUCUGAUACUUUGACGAGACCAUGGGACCAUUGUUUUUUCUUUUUAUAAUAUAUAUUACUCCAUCGCUUAUUAUUUAACCCAUUUUAAUUUGAACAGAGUUAACAAGAAAGAAGAAAAUAUAAUUAAAUCUUACGUUCUUCAUUUUUUUAAAAAAUAAUCCUUUUUUAUAUUACCUUUAUCUCAUUUUAUGUGUCACAUUUAAUUGAACACAAAGUUAAAAAAAUAAAUAACGAUUUUGUAAAAUUUAAAAAAUUGUCCCUUCUAAAGUUAUUUUAAUAUUUACUUUUUAGUUAUUUUUUUUUGUUAAAUGAAACCAACUAAGGAUAAAAUGAUAAUAAUAUCAUUAAAUAGUUACCAAAUAAAGAAAUAUGACAUUUUUUGAAAACGAACUAAAAAAAAUCACGACACAUAAAAUGAAACGAAAAAAGUCUAUGUUUAAAAGAGGAUUUUUUUUUUUUUUAGAUGGCGUAGAGCCGAUAUUGAGAUGUCAAUGGGAGUUCUUGAGAAAUUAAAGAUCAAUCUAUCAUUCUUAGAGUAACUAGCAAUACAUAAUUUAAAUUUUUUUAUGUAACAUGUUUAGGAUCAAAAGUUUAAAGAAUACUUUUUGUACAUGUAAUUACAUAACUUUUAUUUAAGAACAUAAAAUUAAAUUUUUUUUCUUAAAUUUUGUAGCAAGUCAAAACAUGUUAAUCUUUUUAAAAAGAUUGAAGUAUAUUAGAUAAUAUGUCAAGUGUAUGAAAAUGUUUUUUAAUUAAUUCUCUCUCAUCUUAAAUCACUUGACAUAUUUGUUAUAAAAAAAAUUUAUCUCAAAAUAGUUGGCAUCAGGCCUAUUUGGCCAUGAAAAUCAUAAUUUUUUUGAGUUAAAGUUGAAGUUGAAGAUGAAGUUUGAGUUAGAGUUGUGUUUAGCCAUGAGUAUGAAUUAAAGUUGCUUUUGAAAUUUUGUGAGAGAAGAUGAGUAAAGAAAGUGAAAAUGUUAUAAAUGUAUUUACAUUAUAGUGAAUGUGUAUCAAGAUCUAUUAAGAUCUACUUUGAUCUCUAUUAAGAUUUAAAGCAUCUAUCUUUUACUCAAAUUAGGAGUAAAUUUUUCCUAUAAAUAGAGGGAUUUUGUUCAUUAUAUUUACAAUCUGAUAUCUCUCAUCCCUCAAAAAAAAAAUAACAAUUACUCUCUCUAUUCUUCUUCUUUAUUCUUUUUUUGCUUUAUUACAAAAAACAAGUAAAACUUGUUUUUACUUUUCAAAAUAAAAUUUGAAAUUUUCUUGACCAAACACAUCUUUUUUUUUUUUUUUUUUUUUUAUGAAAGUAAAAUAUUUUUUCGAAAAUAUGUGAAUAGUUUUCAUUGCCAAGCGGCUACUAAAAAUUCAAUAGAUAAAUAUUUUUUUUUUCACUAUAUCCAUGUUAAUCUAGAAAGAUUAAUCUACUCUCAAACUGGAGUAUUCAAGAUUAAAAAAAACAUGUUAGUCAAUUUGACGUUCUUAUUAAUUUCUCCUUUAGCAAUCAUUAAGGAUCGUUCAAUACGAGGUAUAAGAUAUAAUAGUUUCUAAAUAAAAUAUAAAAUUAUCCUUGUAUUUAUUUGAAGGUAUAAGCUAGUUUCAAUAUUAUUUAUUCGGUAGUUUGUUCUCAAUCAAAUUAUAUCUAAAAAUUAUGUAAAAAAUAAAUAUAUCAAGUAAUUUGAAAUAGAAAAAAUCACCCUAAAUAUAUAAUGUAUAAAAAUAAAAUUAAAUAAUUAUUAAAUUUUUUAUUUUUUUUUUAGUGAAUUGAGAAGAAAUUUAUGCUAAACAAUUUUAAAUGAAGAGAAUAUUAUUUUUUUAAUGGUGUCCAGUGUAUGUGUUGGGACUCUAAAAAAUCCAAAUCGAUGCAUUGCAGGUUCUAUUUUUAGACAGAAUGCUUUUAACAGAAUUUUUCAUUUCCAACUAAUCGAAUUAAAAAUGGAGUGAUUCUAAGUAUCUCACAAUAAUCGGUAUUUGUCAUCUACCGUUGUUAAGAAAAAAACCCUUACAUCAUUAAAGUGCGUACAUUAUUGGUGUAAAUAAUUAGGUGCAUUUUUGAAUAAUUAAACAAUAUUUCUCGAUAAAUGUCUUUAAUUUAAAUUUGUAAUUUAAAAACAAACUAAAUUAUCCGUUACAUCCAUCACAUACAAGUACUAUUAUUUGUACUUGGGGCCGGGUUGUUCGUUCGAGAACAAAGUUAUUUUAGUAGUAUUAUAACGACAAGAUUACAAGAUGAGGUUCGAUAGUGGAUAUUUUCAUUUAGUAAAUUUUUGAUUUGUUGAAUAAAAAAUGAAUAUGCAUGAUAUAAUAAAAAAUAUAUAUUUUGUUUAAAUUGAAUAAAUAUCGAUAAUCUUUUUCUCAUUCUAAUCAAGUUUUUCUUUUAUUUAUUUAUGUUUUGGGGAAAAAGCUUUGAAGAAGGAAAGGUUUGUUGUUUUGUAUUCGAAUGUUAAUAAUUUCAAGAUUGUUCUCUAGCAUAUAGUAUGGCUUCAAAUUCACAUAUGACAUGCAUGUAUUAGCAUUGGUGCAUAUAUUGGGCGUGAAUAAUUUUUUUAUCCUACAUUAUAUGAAAUUAUUAAUCUCUCAAUAAGAAUAAUAUCACAUUCUUACAAUAUAAACAACCUAGAGGUUCCAACUCUUAAAUAAGAAAUUAUAUUUUCUUAUUUCACUGACCAAACGUCCCACUAGGAAACUGUGAUUUGUACCCAACAAAAAAAAUAAAAUUAAUUAUUGUAUUUUUUAAACAAUUUUAGGAAUAGUAGUGAAAUUACAAUUCAGUUUCUAUGUUUGUUUCAAAUUUAAAACAAUGAACUGAUAAUAGCGGUGAUCAAUAUGGCUUGCUUCUACUGAAACACACUGAAUAUUUGAUUUUCUUUUGAGUAUUGAAUUGACAAGACAAGGGACAAACAGACAAUGUUAAAUCCUAGCGUAGAUCUUUGGCACAUUACUUAAAUAUAUAUAUGAUGUGACCUACCAUCAAACCAUAUUAUUCAUUUCUCCUCUUUACAAAAAGGUGAACAUAAAUUGAAGACAUUCACAAUACUAUUUUGAGCUUUUAACAUUUUUCUCAAUAAACUCAAAAUUCUUCAUGAUAUGUAUUAUUAUGAGGAGUUUUAUUUGAUAGGUUAGUUGAACUAAUGCGAAUGAAUUUAAGUUUUGUCAUUCAGAAACACAAGAUGUAGAGUUAUUGCACAUUCUGUUAAGUUUUUUUUUAAUCAUAAAAAGGAAGAAUUUUCGCUAUUGCUGCUAUAUAAUUGUAAUACUACUAGGAAUAAUUACCCCACUUUGUGGGAAUACACUGAUGUUGUUGUUGUACUACUAGAAAUAAUUAAUACCCAUCGUAGCGAUAUAUCGUUGCUUAACAGUACUUGUUCUCUUAAUUCAUUUUGUACGAAUAUUUUCUUAUUCUUAUUCUUUUAUUCUAUAUUAAAAAAAUUCCAACAUUUCUUGCUCGAUUAGCUUCAAUUUCUGUAUUUUCUCUCACUUUUUUUUUUUUUUUUACAGUAUAUUAAUGAGAACGGAAAAGGUAAAAGAUUACAUGUGUGAAAUUCUUAACAUCCUUCAUUUAAUUGAUUGUAGUGAAGAUAAUUUUUAUAUUUUUAGCUGUUGAUGUACUAAAGCUCCUCUGUUCUUUAUCUUAACUGAUGUAUUAGUAACGACGAAUUAAUUAAUAAUUAAGUCAUAAUACUACACAGAUAUUGUGGUUGGUAAUUUAGAUUUUAGCAUGUAUACCCAACAUCCCAGAUCAAUGGUUUUUUAUUACUAUACUUUAUAUUCAUAUAUAGAAAAAAGGAUCUAUGUACAAGUUGUGGACAAGGACAUUUACCAAAUCAUGUGAAUAAUAUCUGUUUUCCAGAAUUGUCAAAAAUAUUAUUACUACAUACAAAAUGAAUACGUGUUGGUUGGUAGGAAGAUACAGAUAUAAAACUUCGUCAUCAGUCAAAUGGCAUGAGGUGUUAGAUGUUCCCAUGACUAUAUGCAAUUGAUCUUCAUCAUCCAAAAUCUACAAUCAUUCACAUAUAUUUAUCUUAUUAUUUUUGUGUAUCUAUGUCAUAAAAAAAUAUUUUAGAUAUAUUGGAUUAUAUUACUGUAUAAUUUUAAACUAAAAGUAUGAUUUUGCAAACAUUUUUUUAUAUAUUUUCGUUUCAUUUGAUGCGCCUUAUUGAGCGAUUUCAAAUUUAUGAAAGUGAGAUUUAUGAAUUUUUGAUCUUACAUUAAUAACUAGUAAGGUUGACGUUAUGUGACCAUGAUGUCACAGGCAGACAUCGUGGGCACAGCCUAGCGGAAAUGUAAUGUGGUACUGUGUACAAUACACUCUUGAGGUCCCCUUUAAUUUGCAUGCAAUAGACUCUUGAGGUCCUCAAACCCUACGUACAAUGUGAGCUUUAUUGCAUUGAAUAAUUUUUUAUUUUUUGAACAUUAAAUUGGAAUAAUUACUUUUUAUGCCAUUUGUAAAGAGAAAUACAGUACCAACUAUUAUUUUGCAUGAAUAAGAGAACAUUAUGUUACGAACCAUAGACGAGCGAGUUGAUUGGACCAAUUAACAACUAAUAUUAUUUCCUUUUUAAAGAAAUAAUAAUGGUGUUUGUUUUUUCAGAGAGGAAAAUGAUUUGAUGCUAAUGUAGUACUAACAAUCCUUAUAAAAAUGUUUCCAGUGAAGAGCUUACAGCAAAUUAAGGAUUAGAUUCUUCUUUAACAGCACAUAAAAUUAAAGUUGUAGUAAACCUAAAGAAGAAGAAGCAGUACACUUGAUGAUUUAGAUGAUUGCUGCGCCGAAUUUGAGUUACUUUAUGUUAAGUAACUUCAAUUUUUUGGAUAAUUCCAUUAUCCACCAUUUGUGAUAAUCACACGGGGGAAAAAAAAAAGAACAACCACAUGGACUUUAUUUUGGUGCGUUACGUUGCUUGAUAGACUACAAGUACUUUUCGCCGUUUUUCUGCAAUUUACGAGCAGGAUAAUAGGCGUGUUAAUUUGAUAGGACGAAAAAACAAUUUGUGCUUUUUCUUUUUUAAAAGUGAGUUUUAAUUGUUUUAUAAUGUUUUUAUAAAUAAAUAUUUUUUUAAAAAAAUUUAUAUAUAAUUUAGUAAAAUAUUAUGAGGGUGGGGAUUCGAGGAUGACGGGGUGAGGUGAUGGUUAAGAGAUGAGAUCGAUUGGGUAUAUUGAGAUUUGUGGGUAGUGGUGGAUCUAAAAAUUUUGAGAACAGUGUACCUAAGGGUCAGUGGCGGAGCUAGAAUUUUUACUGAAGGGGUUCAGAAGUAAAUAUACGGACUAGUCGAAGGAGGUUCAAUACUAUAUAUACAUAAAAAAAGUUUUGAUCAUAUAAAAAUAGUAUAAUUUUCCGAUGAAAGGGGUUCGGAUGAACUCCUGAAAUGUAUGUGGCUCCGCCACUAAUAAGGGUGUGAAAAAUUAAACAACACAUUCAUAACAUGGCCUACUUAUGUACUCCGAAUCAUUUUUUAGCGAAAGGUGUGCCUUAGAAUACCCUUGGCCUAAGGUGGCUCUACCCAUGUAUUGUGGUUCAGGAGGCAACUGUUAGGAUUGAAACAAUCAGGUAUUAUGCGAGAACUAACAAACCAAACCUCGAAAGAUGAUAAAUGAGAAGACAAAGGAGAAAUAUUCAAAGAGACACAAUAAUUUAAUGUGAUUCGUCAAAUGACCUAUAUUGACAAAAAAGAGAUAACAAUCCAUUAUAGUAUAAAAAAAAUACAAAAUAUCGAGAGAAGUAAUAAAUUUUUUUGUCCAUUUCCAAGAGCUUAGUUUUAGUGAAAAAAUUAUUUUCAUCAAUCAAACAUGAAAAGAAUUAGAAACCAAAUACAUCCAAUCGGCGCUACUUGAAUAAACAUGAAAGGCCAAAAAUAGCUAUUCCAAUAUAUGAAAAUUUUAAACAAUUGCUCUCUCUCAAAAGGAAUGAACAGAUUCGAUGUAUCAUAUAAUGCAUUUGGAGCAAUUUCGAAAAUGUAAGUUAAUUUUUAUAUAUAUAAACGAUUUUCUAUUGUGAAAAUAAAAUUUCGAUAAAAAUGUAUAUUCUGGAACUAAAAAGGACAAUGUCCUAAGAGUUUCACUUCUACAAGUCCAAACUUUCAUGAGUUUUUCUUGAGUUUGAACAACGUAAGUCAAAUUGCAAUAGCAUUUCCUUGGAGUCUUUGUAUUUUAAAUAACGCUGAAGUUAUAAAACUUUUCGUACUUCAAUAUAGUAAUAUUACUAUAUUAUGGUCUAAAUGAUAUUUUUGCAUUACAAAUAGUUCAAGUUAAAUUAAUAAAUUUAAACUUGUUGUUAACAUUAUUUGAUGAAUGAUUCAAAAAGUGAUGGUUUGUGCAUUUGUUCCAAAUAAUACAAGUAGUAGAAGAGUCUGGAAAAGGGAAGCAGGCAAUGGAAUCCAACGAGAAAAAGAUGUGUUAAAAGAGUAUUGAAAUGUGGUAGUUGGUCUAUGGAUGAGCAAUAUUUUCAACAAUUUAGUACAAGCAUAUAUAAUGUAAUGCAUCAUCAUGUGUGGUCCUAGUACAAGGUGAACUAUUGUUAUUGGACAAAUUGUACUUCAAGUCUUCAACUCAAUGAGAUUAGCAGUUUGAAUAAAUGGAUAUAAUAAUGGUUGUGGGUGAAAAAGUAACAGUAACUAAUUUGCUAAUUGCAAAUUUGUAAUUGCUUUAAUUCUCAGUUUGAAAAUUUCCAAAAGGAGGAUUCCCUUUCGUAAGACUUCACUAACCAACUCAAGUGAGUUUGAUGACUAAUACUAUUUUUGCUCUUUUUAGUUAUAGAUUAAUAUACACUCAUAUCAGAAACAUACCUAAUUAAAGACUUAACAUUUUUGAGUUUUGAAUUUGAACUUUGAAGUUAAAAAGUUUUUUUUUUUUUUGGGAAAUUUAUUAAAUGUACAUAUUUAAUAAAUAAUAAUAUAUACAAGCAUUUAGAUCAUAAUUAAUAAGUUAUGUCAAAUUUCUACUUCCAAUUUUCAUAAUUUAGCUCUGCCUUUAUCGACACACGAAUACUCAUUAACACUAUCAACGUACUUUUUUUUUUGGUUUUCCAUCCAGUGUUCGAUGUUUGGUGCCCGCAUUGGAGCCUCGACUAAUCCGGAUCGCACGUUGCAGGGCCCAUUAAGGUGGCAGCACUCCCAACAGAGUUUUCUCCAUACCCAGGGUGGAACCCUCGAGCUCUGGUUAAGGGCGGAGCAGCUCCAUCCACUGCACCACAAUCCAUAUUGGUUCAACGUACUUAAUUUAUUGUAACUUGCUACUUUAUUUUUAAGUUAAUGGUCAAAACAUACCUAAAUUAUUCGUGAUAGUUUAGAUAGAAAAUUCGUACAUCUGAUAUUUCAUGUAUAAAACGCAAAAAAUCAAGACAUUUUUGAUGUUUUUCACCCUCCACACUUUCAUUUUUCGACAACACUGUGGCUUUCAUGGGCGACUAGACGAUGUAGUUGCUAGUCAAUUAACUUGAUAAAUGAUAAUUAAUUAGUUCAUAUUCACAUCAAAUAUUAGUUAAUUUAAUCUUCAUAAUUCGAAUCAAAUCACAUAAAUUAAAAUAAAAUAUAUAUAAAAAAAAAAAAUUAAUUUCAAAAUUACUAAUGCUGAGAAAUAACGCGCGGGCAAUAGUGUGGAGGCAUAUUUAGUAGUUGAGAAGUGAAAACAGCUCUGAACCAUCCUUUAGUUGUGCUGCGGCUGUUUGGUGUUCAAAUGUUCAUAUGGUUUUAUGGAUAUGAAGAGCCAAAUUAAACUUUUAACUAGAAAGUUAUGUAUGUGCAGAUGGACCAAUUAAUGGUUAGAGUUGGAUAUAUGAACAAAUUAAAGGAUACUUAAUCUUUAUCAUAUAUUAUAUAUGCUGUCUUAUCAAACCUCUCUUUAUGUGACAAGUGCCUCAUUUUCAUAAAUUGGUCUGACUCUCAGCUAUAUUCUAGUUUCUAGUACGAACCAACCAACUAAAAUGAUGUGAAAAUCAACCAGUUGAUAGGAAGAAAAGUGGCUCCACUAAUUUGAGUAUUCCCUCUUCGGUAUUAAUUACCAAGAUUACUAAAUUUUAAAAGUUCAAACAUAUUAUUAUUAAUUAGUUCAUAUUAGUAUAAUGUUUAAAUCUCCAUAAGGUUAGCGUAGCUUUGUUUUAAGAUAGAGUGCAUAGUUAGCUAAGAGAGGUAAGGUUAAAGUAGUAUUAAUAAAUAAAAAUUUGUUUUCUUUAUGACUUUUUUAUCGAGUGUAAAAGAGAAACAUAACAAUUAACAUGGAAUGAACAGAUUUUGAAUAUUUUUUACAACUAAUAUUCUUGUAUAGAGACAUCUUUUCAACAGUGACAAAGAUAAAAUUUAUAUAAAAUUAUAACUCAAAAUUUGUGCGGAUUAAAAAAAAAACAAACGAAAUUGGAGCUGGAAUAAUGUAGAGUUGGCCUCGCUAACAAGUUAGAUUGCCAAAUAUACUGUGUAUCAGUUAGUGAAAAAAUAUCAUAUAGUUUGGUCCUAACCUAUCAUAACCUAUAAAACAUGGCACAUGAAAUUAAUUAUUUUUUUCAUAUUAAUUUAUAUGAUGUAUUUUUAUUAACCACAAAGUUCAAGAAAGAUGAACCCUUUAAAAAUUGUUACUUCCUCUGUUCCAUUUUAGUUGGAUACAUUACAUGAUGAUUAAACAAUCAUAAAUUGAAUAAUAAAAUUUUUACCCGUUACCCAUAUUAAAGAUAUCCAUUGAGCAUUAGAAUGGACAUUGAAAUUGUUAUUAUUAACACAGUAAACUAUUAGUUGUAGGAGUGAAAUGAAAAAAAAAAAUAUUAAUUAUAUUCUGAUUUAAGAAAUUAUCAACUAAUAUGAGAUAUUUAUAUUUAGUAAGAUAACCAACCAAAUUGAGACAAAAAAAGUAUUAAAUAAGUCUUAAUUAUUUAUGCGAUAUAAAUUACUCGUUGCAUUUAUAAAUUAUUAUUUGUCUAAAACAGACUAAAAAGGAGAGUUUAUCACAUGCUCGGAGAUAAAUAACGUAUAUCUUUCAACACGAACAAGCUGUUGACACUUGGCAGUAGAGAUGUGGAGGAAUGCACAUAGACUAAGCCAUUUAAUUUGAGUUUAUUUGCCCCUAAUUCACAUGUCUUCAAUUAAUUAACGGCGCAAAUAGUCAAUAGAGAAAACGAAAGGGGGUUAAUGAGUAAGAGCUAUGAUUGACAAAAAUGGAGUUAAAUUAUCAAAACAAAAUCUUGCUUACACACAUAUCUAAGUGGUAGGCAGGAUUCUAUGAAAGCUACUCUUUUACUUAUUAAUUAGAGAUCAAUUCACAAUCACUAUUUUUAAUUUUGGGUUACCACUUAUCCACGUUGCGUAAGGGACCAGUAAUUGUGUUUCUCAAUAUCAUUCAUUACAUUCACUGAACUAAUUGUGAACUACAUUUACUUGUUUCUCCUCAACCAAUAUUGCUCCAUUACUGUUAUUUGUUUCGAGUCGAGGAUUUGUUAAAAACAGUAAAUCUCUCUACUUCGUCUGAGGUAGUGGUAUGGACUGUAUAUACUUUAUCCUCUUCAGACCUUACUUUAUGAAAAUACACUGAAUAUGUUGUGGUUAUUAUAGAUAAUACUCCAUUAGUGAUCUAGAAGAAUAAACUUGCUGGGAUUAAAAUAUUGGAGUGUACUUCUUCACGUAUUAUCUUUUGCUUCCUUUAUUGCAUCCCCCUAAAUGUUCAUCCCAGCAAACCGAAUGUUAAUUUUCGUACAAAAAAUAAAGAGCAAAAGAUAAAGAAAACAAUUAUAGAAUAAGUAAACUACGGGCCCAUUUGGUCAGGAAAAUUACUAAAUUUUCAAACAAUAAUCUUUCUUUAUAAAGUGAAAACGAUAUAAAUGCAAAUUGAAAUCAUGAAUAUAAAUUGAAGUUAUUUUGAACGUUUGUGAAUGACAUGGAGUGAAAAAAGGUAAAAACAACUCCAAAAAAAUUUAUAAAAAUCCUAACUAAACGUAAUUUUUGAUAUUCAAAAACAUUUUAAAAUAUUCAUGACCCAACGGCCAGUAUAUAAUAUUGAUAUUUGGCGUCGUGAUUAGGGUUUUGAGGGUACUUUCAAAACUAAAUCAAUAUAAUAUAAAAAUGGUUAUAUUUAAUGGAUUUGCUGGUUGAAGCCGAUUGGCACCCGUAAUAAAGUGAUUACGACUCGAGUAGCUUUCAGUCAGACAGGACUAUCUAUGGGAUUUUUAUUUAUAUAUACUGAAGUGAAGUACAGUACAUUUUUUUACACAUUCAAUAUAUUAUAUUAUCUAAUAUAAUAUACUAGAAUUUAUGCGUAUGAUUUUUAUUGGCUGAUAUAUCAUUGAAAUGUUAUGCUUUAAUUACAAGCAAUUUGAUAGUAUAAAUAUAUACUCCUAGAUUUUUUGCACAGUUCGAUAUAUUUGCGCCCGUGAAGUAUGUUAUCUUAUUUAAUACGAAUACGCCAAGCACCAUCUUUGAUUUACUGUUAACAUGGAUAAAGCACAACCACCAAGAAUUGUAGUGGAAAAAAUGAAAUCCCUCAGUAUUAAUUAGUGAUUUUAGGUUCGAGCGGAUAUCAAAUAUCGAAUAAAAAAGUUGCAGACUAAGGGAUCCUAAUAAUGUUAUUCACGUUUAGUCUUAAGGGGUUUUGGUUGGGAAAGGGUUAUUUCGAGAUUAAUUAUCCCACCAUGUAUUUGGGUGAGAUUAUUUAUUCCAUCACUAUGGUGUAAAUGGUGGGAUAAAUAUUAAUCUCGACUAUAACUAAUACUUCAAAUCAAAUAUGAAAUAAAGUAAUAUUUUAUUUUAUCGCGGGACUAUUUAACCCUAUACCUCACACCAAACGACCCCUUAAUAGUGUUAUUCACGUUUUGCUUUUUCAUAGGGGAAGGGAACGGUGUAUAUAAAACGAAAAAAAUAUUGUGGUGAAAAUCAAGUCGUCCACGAAUAAAAAGUAUUUGGUUCCUAAUAUUGUCAAGUUCACAGGACAGGUGGAAAAUUGAAAUCCCAAACUAUAUCUGCCAGAUCAAAUGUCAAAAUACAUACAUUUUAGGUAAAUAUAAGCAUCGCUAAUACAAUUCUUUGGCAUUAUCUUUUUUUUUUUUUCCUUGGCGUAUAUAUCACAACCCUUUAAAAGAAAAAAAUUACAGAAAUGCAACCAUGUUUAAAAUGGUUUGAGAAUGCCAUUUUUAAGGAUAUCUUGUUUUUCCAUAUAUGCAUGUUGAUGUACCUACAUUUUUUUCCAAAGUAUAUAAUUACUUGGAUGAUGAUGAAAAAAAAUUUCUACUUUUAGCAUUGGGAUAUUCCCAGUACCUACCUGCAAGAUUGUCUAUACUAAUAAUUUAAUGUUAGUUUUUUUUAAUAUAGUUCUAGACGAUUAUGGGUAGAAUCAUCACUAAUUAAGAGAAACAUAAUCCUCAAUUUUGAAAAAGACAUUUAUGAUCAUUGUAUCUUAAUAUGUCAUAUAGUCUUACAAAGCUAGCUAAUGUCCUCUGAGAGUGAGACAUAUAUAAUUUUAUAUUUUGAUUAUGAUCAUAGAUUUUCAGAAAUUAAGUUUUAGUGUAGAAGAAGAGAAAUUUCGUCCUUGCCUAUAACUAUAAGUGACGUUCUUCAAUAAAUAAUACUAACUGACCUAUGUUUGUGUAAUUAUUAAUGCAAUCGAGAAAUUUUAAUUUUGCAUUAGGAGUAUAUCUUAUAUACUUUUCGAUUCUUUGUUUAAACGUAAUAAGAAAUCUACUUUUAUAGAUUAAAGGAAAUGGAUCAAUUUUUCUUAUCUACAUUUCUACUUGCAUUAUUAAAAUAUAAUCAAAUUUCUACUCUUAUUUCAAUUAUCAUGUUAUAGCAAAAUUGGAUAUAAAAUUAGGGAGAGGAAGUACAAUAAUUCUGGAUUUCAUUUGAGGAACAAUAUCUUAUUCCCUUCCCCACAUAGAGGGUGCUAACUCUUUAAUCUUGGUUCGUUAGAAUAUAUAUAUGAAUAUAUGUGUGUGUGUAAAGUAAUAAACAUGACAUGACAUACUAUACCUAUAUAGCAAAGUCAAAAAUUUUAACAAGGGAAUUCAAAAUACUACAACUUUGAAAGUAAUUGGUUGUGUUCAUUAUAAGAGGAUCUUCAACAAUUUGUAAAAAUUAGCACCAAAUGCUUUACUACACAAGCUUGGUUGAGCAGAGGAAGAGCUAAUAUGAGAAGUACUCACAGUAGAAUUCAGUAACUUUUGUUUCAUUAUUAUACUUUAUAUUCAAUAACCCAUUACCGAAAUUUACUGAAUUGGUGUAUAAUAUAAAUCGUAGAAUUCAUAAAUUUAAAUUUAAAACUGAUAAAUUUUAAAUUACAAAGGCAUGCCCUCAUCUUCUUUCUUUUGUCCUGUAUAGUACUCCCUUCAUUUCUUAUUAUUCGCUCCUUUUUCUUCUUUUUUUUUUUCCAAAGUUUCGUCAUUUUAUAUUCAUGCAUCUUUAUCAUUUUGCAAUUUUAUAAAUACUUGUUUUAGGGUUUAAAAGGACGGCCAGAGUCGAAGUGUAACAUUGAUUAUGUCCCUCCUCCUUACAUUAAUUAUAACAGUUCUUAUUAUUAUAUUUAUAAGUUGUAUUUAAAAAUGAAUUUAUUCUCCUUGGCUUGCUAAAAGUAGAUAGCAAUCUGGAAAAGUCGUAGAUUUGGAUAAUGGAAUACCAAUUAGAACACAACACAUAAAAGCAAAUGUAAUGAUGGAAAGGAUUAUUAUGUCUAUAAAUAAAUUAGUAGUGCAUGUUUAGCUUAAGUUGGAAAGAAGAAUUAAUGAGUUGACACGUGUUGACGUGGGUACCAUAGGAAAGUGGACUGUUGCUGGAUUAGGUUUAUUCAACUUUCAAAGUCUUACUCCAACUCCAAGGAAUCAAAUACUAAAUUCGUUAGAAUAUUUGCAGCUUUUAGGGCGACAAAAUCUUAAAGUAAAAGAUACUUUUGAUGACUAAUCAAAACUUCUUCCAACCAAAAUUCGACACAUCCCUUUACUAUAAUAAUACUACGUCCUUUUCAAUUUAUGUGGUAGUUCUCUCUCCAUCCAUCUAAUUUAUUUGUCCUUUACUUAAAAUUAUAUAUUUAUGUAAUGAAUAGCACGAUAUAUAUUCCCAAAAUGAGCUACUUCAUGUAUUUUAUUUCAAUUAAAUAUGAUAUAAGUUCAACUUAAAAUUAAUCAUAAAAAUAAUUAUUUUUUAUUUCUUAUACAAAACGAGCAAUAAAUUUAUUAUAUUUAAAAAAUAAAAUAAUAAAAUUCUUUAUAUUAUUUUCUGUUAAAUUAAUAUUAAAAAAAUAAAAAUAGACGGAGAAAGUAAUCUGAUCAAGUUUGAGAGAAGUUAAAAAUACAUCAAGAAUUGAGUUAUUUGGCCAAACUAUUGUAAGAAAAAAAUAAAGACUUUUGAGUAGUAACUGACAAAAGCUUUAUUUCAAAUUAAAGAUGAUAAAAAAAAUAUUUUUUCAAGUAUAUUUAAAACUUUAACCAAACUCAAAUUAUUGUUCCUAUAUUAGAUAAAACUAAUAAGAACAAACAAGUUUCUAUAUGUAAUUAAGGACUUCUAACUAGUAUAAAAUUUCUAUUUAUGAUGGAAUCAGAUUAUGUCACACAGAUGAUAUUUACUUUUAUUUUAGCUACAAGAUGCCGCUUUGAACGAAACAACUCCAGGUUUUAUGGGAAAUAGGGAAUACGCAUUUACUCUUUCUUAUUUCCUUAAUAUAAUGUAGCUUGUUUGUUACUCUUCUUGAUUACUACUCCCUUCGUUUCACAAUAAAUAACUUGUUAAAGUAAUUUUAGUGUGUUUACAAUUCAAGACAAAUGUUAGAAAUUUUUCUAAAUUUACCCUUCAUUAAAUGUGCAUUGGGAGUAAUGUAUCAUGUGUCUUUAUUUUUUUAAAAGGGUAAAAUUGAAAAAACAUGAUAAAUUUAUGUCUUUGCUUUUUUUUCUUAACAUGUGUGUCACAAUUCAACAAUUAACUUAUUAUGCAACGGAGAGAGUAUUAGUUUUGACUUUGCAUGGAGUUUAUAAAAUAAAGAAAGUUUUUUGAAAUUUAUUUUUUAUAAUAAAUCAUAAAUAUUUAGGUGCUAUAAAACAUUUAGCAAAAUAGACAUCUGAUAGUUAAAUUAUUACUAGUAAAUAUGAAUUUAUGUCACACUCACUUAAUAAAAAGAAACGCGAGUCACAUAAAUUGAAACAUAUGAGGUUAUAGUUUUUACCAUAUCUGGAGAUCCAUUUAGCUAUAAAAAAAAAUUAUUCAAUUUUUUUUUAAAUAUAUAUAUUUGAAAUUAGUGAUUCUCAUCAAAAUUUCAAACUCAAAGUGAAAUUGUAUUUAAGUAAAUUCAUUAUUCUAAAUAUUUCUUUAACCAAAUACUUUUUUUUUUUAAUUUAAGAACCAAACAGAAUUCUAUAAAUUUCAAAUGAAAUAAAAAGUAUUUGGAAUCUAUGGCCAAACACCCACCAAGUGCGUGAAUGCUAACAUUUUUUUUUCCUGUGAAACGAAAAGUACUUUCACUUUAUUUUCUUCGUUCAGUAGGAAUAAAACUAAAAAAAGGAACUGCUUGAAAUAUUUUUAAAUGAUGACCAUAUCCAUUAUAAUUGUUUAACAAGAGGUUCAACGCAGAAUUUAUUCUCUCUACUAUUCCCUCGUCACAAAAUACAAUAAAUGAAACAUGACAACUAUUCACCUAUACCCUUAUUGUUUUUUGGGAUAAUAAUUUCAACGUAAAAUUUGUAUAAAUAAGAAAAAGAAAAUCUUCACAUAAUUAUAUAUUAUUAAAUUCCAUAUUUUGUUAAUUCCCACCUGAGCUAUAUUUAUUAUUCAUUAAAUAAACAAUCCUCGAAUUAUAUAAUAUCUAUAUAUAAUUAGCUCGCGAAGCAAACAACCUCUCAUCAAAUUGAACACACUGUGUCGGAAUUUAAAAAAUUGAAACUUUAUAAUAAACGUUUUUGUGUACUUUCUAUAACAUACUCCUACUUAAUUAUUUUAUACAUUUACAAGAAGAAAUAGAGCAUUUAGGUAAUAAUCACAAACACGAAAAGUUCUAAUUAAAGGAGAGUUAGGAGAUGUAUAACUUGUUUUCUUAAGUGAUUUUUGUCAGAUAUUUGCAUGCAAGGCAUAUUCAAUAAAAAAAGAGAGAAAAAAAAUAGUGUAUACCACAGUGAUUCAUCCACCAUAAUAAUGAUCGAGAAAAUGUAUAUUUUUUGAAUAUCAAUUUAGAAUAUACUAAUUUUAUACAAAAUUAUAUAUAUAUAUAUAUAUAUUUUUAUUAUAUUUAACUAGAGAAUGUAAUUAUUUUCGUGUAACUUGGCCUAUUUCAAUUUCAACCCGGUGUUAACGAAAUAAGCAACUCAAGUUUGGGGCUUAUCCGAAGUUCAUCACAGGCCCGAAACUACCAAAUUAUUAAUGGGCUUGCUCUAUGUAUAUUCCGUAUACCAAAAUGGGACAAUUUGGGGGGAAUUGAAAUUUAUGUUAUUUAUACAUUGUAUAUUUCUUGUUUGAUCCAUAAGAAAAUUUAGUGAAACAUAGAAAAUAUUUUCUAUUUAGUUGGUCCAUAUACUCAUGAAAAUAUACAAAAGAAGAUUUGAUUAGUUUGAUUUAGCAACUAGGAAAAUUAUAAAAGACAAAUAGGCAAAUGAAAAACGAUUAUCAGCCGAACGGGUUAAAUUAUGAUUUGUUGUUUAGUUUGUUUACUGUGCUUCACUAUAUAGACUUGCUAUAUUUUCGUCACUAUUUCCUUCUUCCUUGUAUUUGAAUCUCCUGCAAUCUAUCCUCUCUGGACUUCACUUGUAGAAUUUCACUAGGUAUGUUGUUAUUGUCGUUUAGUUCAGCUUUAUCCAUUUCGAUCCAAUUAAGUAUUGAUGGGACAAUAAGUAACAUGUUUGUUGCUUCAGUGAUUCGACCCCUUUCACAAGCCAAAUAAAGUCGAACCCAUUUAUUUGACACCCUUACCUUAAGCACCCUUCAAUUUUUUGUUUGGAGUGCUAGCGCAAAUAUAUUGAUUUUUGGGACCCCAAUUCAAGCCAUAAACAAAGUUUAUAAAUUGAACUAUUUGUUUUUUUCUCAUCAAUCCCCACCUUCGGUGAGCAGAGAAACUCCAUGAUCAAUUUCCUAAAUUUAGUGCGCUGACCGAGGAACAGGGGAUUAAUCUGAUGGCUGCCGGCCAUGGGAUGUCUUGGGAAACAAAAAAAAAAAAACUCAAUCCCUUAGAUGUAAAUUUAACUAUUUCAAAAUGAACUUUUAACCACAUCAAAAAAUUAUAAAUUUUAAUUAAAAUUUGACAUAGUUCUUGUGGAAUCAUAUUUUAGCACUAUGUCCAAAGGUGGUGUUGUCAAAAAUUGAGACAUAUAUGAGUGAAGCAUACAUUGUUGACCUUCAUUCCCCUAGACAUACACUACAAUUAACAUCGAAAUAGUUAUUAAUCUCCACUUCCUUCAAUACACACUUCAAUUUCAUCACCCUCUACAAUUUUUUUAUUUUUCAUGGAAACUAAACACUUUGUUUUACAGCCUUAAAGAAGCAAGAAAAAAGAAAAGAGUCAUGAACGAGCCUGGACCAGUAUUAUUGACAAACCGACCCAAUAUCAAAUUAAGGCUAUUUAAUGUUUGAUAAAUAAAUAGCAAAAUGGAUUUCAAAACGCAAUUAAACUUCCUGCACCUUUUGGUCUUAUAAAAAAAAUGCUCCCAAGCUAUAUGCAGAUGAUUCGGAUUGAAUGUGUCGAAAAUAUUGCAGACAUAGUUAGUGUUUGAUGAAAGUCUGCAGCGAAAAGAGUUGGAGCUACAAUGCCAAUUCACACAUUGGAAGCAAUGUGGUGAUCUCAGCCCAUUCCUUUCGUGUUCUGGCAUAAGCAAUGGGGUGAUCUUUUGUCUGUACUGCAAAAGAUGCUACUGAGUGAGUUUGUGAAGAUGUCUAACAUGGACGGAACUUAUUAUUAGUACUGGCCUUCCAAUAUAUGAACUCACAAGAUCAGAUUACUAAAUGGCGAUAAUCAAUCUUGUUGGACCUUUUAGAGUUACUUUUACUGCUUGCUCUUAUGUAGGGUGUUCCCAAGCUAUUCCUCUGCUUUUAACAGUAAUCAAGACAUUAUUCCUUCUUCAUCCUAAGGAGGAAGUGAAAUGUUAUCUAGCUCUAGAUGUCGCCUUCAGUGAACACGUUCAAGUUGGCUCAUCGUAUAGCCCCUAGGAAAUUUGCUUCUUCUAUGGCAUUUGGUUUGGGGUACUUGUCUUGCUUGCUGCAACGAGGUGCUUCAGGAAUUUCUCAAGUACCCACACAACUGAUAUUGAAGCACUUAAGGAACAAAAAAAAAAUAGUUGGUCAACACACAUUUUGAUCACUUUGUACCUUGCAAAACAAUGUUUUAUUGUAUGCAAGGGUUCAGCUUACUUUUUCAUCAUGCCUUUGAGUUGCUAUUCCCAUGUUUGGUGCAGAAAAUGUUUCUGAGCUACAAAUAUUACUUCACUUUCCUAACCGCAGUUUGUGACGGUGUAUGUGGCCUGGUAGUAAGGGAACACAGGAAAGUAGAGUCAAAUAUUUUUCCUUCUCACAUGGGAAUACUACCAUGUGGCCAUCAGGAGAGUGACAAAAUUAUGCAAGCAUCUACAAAUUCUCUGUGAGGCUACUGGAGCCAAUGUUGUAGCAGUAGCAAGCUACAAGGCUCUUAUGGCUUUGCAGGACACUGCUAAGGAGAUUCUGUGGACACCAAAGUAGUGUCGCGAGGUCUGUCAAGUAUUCAGAGUAUGUGAGGAAGUUCUUUGUACGUUCAGCUAUGGACUUUUGACAAUGAUGUUGAUGCAAGUCUUUACAACUCGAACCUUGAGGACAAGGUUCUUACUGGUGCAGGAGGUAUUGUUAUGAAUGUGCCUGGACUAGUAUUGGCAAAGCAGCUCAAUAUCAGAUUAAGUGGCUAUGUUUGGGAUCCGGGUUGAUAAAUAGCUCAAUCUUGGGUCUAUGAUUCAGGGGAUGGAGAGAUUGAUGUGGAUUUCUCUCACCGUAUUGGGGCAGGUUGGAUGAAAUGGAGGCUUGCUUCGGGGAUUUUAUGCGAUAAGAAGGUGCCCUCAAGCUCAAAGGCAAAUUCUAUAAAGCUGCGAUCCGGCCGGCUUUGUUGUAUGGAGCGGAGUGUAGAAGUUCUCAAUCUCGCGUAAUACCUAAUCAGGGUUGAGCUGAAAAUCCUCUAGAUUAUGCGUGGAACUAUAAAAGUUAGCAUAGACUAUAGUAUUUUGAAUUCAGCUAGUGUUAGUGAAGUUAAAAUGCAUGUUUCUUAGCUCACUCAGGCACUCAGGUAUGCUCAUACAGACAAAACACUUGAAAAAUGUUCGAACACGAUAUAUUCUAAAAAAUUAACGAGGACUACAAAAAAGAACAAUUUCCUUUAUUAUAUUACAUUGAAAAGAUACAAAUAACAGAUAAAACCAAAGUUGAACUAGAGAGCCUUUUGAUAACCAUCAAUCCCCUCAAAGACAAUAUUAUUGGUUUCAUAAUUACUGGGGGAAGAUGGCAAUACUAAUUAACAAUACAGGGACAACAAAUUAUCUCACCUUAUCAAAAGAAUAAUAAUACGGAGACAACAAAGUAUCAACUAAGAGAAGCUGCAAAAUUUAGAGCCGGGACAAUCCAAUAGGAUGAUGUAUGACAAUGUAAUUGUAGGCAUCAAGAGUCAUAAAAUCAUCCAAGACUGAGGCAGUGCAUAGCCUUGUGAAUAACUUGCAAGCCUCCUGGUACAUUCCCUUCUUGAAUUUCUCGUUUCCAACUUCUCUCUCAAUCCUAGCCAUUUCUUCCUCCACCACUCUUCCAAACAGGUCUGCGUUCACUUUCACCCCAAAUCCAUCUCCAUCCAAUUCCGCACCAUAUUUCAGCCACUGCCAGAUUUGUACUCUGCUAAUCUCAGCUGCGGCAGCAUCCUCCAAGAAGUUGUAAAGAGGGACACAGCCAACCCCUGUCAGCCAGGCUGCCAAGUACUGAAUUCCCACUCGGGUGUUCAGCCGGAGGCCCUCCAAGGUACAGACUCCUCUCGGCCUCUGCAACAGGUCUUCUUCAUCAAGGAUGGAUGCAUCUUGGCGCUUCAUGGUAUGUAUUUGGUUAGGAAGGUUGCCCAUGAUGCUAGUGAAGACUUCCAUGCAUGAUGGAAUUAGGCCAGGGUGAGCAACCCAUGUUCCAUCAUGCCCCGCCUUCGCUUCUCUCAGCUUAUCCUUCCUUACAAGUUGCAAUGAUGCCUCAUUAGCUUCUGGAUCAUCACUAAUUGGAAUAUGAGCUGCCUGUUUCACGGAUUCAACAUAGCUAUUAUGCAUCAAUUUGAUCAUGUACAAUAAGAUUCCAAAUUAGCCUACUGAAAAAAUUGGAAACUACUCCAAAUGUUUUUCUUUCUUCCAAAUAUUGUCAAACUUAUCCAAAAAUAAAGUUGGUGUUUGGUUGAUAGUCAUAAGUAUCGAAGGACGACAAAGUUGCAGCCAACACACUAACCGGCUUAGGAUUUUUCGUACAUAUCAACAACACUAAAGUCUUUCCUAUUGUAAUCCUCCAUGGCUCAUGUCGGAAUGAUCAUGUGCAUACUUCCUAACAUCAAUAACAUCCUACUAGCGUGCUAAUGUUUUAGCGUCCAUAUAGUUGACAUGUAUGCAAUUUGUUUGAGUUCCUAGUCUUAAUAAUGCAAAUAUUCUUAUGUAAAAUUAUUUAACAGAACAUAGAAUUAAAAAAGAAACCGAAAUAAUAUAGACUUACCAUGCCUCCCAUAGCAUGGACGCCACGCUUAUGACAAGUGUGGAUGAGCAAGUCGGAAUAACUCCUCAUAAAGUGUUGAUUCAUGCCAACUUGAACCCUAUCUGGGAGAAUGCGAUCUGGCUGAGCCUGGACAGUCUUGAGAUAGCUGAAAAUGUAAUCCCAUCUACCACAGUUGAGGCCAACAGAAUGGUCCCUCAGUUCAUACAAGAUUUCAUUCAGCUGAAACACAGCUGGAAGUGUUUCAAUCAGGACAGUGGCCCUAAUGCUUCCUUCCUCAAUUCCUGCCCAUUUUUCUGCCCUCUCAAACACAUUGUUCCAUAUUCUAGCUUCCCUGUUCAGACAAAAGAAAAACUGCUACAUUUCCUUGGAAUAUAAUUGUCAAGACUAUAUAAAUUUACUAACAAGAACACAACUGACCUAGAAUGUUCCAUUUUUGGAAGGUAGAAAAAGGGUCCAAAGCCCUGUCCUUGGGUCUUGCGGAAGUUCGCAUGGUUUUGGAUAAAAUAGAGGCCGAAGUCGACAAGGCAACCAGUGGCAGGUUCACCAUCAAUGAAGAUGUGAGCUUCUGGCAAGUGCCACCCUCUUGGGCGCACAAACAACUUAGCUGUCUGAUCAUUCAGUUUAUACACUUUAUUUCUGGCUUGAUCAUGGAAUGUUAUUGUUCCAUUUAUUGCAUCCCUCAAAUUUAUAUGGCUUCUCAUUAGAUUCUCCCAGCUUGGUGACAGUGCAUCUUCAAGGUCCGCCUGCGGAAUAUUAUCUUGGUGAAAUCUACAACUGCAUCACUAUGAUAUGUAGGAAGUAAAACAAAAUGCACAUAUUCUAGAUAUGCUUCCACUCCAGAUUGAGGUUAAUUGCUUACAUAAAGGUCCAGUGCUUUUCGGAUAGGUAGUUUAUAGUUUACUCUGUGGGUGUCUUAUUUUUUGUUAUUCUCUAUUGGUGUGUUAUUCCAUCUUGUUUCUACUUCAUCUGAGGUAGUGAUAUGGAUUGCGUAAACUUUACCCUUCCCAGACCUCACUUGGUGGGAAUCCACUGGGUUUGUUGUUGGUGUGAAGGUUCAGGUGCUACCUUUAUUUUUGCUCAUAUUAUUUCCCUCAACACUGGCUUUUUUUGGAUUUUUAUUCUUCUAUUCAACUAUUAACUGUUAGUCAUACAUGACAGAUUACGUAUGAUCCUGUGUUACAGUGGUGAUUAUUGUAUCAAAAAUCACGUCUCUUAAAUUUGGUUACAAUGGCUGCGUGGAUUACCCGAGUUCUCCUUUAUUUUUCAUUCCCCUUUUCUUAAAGCUUAAGGCUAAAAUUUUGUCGUCAAUACUAGUUGUACUUUGAGUCGAGAGAGAUAUUAAGUAAGAACAGUAUUGUGAAACACCGGAUUUACCUUAUAUACACAUUAAAGUUGGUCUUAAUUUUAAUUAUCAGAAGUUUUAACUCAUUGUAGCAUGCAUUGCUUGACUUAAUACUCUUCAUUACUCUUAAGUGACGUGAUUUAACUCGAUGUCGUCAUCCUAAUCUCUAUUAUCAUCGCAGUACUUCUCUGAAGCUAUUGGACAUUUUAGGAAAAUAAGAAAUGGAUACAUUAUGUUAGCGAAAUGUGAUAGGGGGGUUUAGCAUACCAUGAAAACUUUGGCUCCAGAAUUAAGGGCAUCGAUGAUCAUCUUCCUCUCGGGUGGUCCAGUAAUCUCCACCCUGCGAUCAGCUACCGCCUGUGGUACAGGAGCACACAUCCACUCUCCUUCCCUAAUGUAUUUGGUUGUCGGAUCAAAACCCGGCAAACCUCCACAAUUGUACCUCAUUUUGGCCUCUUUCCGGCACUCCAUGGCAUACUUAAUGUGGUUCCUGAACUCCCUCUGCAAAUCAGCAACAAAUUGCAAAGCAUCCCUAGUCAAAAUCUUGGAAAAUUCAGGAUCAUAUCUUCCCCUAAUGUCCACUCCCUCAGGCACAUCAUAACCAAUAAUUCUGCUGCUCUUUUUUUGAACUGAGUUAUUGGGUUGAUGGAAUGUUUCUUCAAAGCUAGCCAUUCUUUUUUUCUUUUGGUAAUUUCAAAUAAACAGUUAAUGUACUACUUUCUUUUUUUCCCUCUCUCAACAAUCUAGCUUGCAGCUUGCUCCAAUUUAUAGGGGGGAAAUGGGAGCUUUAGCUAGCGUUAUGGCCAUGAAAUUUGAUUAGAUUGUGAAAAUUUGAUCUUCAAAUAUCUUUAAGUUCUCGAAAACCGGCUUAGAUCAUUCUUUCGUUUUUUUUUUACUUCCAUUCUUAAAACUUCAAAUUUUUUUCAAGUAAAAUGCAUGUUAACGCAACUUUAAAAACUCAAAUUUUUACGUUUCUACUUGAAAAUCUAUAGUGAAAUAGGAGCUUAUAUUAGUAAAAUUUGUAAUAUGUGAAUCAUGAGUGGAGCCACCUUAGGUGAAAGGUGGUCCGAUGAACAACCUUAGCUGGAACGUUAUAUGGCAUGCAUAGAUUAAAUAUUAGCUAUUAUGCUGUGUAUAUUUAAUUAUGUAAAUCCUUAACAUAACAGGAAAAAAAUAUUCACCCCCUCUGUCAGUGAUGUGGAUAGCUACUGAGCUCAUGAUUUUCUUUAUUUUUUUUUGGCUGAGAAUAAUAAUAAUAUGUGGGAUAUAUUUGGCAAAGCUUAUCGACAUGUGCUUAUAAUUUGUGGAUAGCUACAGAUUUCAUGAGAUUUCUUUUAUAAGAUAUUUAGCAAAGCUUAUCAAUAUGUAUUUGGUUCUAAAGGCCCUUAUCUUCUAGCUUGUGUCCUGAUAUACUUAAUUUAUUUUGAGGUUUGUCAUUUUAUAUUCAUGCGUUUAGUAUCACACCGUAACUACUCAUUAUUAGUGUUUUUAACUUUAAUGACUGGCAACAUCAAAGAUUAUGACCCUAUAAUCACCCAGUAAUCAUAUAUUUAAUAAGAUAAGAGAGAAGCACCCAAGGGUGUGGCCUAGUGUUCAAUGAAGUUGGGAUGAGCACCAUGAGGUCUCAAGUUUAAUUUCCAGCUUAAACAAACACUAGGUGUUUUCUUCCCAUCUAUUCUAGCCUUGGUGGAUAGAGUUAUCUGGUACCUGUUGCUGGUGGAAGGUGGCAGGUAUCCCGUGGAUUUUAAAAAAAACAUAAGAGAGAAAAGUACUACGUACUAUACAGUACUCUAUUUUUUUUUUUCUCCUUGGCUAGCUAAGAGUAGAUAGCAAUGGGGCAUACUAGUUGAAACAAAGAGAAGUCGAUGCUCCACUUCUCAACUUAUCAAAGUCUUUUCCAAAUCCAAGGAGCCAAAUAGUAAAUUCUUGUAAUGCUUGAUACUUUUGAUGACUACUUCUUCCAACCAAAUAUCAGCACAUCCACCUGAUUUGCUUAGUGCUCUCUCUGUUCACUUUUACUUGUUUAUCGUGAUAUUCAUAUUAAUUGGUAAUAGUAAAACAUAAACACAUAUGUAAGUUACUAAAUAGGGAUAAACAUUUUCCUAAAUGAGUAUAGUUUUGUUACACUUUUUACCAAAUAAUGAUGAUAAAAGAAAGUUUAUUGCAUGGGUGCAAACAUCUUUUUCUGCGGAAUGCCGCAUAAUGGUGACUACUGCCUUUUCCAUAAGCCAAAAGGUGCUGGCAAAUUACAAAUUACUCAGAUACUAUAAUUCUAUAAAUAUGGAUUCAUUGAAAUAUAGCUUGGUAGGUGGGGCAGAACUUAUCCUUGAAUAUAUAGAGUCUGGUAGAUGGGUGGAAUAAUUCUAUCUAAUCAACACGGAAUGCAGCUUGUCUGUACCGAGUUCACGGUAUUUUCGAUGUUGAACAUAAAUUUAUACGUAAAAAAUUUCAUUAAAAUUACAGUAUAAAUAUAAAUUCAUAACUUAAAACUGCGGGACACGUAGAAUCUAAAUCUGGGACCCACAUCUGAUUCGGACGGUACGAAUUUUUGAAUUUCCAAUUUCAUAGCUAGAAAAAUAAGUUUGGGGGGCCAUAUAGAACAUGGUGAAUAAAGAAUAAGUGCCCACAUAUCUGGGCCAUGAACAUAGGAAAGCCAUAAUAUGCCAGCUGGGAAGAAAUUUCGUGUCCAGUGAAUUUCAGAAAAUAGAACGUGCCAUUGAUGGAGAUGGUGACUAAACCAAACAAGAAACGAAACCAGAGCCAUAGACAAAAAUACAAGUGAAAGGGAGAUUUUUAAAUCUAUACGGCCCAACAUAAAAUACUACGUCAUAUGAAAGCAUUAAUUAGAAAUAAUAUAGAAGGUGAUUAUAUUUAAUUAUGGACUAAAUCGAGUAUAAUGUUGUAGAAUAUUUUAUAUUAGGGUAUGUGACAUAAAUAUUUUCUCUCAGUAGAUAUAGCGUAAUUUUCACAAAAUCUAAUUUCAUUCAUUUUUAAAAUGUUUUUAUUCAUUUUUUUUUGUAUAAUCUAAUUUUACAAGCCAUCUUUGCUCCUUUAUUUUUGUUUCUUUCUUAAAUUUUUCUCUUCUUUUUGUUGCUAUAUUGAUUAAAAAAAAAUUUGGCAAUAAUCAGUGUGUGUGUAUAUAGAUAUAUAUUCUUUCACUAAGUUAGGUUUUAAGAAAUAUACUACUGAUUUUAGUAUUUAUCUCAAGUAUGUCUAACUAUUUAGCUUUUUUUAUAUUUUUAUUAGUGUAAAAAUAGUUAGUUAAUAUUUUAUCUUUAUAUUUUGUUGUCUCUUUGAAAACAAAAACAAAGAAAAAAUGAAGAUAAAUUAACCUAAUAUUUAUCCAACUAAAGAAAUAAUUAUUAUACUAUUUAUUAUUACUUAGAUAUUAUCACGGAUCACCGAAUAAAUGAAAUAAGGAGGACAUGUCGCUGUAUUAAAGUGAAGCAAUUCACGUGAAAAAUGCUCCGAUAGAGGAAAAUGACCCAAUUAGUUGCCAAAUUGAGCUUUCAUCACCUACCACAAACCGGGAUUGGGUUGGGCUGCAUGGGGAAGUGGGUAACUGAUUUCGAAAAAUGGGCUGCAAGGGAAGGAGAUGGGCUACAUGGGAAUGGGCUGAUGGGUAGUUAAUUUGGGCCGAGAGUACAUGAACAGUUCGAGGUUUACAAUGCCAUGCACAUAUAGAACACAAAGGCCCUUGGAGUUAGAGGUUCACAUGUACUAGGAAAAAAAACAAAAGGAAAAAUUUCAGAAAUAACAAUUAUAGAGCCUUAAUUGUAACUUUUAUAGCAACAGUUUCAUAAUUACGAAAAAUAACAAAUUGUAUUUCGUAUUUAUGUAAACAGUUGCUAUACAAAUACAUAUACAACAAGAUUUAUUGUCCUUGUUUUACUCAAAUCAAUUGAGUUAAAUAAGGAAUAAUUAUCCCAUCUAAUUAAAUUUCCAUAAAUUACUCUUAUUUAAAUUAGUAGAUUACUUUUCCAAAUCAAACUCAAAUAUGAAGAUUAUUAUUUUCAUGGUCUUCAAAAUUUCAAAAAAUCAUUCUCUUAUAUCUCUAACUAUUUUUCUUGUUAUUUUUUUUAUUUUUUUAUCUUUUUAAAUUUUAAUUUCUUUAUAUUUUCUCUCUUCUACUUCUCUUUAUUUUCCUCAUAUUUGUUUUCGUUUUCUUCUCUUCUUUUUAAAUUUUUUUUCGCUUUUAUUUUUACACUUCUAUUUCUAGUUUCUAUUUAUCUUUCUUUUCUUUUUUUUUUUUCCUUUUUCACUUUUUUUUUUCAAAACUUUAUUUUUUUCUAUUUUUUUUCUUUUUCUUUUACUCUUCUAUCUCUAUUUUUUAUUUUUAAAAGACAAAUAUCUAUAUCAUAUAUACAUAUUCAAAAAAUAUACAAAAUAAAUAGACAUACAGAUCUGUAUAUGUAUUUACGAUAAAAAAUAUACAAAUAUAUCUGCAUAUGUAUUUACAGAAAUACAUAUUUGACUCACAUGUAUAUAUAAACGUAUAGGACACAAAAUCUUUAUAUCAAAAAUGACAAUUAUAUACAUAUACAUAUAGGUAAUAAAACAAUACAUGAUACAUAUCUUAAAUAGUAAAAGAAAACAAAUAAGUACAUAUGUUACCCUCUAAAAUGACAUAGUAUGUACAGUUUAAAGACAAAUCCAACACCGUAUUUUGCAUAUGUAUUUACAGAAUACAUACCUGAUCCAUAUGUUUAUUCUUAUUUUAUAUGAGUCACCUUUAUAUUUCGCAAAUACAUAUGAAGAUAUAUAGUAUAGUUAUGUUUGUUACUGUUUAAUAUGAAUAUGAUAUGUAUUUUGUAAAUACAUAUGUAUGUUUUGUACUGAAUACAUAUCCAGAUCUGUAUGACUAUGUAUUUUAUAUGUUUUUUGAAUAUGUGUAUGUGAUAUACAUAUUUGUCUUUUCAAAAUAAAAGUUACAGAUAGAAGAGUAAAAAAAUGAAAAAAAAAAUAUAUAUAAAAAGAAAAAAACGAAAAAAAGAGAAGUAAAAAAGAAAAAAGGAAGAAAGAGAAAUAGAAGUAUAAAAAUAAAAGAAAAAAAAUUAAAAUAAAAUAGGAAAAAGAAGAACAAAACGAAAACAGAAAAAGAAAAAAAAGAUACGAAAAGGGAAAAAAGAAGAAAAAUAGAAGAGAGAAUAUAAAGUGGAAAUAAAAAAUGAAAAAGAAAAAAAUAAGAUGAAAAAAACUAAUAAAAAAAAAAAGGUUGAGAUAUAAGAGAGUGAAAGACAGUAACGAUGUUUUAUAUUGAAAUCUUGAAAAUCAUGGAGAUAAUUAUCUUCAACUAUGAAAAAGGAAAAAAAAUGAAAAAGAGAAAAAAAAGAAAAGAGAAAUAGAAGAGAGAAAAUAUAGUGGAAAUAAAAAAAUAAAAAUAAAAUAAAAAAAAAAAAAUAAAAUUAUAGAAAAAUAAGAUGAAAAAAAAGAAGGUAAAAGAUAUGACUAUAUUUGGAGUUGGUGAAAUAGUGGAGUGAAAAUAAGAAAAUGUAAAGUAGCGAGAGUAAAACAUGCGCUUGCCUAUGCUACUCUUACUAUAAACUGUAAUUUUACAAAAGUAUUUUUAUUUAUUGUAAUUAUAGUCUUAAGCAUGCUACUUUUUGUGAUUUUUCCUAAAAGACCCCACCGUGUAUUGUACGCAACUUUACCUUGUAUUUCUGCCAGAGGCAGUUUCUAAGGCUUAAACCCGUAACCACCUGGUCAUAUGACGACAGACGUUUUUACUCUAAGGCUCCUCUCACAUAUGUACUAGAAAAGUAGGACCAAAAAAUGAACAAUUGUCUUUUAUUAUUAUUAUUAUUACAUGGAAAGAUAGCAGUACUCACAAUAAUACUGAUGACGGAGUGAUUGAAAAGCAAAGGUGAAUAAGAGAGGCAUAAGAUAAUUUAGCCAUCUUCUCAAAGGCCAAAUUCCAUUUCCUACUAUUAUUGCUGGGAUACAUGUCUACACCUGAUUGAUCGAUUUAGAGUCGGGACGAACCAAUAGGAUGAUACAUGACAAUGUUAUUGUAGGCAUCAAGAGUCAGAAAAUCAUCCAACACUGGUGCAGUGCAUUGCCUUGUGAAUAACUUGCAAGCCUCCUUAUACAUUCCUUUCUUGAAUUUCUCCUUCCCAACUUCUCUUUCAAUCCUAGCCAUUUCUUCUUCAACCACUCUUCCAAACAGUUCCAAGUUCACCUUCACCCCAAGUCCGUCUCCAUCCAAUUCCACGCCGUAUUUCAGCCACUGCCAGUUCUGGACUCUGCUGAUCUCGGCUGUGGCAGCGUCCUCCAUGAGGUUGUAAAGUGGGACAGAACCCGCUCCUGUCAUCCAGGCUGCCAAGUACUGAAUUCCCACUCGGGUGUUCAGCCGGAGGCCCUCCAUGGUUCGGACCCCUCUUGGCCUCUGCAGCAGGUCUUCUUCAGUUAAGACGGAUGCAUCUGGGCGCUUCAUGGAAUGGAUUUGGUUAGGAGCAUUAGCCAUGUUGUUGGUGAACACUUCCAUGCAGGCUGGAAUUAGGCCAGGGUGAGCUGCCCAUGUUCCGUCAUGCCCUGCCUUCACUUCUCUCAGCUUAUCCUUCCUUACAAGUUCCAAUGCUGCCUCGUUAGCUGCUCGAUCAUCUCUGAUUGGAAUUUGAGCUGCCUGUUUCAAGGAUACAACAAAAGCCAGUGUGCAUCGAAUUGAUCAUAUAUCAAAACGAUUCCAAAUUAACUUAAAUGCAUGCUAAUGCUUCCUUUUCCAUAUGGUUGGCAUUUAUGUCAUGUUAUUGAGUUCAUAGUCUUAAAUCUUAAUAAUACAAUUAUGUAAUGUCAAGGGCUAAUCCAUAACAAUUGCCUUAGUUCGGAUUGUCUUCUUCAACUCGGAAAAAUAAAGUUGGAAUCGAUAGUAAUCAUGGAUCAACAUACUGUGAUGAACUAAAAGAACAUAAGAUGGUAAAAAGGGGUUGAUAUUAACAUACCAUGCCUCCCAUAGCAUGGACGCCACGCUUGUGACAGGUAUGGAUGAGCAAGUCGGAGUAACUCCUCAUAAAGUGUUGAGCCAUGCCAACUUGAACUCUAUCAGGGAGCAAUCGAUCGGGGUGAGCCUGGAAAGUCUUGACAUAGCUGAAAAUGUAAUCCCAUCUACCACAGUUGAGACCAACAGAAUGGUCCCUCAGUUCAUACAAGAUUUCAUUCAUCUGAAACACCGCGGGAAGUGUUUCAAUCAGGACAGUGGCCCUAAUGCUUCCUUUCUCAAUUCCAGCCCAUCUCUCUGCCCUCUCAAACACAUUGUUCCAUAUUCUAGCUUCCCUGUCCAAACAAAACAAGAAUUGCUAUAUUCUCUUGGAGUAUAAUUCUCAAAACUGCUUAAAUUAACUAAUAACAUACAACACUACUAACCUAGAAUGUUCCAUUUUGGGAAGAUAGAAAAAGGGUCCAAGUCCUUGUCCUUGGGUCUUGCGGAAGUUGGCAUAGUUAUGGAAAAAAUAGAGGCCAAAGUCGACAAGGCAACCAGUGGCAGGCUCACCAUCAAUGAAGAUGUGAGCUUCUGGCAAAUGCCACCCUCUAGGACGCACAAACAACUUAGCUAUCUCAUCGUUCAGUUUAUACACUUUGUUUCUGGCUUGAUCAUGGAAUGUUAUUGUUCCAUUUACUGCAUCCCUUAAAUUUACAUGCCCUCUCAUUAAAUUCUCCCAGCUUGGUGACAGUGCAUCUUCAAAGUCAGCCUGUGGAAUGUUAUAUCAGUAAACUCUAUCAAAUGCAUCACUCUCAGGUUAACUACUGUUGGUGAAUAUACCAAAAUGUGUAGUAAAUUACAACUGAAAUUAAAAUGAACUGAAAUGAAUAAAUGAAGUGUUGAUAAAGCCAUUGUUUAUGUUAACAAGCUCUAAUCUCAAUCAAUUCAAUCAGGUGAACCUUCAUUAAACAAAUAGUACUUUUUACAAAUAUUAAUUAUAAUUGUAUCGUGAAAGCACAAGUUCAAUUUACGUACAUGUUGGCACGGUAAUGAACUGGUUCAACUUAUCAACAAUCUUAACUCGUUAUAGCAGGCAACUUUAAGCUUACUUUACACUGAAACUAAACUCGUGUGAGGGGAUUGUUUACGUACCAUGAAAACUUUUGCACCAGAAUUGAGAGCAUUGAUGACCAUCUUCCUCUCAACUGGUCCAGUAAUCUCCACCCUCCGAUCAGCCACCGCAUGCGGCACAGGAGCACACACCCACUCUCCUUCCCUAAUAUACUUAGUAGCCGGAUCAAACCCCGGCAAACUGCCAUUAUUAUACCUCAUUUUAGCCUCUCUUCGACACUCCAUAGCAUACUUAAUAUGGUUCCUGAACUCCCUUUGCAAAUCAGCAACAAACGUCAAAGCAUCCCUAGUUAAAAUCUUGGAAAAUUCAGGAUCAUAUCUUCCCCUAAUGUCCACCCCUUCAGGCACAUCAUAACCAAUUAUUCCACUGCUCUUUUUCUGAACAGUGUUAGUAGGUGUAAGGAAUGUCUCAAAGCUAACCAUUUUUUCAAGAAACAGUUUUAGUAGCUGGCUGGUUGUUGUAAUGCAAGAGGUAUAGAUUGGUGAAAUUUAUAAUAAUGUGGAUAGGUACUGAUUUCAUGAUUUCCUUUAUAAUAUUGUAAUGGGGAUAAAGCUUAUCGUUAUGGGUCUAAAUUUAGAUGAUAAAUUAUAGGAUGGCAUUAUGUGCGUCAGAUGAUAAAAGGAUCAUGCAGUAGGUGAUCGUUUUCCUUACGUGCUUCUUGAUAUGUUCAAAACAAGGAUAAUACUGGGGAGGGGGGGGGGGGCUGUUUNNNNNNNNNNNNNNNNNNNNNNNNNNNNNNNNNNNNNNNNNNNNNNNNNNNNNNNNNNNNNNNNNNNNNNNNNNNNNNNNNNNNNNNNNNNNNNNNNNNNNNNNNNNNNNNNNNNNNNNNNNNNNNNNNNNNNNNNNNNNNNNNNNNNNNNNNNNNNNNNNNNNNNNNNNNNNNNNNNNNNNNNNNNNNNNNNNNNNNNNNNNNNNNNNNNNNNNNNNNNNNNNNNNNNNNNNNNNNNNNNNNNNNNNNNNNNNNNNNNNNNNNNNNNNNNNNNNNNNNNNNNNNNNNNNNNNNNNNNNNNNNNNNNNNNNNNNNNNNNNNNNNNNNNNNNNNNNNNNNNNNNNNNNNNNNNNNNNNNNNNNNNNNNNNNNNNNNNNNNNNNNNNNNNNNNNNNNNNNNNNNNNNNNNNNNNNNNNNNNNNNNNNNNNNNNNNNNNNNNNNNNNNNNNNNNNNNNNNNNNNNNNNNNNNNNNNNNNNNNNNNAAACAAGGAAAAAUCGGGGGGGGGGGGGGGGGGCUGUCUUUUUGAUAUUUGUGCCAGCCUCGGGAGUUGGGAAUUUGUUAGGGAUAUUGUAAGUAUUUGAGAAAAGAAGACUGACUUGUUUGACAAGUGGCAUAGUUUGGAGUUUCUUUCUGACGUUUGUUUAGGAAAAUUAUCAAGUGAAUUAUUUGUUUGUUUAUUAUUCAUUAAGGACAUAAAUUAAACACUAAUUUUUAUUAUUGUCUUUUUGAUCAUUUCAAACGGUUCACAUCAAGUGAAUUGUUUGUAUAUGAUACAUCCCCUUACAAAAAAUAUUCAAGGACAUAAAUUAAACAAUAAAGAUAGUUGAGAACAUAUUUCCCUCCCGGUUUCAAUUUAGGUGCAUUGUUUGUCUUGACAUUUAAGAAAGAAAAGAAGUUUUGAAAAUCUUUUAAGUAAUAAAUAAGAUUAACCAGGUCGACCCUGAUUAGUUACAGUGCCUUGUUUUACUGGAAUUAUAUAUCGGAGCUUAUAGUUAUUGAGGUAAAAGGUUCUUAGCAGUGAAUUGUAUAUCGUGUAUAUAGGAACAGAGGUUCAUAGUCUAAGACUCAUCAAGCCACCAACUUGGAUCACAUAAGCAACCACCAACUCCCACUCCCUCCAAAAAGGAAAGAAAGAAAAGACAGGCAAAAAUGGAAAAUGACAAUCAUGGUGCGCCUGAAUGGCAUGACAAAAUAAUAUAGGUAUGUGUUGUGACGUCUAUGUUAUUGUCCCGGAAUAAUGUGUAGAAUUAUUUUAUCUAUGUUUGGUUGGAUGUACUAGUUAGUCAAGAAAUUAUUUAUCCCACCAUUUAUACCUCAAUGAUGGGAUAAGUUUAUUAGUUAGCUAAUCACGCAAUUAAUUAUCCCGGGAUAACUUGUUCCCAACCAAACGACUCUUCAAUAAUAAAGCACUGAGGCAGCAUCUCACACUUGGUAAUCUCUAUAUAAGCUAGUAUUAGUAUUACAGAGAUCGAACAACAUUGCUCUGAUCAAGAAUGAUAUAGUUUGUGUUUUGUAGAAAACAAGAAUAACUUAGCUGUAUACAGAAAUCUCCAUGUUUUGGACCAAGAUAAAAAGUGGUAUCCAAAAUAUAUGGGACUCUAGUAAUUAAUUUUCAUUAAAAAGAAAUAAAGGUUACUAGCUCUAACUAUACCCUGAAUAAAAAGCUGAGGGGAACUGCAAUGCACAUGAAGUGCUAAUUGGAGUUACUUGUAUGCAGUCUGGUAUAUGUCACCUAACUUUUACCGUUAGAGUCAUCCCGAGAAGAAAAGUAACCAACGUCAUCUCAACGAAGAAAAGCGUGUUAAUGAGUAAUCGAUCAACCCUCCAUCCAUAAAUGCUAAAACCACCAGGGUUAGACUCCACAUAAGCCACUGCAACGAUAAAAGCAAACUAGACAUUAUUUGCUGUCUAUGUGAAAAAAAAAAAUAUUAAGAGAUUGUACUGCAGAAGUUCGUGUAGAUCUGAUGGAAACAUAACAAGAAUGAUAUGCAUAUGAAGCAAAGAAAUGGGGAUGUAAUUGAAGGUUGGGUGAUCUAAGAAGAUGAAUCUAAAUUGUCACUUGUUAUGAGAUACAUAAAAUACAAUGGCCAAUAUUGUGCAUAGCAUAUGUCCUGCUUCCAAAUCUACUUUUCUAAAGGUCCCACAACCAUAAACCAAGGGAUGCAACACUGUCCCAUUACAAUUUACAUAUAUACAAUCAUAAAUAUUAUGCCCACUGCACUUGUAUAAUCAACUCUUACUAACUUGGAAGUGUUUAAUCUUAUGAGACUCGCUUCGUCUAGGGGCUUCCCCACUUGUCAGACUAGUACUGAUAACUAAGUGGUAAUCUGUAUUGGAGAAGUAAAGGCAAUUGAGAUUUUUACUAAAUGCAGUUUGUCAUAAAGAAUCUAAUAUUUCUGGCAGAAUAGAACCUUAAUUCAUCUGACUUUGCUCGUGAUUAGCAGGACUCGAACUCCAAUGCAAUAGAACAUACUUGAGCAAAAUUAUCUAAAUAAGGGAGCAAGUUCUAGCCAAAUAGUGUCUUUUGGCUUCUACGAGGACACAAGAAGAUACAUGACCUUGUAAAUUUUCAGUACAUUUGCAAUAAAAAAAGCUAUCAAACUGUGAAAAAUAUGACAUCCCAAAAAAUGAAGAUUUAGAUGUAGAGCAUCAGAGUAACACUUCACUAAUAGAUCUAUGGAUGAGAUACCGACGAAGUAGUUCUACUGUAGGGGCUUCAAAGAGUUAUGCUGAAGUUUCUUGAGAGGGUAUUGAUGAUCAGGAAACCAUGUUAUGUCUUUUAAAGACCAAUAUAGGCAUGCAUUCGAAGACACUUCAGAGGACAGAUUGGUAUCCUAAAGAGAUAAUGAUUUCAGAGCAGCAAACAUGUGAAUAAAAGAACUAGGCACACUAACACUGUCACUUUUAUUGUCAUUCAUGGAUAAUUUUAGCAAGAGAACUCACACAACCAAUCAAAUGCAGGAAGGUAACAAACGAGAUCUCAAGAAAAGACUAUGGCAUAUGCAUUAUACAGGAAUAUCAAUCAUUCUGACAAUGUGGACUAUUUACUAUUUCAGUUUACAAUUUGUUGAACAAACAUACAUCCUACAUGCUGGAAAAGAAAAUAAAAGAUAUUAGUUUUUCAGUGAAUCAAAUCAUUAAAGUUGCAAAAUUUUCUUGUUAUUUGGGAAUAAUAGGAACAUAAUACAAGCAUAAGCACCGCAAGUUUCAGCAAAAGUUUGGUUUUGCAUACCAAAUGCUUGUCUCUUGUGAUAUGACGACAUAGUAGAAGUGAGUUGUACAUUUGUGGGUGGAAGCAAACCAUCAGCGGACUCCAAAUCACCUUCUGAAUAAUUUACAGAUAACUGGCCCACUGUUUUUGGUGUUUCAACAUUUCGAUUAUCAGAUGAAAGUUCGGAGACAGAACCAUCGUUGCUAUUACAAGUAACUAGUGCAUGCCAUCUACUCGCUAUGGCUCCAAGGCCUUGUGCUCUAUGUGAUAUCUUUGCAGCUGCAUUCAGACAUAUAAGUAGUCCAACCAGUUGAACAAUUGAUAUUACCUGAAUAUGAAGUUCAAUGAAAAUAAUACAAUCAACCAAGUAACAAUUUUAAUAUGCUCUGGAUGAGAAUAACCACUAAUAUGAUGUUUUAUUUCUUAAGUUGACAAAGAAAACACACAAGCACAAGAUUUGAUGGUCUAGAUACACAAGUCUCAACGAUAUCGAACGCACUUUUCAGCCCCACGUAUAAACUAAAUUGGCGAGAAAUUCAAAGUAGAAUUGCCAUGGUAGCCUUCACCUGGGAAUAGAAGACGAAAUGCCUGAACAAUCAAAUUUACCGCAAAGCCAAUCAUGAGGAGGAUUUGAACUUAAUGAGUAAAUGCAUUAACAUUUACAAAAUUUGAAUCUUAAACUCCUAGAUUAUCUCUUGGUGCAUAAAGACAAUUAAAGUACUUGAUAAUGAAAGCAAAUGAGAAUGUGAUUGGUACUUAAUAUCAUAAUGCUUACCGCAAAAUCACCAGCAUUAAUGAAGUUGACGAUUCCUUGGUUUGUUGUUGUCUGUAAUAGAACUAUACAUUGACUUACUGUGACUAUCAAGUACUCCAAGAGGAGGAACAUCCUAAACCGGUGGCUAAUUUUACACACAUAAUAGGUCAGACGCAUAUGCUCAUUGAUGUAAACUGAGACAUCCAUAUCCAUUUCCAAAAGCUCGCCAAAAUGUUCGAAGUGUAUAACUUGCAAAUUGCCAACCAGAUGAAACAGAGCUGUUCCCACAAUAAAAAUAAUGGUAGAAUAUGCCCAUGAUACAAGUGAACCAACCACAAUUCCAAUUGACCACCAUAUAGAACCAUCAUAAAGAGACACAGCUCUAGUGACUUCACGAGCUAUCUUCAUCAAAAAGAAAAUUGUCAUCCACGAAACCACCAAAUAAUAAAAGACCUGAAAAUAACAAGUUACCUUAGAUUAGACGUUCACUAGGAUAAUGAUUUUUUAUUUUACAGUACAGGCUGAAUAAAUAAAUAGCUGAUGAACAUGAACCCCAAAUAACGGAUUCAAUGUUGUGCAAAAAAUUUAAUGUGAGAUUGACAAUAAUCACAGAGUUAACAGUGCCAAAAACACACCUAAAGUAUCCCGACUUUUUGGAGUUUCAUACCUGAGCUAUCGCAUACUAUUACCAAAUGUUUAUCGAACACACCUUAACUAUCAUUCAUUCACCUUUCCUAACACAAAUAUCACUAAAUGUUUAUCACUACUCACAUCAACUAUCAAUUAUUCACAUUUCCUAAUGUUUAUCAAAGCACACCUCAACUAUCAUUUGUUCACUUUUCCUACCUGAAAUAUCAACAUUGCUCAUACGGGAAAAUUGAACAAUGGAUAGAGAAAUCCUGUGAGUACACGUCGUGGUUUUCCUCCCUUGAGCAAGAGGUUUCCACGUAAAAACUGUGUGCCGAUUUACUUUGCGUUCUUGUUUUGCUUGUUUUGCUGUUACUUAUUACUUCUUAGGGACCUGGUCCUUCAGUGGUAGUGAACCCUUGCGAUUCAACAAAAUAUCACUAAAUGUUUAUUACUACACAUAUCAGCUAUCAGUUAUUCACAUUUCCUACCUGAAAUAUGACUAAAUGUUUAUCAAAGCACCCCUCAACUAUCAUUUCUUCACUUUCCCUANNNNNNNNNNNNNNNNNNNNNNNNNNNNNNNNNNNNNNNNNNCCUGGAAUAUCAUCAUUGCUCUCAUUGCUCAUGCAGGAAAAUUGAACAAUGGAUAGUCGAAGUGUAUUUCGAUAAACACUUGGUAAAGUAGGUAUAAAAGUCAAAAAAGGGAUAACUUAGGCAUGUUUUUGACCCUAGAACUCUAAUCUAAACUUGUAUUGAACACUUACCCGUAUCUUCUUAAGAUAGAGCUCACUAAACUGAGUCAACUGACCAUGAUACCGAUCCACAAAAAGCAAUCUCCUGAUGCGAUAUUUACGGAGAUUAUGCGAGAUGCACAAAAGCGAUACAGCAGCAGCAACAGACUGACAUACAAGAACCUCAACCUCAAAGUCAUUAAUCUGAUACAGUUCACAAUUAGUGCAGUAACCAAAGUACGCUACGAGAAGAGGAACAACAAUGGAGAAGACAAUAAACGCCAGCCAGGAUACGGCAGCACUGAAGACGGAGUGCUGGCAGAAACCUAACAGUCGGAGGAAGCGUUCGAGUUUGUUUAAGGAAAUGUCGAGAUCAGUGAAGAUUUGAAUAGCGUCUACGAGUGACACGUGUAUCGAGUUGUCGUCGUCGGUGGCACCGGGUUCCGGUGGACGGCACUCGGCGGCGGCGGCCAUUGCCGGGAUUAGCGGCUGAAAAAGCGGGAGAUCGUUAAUGGUUUGACAAGAAUAUGUUAGUGAACCGAGAGAUCGGCGGGUUUAUGGGUCGACAAAAUUCUGGAUUUGUUAAGUCUUUUUCAUCAGUCCAGUUUGAAAAGCUGCACUUUCCUUUUUUUUCCCGUUCAAAUAAUUUAUGUGCAGCUUUAAAAAAAAUACGCGAAUAGGUAAUCUACUAUUUUCUAUUUAUUUAAAUUUCGAUAAAAGUAAAAUUAAUCAUGAUAUUUAUUAUUUUUUAUCUAUAAUUUAUAUCGAUAUCGACUUCCUAAAAUAUAUAAGACUGCUAAAAUAUAUCGUAAGAGAAUUAAUUAAUACUUUUUCUAAAAUAUAAGAGACUCCUAAAAUAUAUGGUAAGAGAAUUAAUUAAUAUUUUUCUUUCUAUUGUUCAAUUAAAAAAAUACUCAUAAGAUAAGACUUUAUUAAUUAAGGAAAUAUUUCUAUAAAUAUUGAGAUGUACGUUAAACUAAGAACAAAUCGAUUUGCCUAUUGGGCAAAUAUAAUUGAUUGAUGCUCAUCUAACUUAAUUCAAUCAAUUGAAUCAACUUAUUCACUAUUUUUGUCAGCACAAUAGAAUUCAACAUGUGUUUAUAUAUCAAUAUAUAUAUAUAUAUAUAUAUAUAUAUAUAUAUAUAUAUAUAUAUAGUUAUAUAUGAAUUUAUAAAACAUAUACACAUGUAUACGUUAAAAGUAGUAGAUGAAUGUUGGUUGGCUUUGAAGAAUUUCUUAUGUAAAGGUUAGGUUUAAUUGUAUUAUUUUUAUAUCUUUAUUAUCUUAUUAUUUUAUUUCAAUUUACAUAUGCUAGAUGAAUGUGGGUCGACUUUGAAUUUUUUUUUAGGUAAAUGUUAGGUUUAACUGUAUUAUUGUAAUUUCUCUAUUAGUUUAUUAUUUUGUGGUAUUUUACAGUUCGUAGAUGAAUCUCGAUCGGCUUUGAUAAUUUUUUGUGCAUAAAAUUUAAGUUUAAUUGUAUUUUUUUGAUAUUAAUUUUAUCGUAAUAUUUUGUUGUAGUUUACAGAUGAUAGAUACAUUUUGAUCGACUUGAAAAAAAAAUUAUGUAAAGGUUAGGUUUAGUUGUAUUAUUUUGAUAUCUCUAUUAUCGUAUUAUUUUGUUAUUAUUUACAGGUGGUAGAUGAGUGUCGGAUGACUUUGAGAAAAUUUCCGUGUGUAAAGAUUAGAUUUAAUUGUAUUAUUUUGAUGUAUCUAUCAUUGUGUUGUUUUGUUGCAUUUUACAAAUGGUAGAUAAAUGUCGAUCGAUUUUUUAAAAUACUUUCGGUAAAGAUUAGGUUCAAUAAAUAAAUUAUACAUCUUUACAUACUCAAAAAAAAUACUAAAUUUAAUUAUUAUAUUCAUCUUUAUUAUUUAAUCAAAUAUCUUAUUUAGUGUAAUGUUUAAACUCAUUAAAGUAAGGUAUACAUGCCUUUUAAAAUUUUAUUUUUAUCUUUAAUCAAUAUUUAAGGAUACAAGGAUUACUUUAGAUUGCAAAUUAAUCUUUUAUUUUUUAUUAAAUAUCGUAUAAGUCAAAUAAUACCACAUAAAAGCAAAUGGAAAAAGUAAAUAAGUAUUUCAUUCAGUUUAUUUUAGUUGGUUUAUAUUUCUUCGUCCAUAUUUACUUGUUCCAUAUAAUAAAAUUUUAAUAAUAAAAACACAACGGUUCAAACAUUAACAUCUAGAAUUUAGAUUCAAUUCCUCAUAUUGUCAGUCUAAGUAUUUCACUAAAGUCAUUUAUCUUUUUUCUGUUCCAAUAAUAUUAUUCAACUUUGUACAUUUUUCUUAUAAAUUAAUAAUUACUAAAAUAAUCCUUAUUCUUAAAAAAAAUAAAAAUAAUCCCUUAAGUUCAUUUUUGAAUUGGAAUGAUCCGUGUUCUUUAACAAUAUGAAAUACUAAUAAUUUUUUAAUUAUAAAAAUAGUGUGUGUAAUUUUAAUUCAACUUCUAGUUGUAAUAUUAAAAUAACAUAGUCCACCAUAAAAUAUGAUUGAUACUUAAGAGUUCAAUUAUAAAAUAACGUUUUCUAUUUAUUUAUUUUAUGAUUAAUUUUUAUUUUUUGAUAAAAUAGUUCAAAUUUAGUUGUUACCUUCUUCUAAAAAUUAUUCAGAAAAUUCAUAAUUCAUAUAUAAGACGGUGAAUUCCUUCAACCUCCCGGCUCUCUAGCUAGUAGAAAAACAAUCAUAUAUAAAUAUUUUAAAGAAUUUCUAUAAUAAAUUUAAAAUAUUGAUAAAGGACAUCGUGAUAAUAUCAUAAAUCAAUCAACAUCAAAUAAAAUUAGAAAAAUUCAUAUAAGCAUUGUGUAAUUUAAAAAUAUUAAAAUUUUUAAAUAUUCUUUUUGUCAAUUUUGUAAUAUUAUUUGGAAAAAACUAUAUUACCUCUUCAACUUGAUUUUAAAAACUAAAUACAUCACUCAAUUUUAUUUUAUUUUUUUUGCUUUUUAAUAUUAUGAUAUGUCUUUUUAAAUUUCAUUACUAUCUCCGUUUCAUUUUAGUUGGACGUUUUACUAAAAAUAAAUGUCUCAUAUUAGUUGAUCACUUACUAGAUCGAAAUAGAAUUAAUUAGUUUUUUCCAUAAUAUCCCUACAAUUCAUAGUAUACAUUAAAAUGUGAACAAUAUCAAUUUCAAUAUUCAUUUCUAUGCUCAUAUCAUUAAUAUUGCUAAAGGGUAAAAUAGUAAAAUUUUCAUUAAAUUUAUGAUUUCUUAAUCAACAUUUAAAAUGAAAUGUGUCCAAAUAAAAAGGGAUAGAGGGAGUAUGCAAUGAAGUAAAAAUGUGAAAUAUAAUUGGAGGCUUAUUACUAUUUAAAAUAAAAGAAUAAAGACUAUUUAAAUUCAUGAUUUAACUUAAAAUAUGAUUUUGUUCAUAUUUUUACAAAGAAUAAAGAUUAUUUUAACGAUUGUUAGUUCGUAAGGAAAAUGCACAAAGUUAAAUGAUUUUAUUGGUGUGAAAAAAAAAAAUAAGUAACUUUAGUAAGUCAUUUUCCUAAGUUGAGAGACAAUAUGAGAAAUUUGACUCCUAGUUUUUAUAUAAAUAUGAUUAAAAUUUUAAAAAUUUAAUGAUGUAAUUAUACUUCUGCAAUUAAAUAAUUCUAAUUUUAUUAUUUUAAUGCUAAGAACAAUUAAAAUUCCUUAAAUAAGAGAGGAAUAUAUUUUAAUUAUUUUUCAAUAUACUUGACAUAUUUCUAACUUUUUCUCAUACACAGUCGAUCAAUUUAUUAUUCACUUCAAAAUUAAUUUAAAAUAUUCUAAAAGAAUGAAAUCACUUUUCUAUUCGAUGGUUUUAAAAAAAAAAAAAAAAAAAAGUAGGGCGAAGGGGAUUCCUUAAAGCAUUAUGUAAACCUUGUCCCAUUUGCUAGUAGGUAGUAAUUCGCCGAUGAUGGUUAAGGAACAAACAAACUAUCAUCCUCUCAAAAUGAGCGGAAUAAAUUGAAUUUGAAUGAGUUAAUUAUAGGUCAAAAUGGAUCAGUCUAAACUGAUAAAUAAGCACAUGAGUCCAAUUUAUUGAGUGUGAAUUCUCAGUGAUAAAAUAAAAAAAAUAAUUCUAAGAAUAAGACGAAGCAACUUCUUUAACUUUAUUUUUUUAAUACAGAUCAUUCAAACUUGAUUUGAUUGAACGAGUUAUUUUUUUGUGGAUUAAUUUAACACAUCUUCUAAGGAGACUUAUCUAAACAAAAUACAAAAUUCAAAUCCUAUUUUUUCUUUUUUUUUUGUGAUGUAAAUUGCCACAAGAUACGUUAGCACGUAAGUUAGUUUAAGCUUAGAAAGCAACAUUUCAUUUGACUGAAUCACAAUUCUUUAUUCUUUCUUUAUUUUUUUUUCCCCUCUCAUCUGUUCUGCGAUUUUUGCCCCUUUUUUGAUCCAGUCAAUCACUGUAAGUCCGACAUCCAAACCCUAUUUUUUUGAUAUAUUUUUUGAGUUUUUAUUAGAUCGUUAAUUGUUUUUAAUUGAUUUAUGUUAGUGAUUUUAUUGAUUUUGUUUUUUUGUUUUUUUUUGUUUGUGCGUUUUUGAUUUUGGAUAAGGGAUUGAUGUAAAGUUGAUUUUUUUUAAUUGAUUUAUGUUAGUGAUUUUGUUUUUUGGGGUUUUGUAUUUAUGGGUUUUGGAUUUUGGAUAAUGGGUCAGUAUAAAAGUUGGAAUCUUUUUUCGAUUUAAGUUUUUUUUUCUUUAAAUUGAUAUAUGUAAGUGAUUUCUUGAUUUUGUCUGAUUCUGUUUUUUUUGGGGGUUUUGGAUUUGUGGGUUUUUGAUUGUGGGUUGGUGUAAAGCUGGAAAUCUUUAUUUGAUUUUGAGGGGAAAAGGGGGAUUUUUUGAAUUUUUGAUUUUUGAUUUCUGUGUUGAUUUGAUGUGGUUGUUUUUGAAUUGGAUCGAGUGGAAAAGGUUGAUGUUUUUGUGAGUUUUGACUUUGUUGGUUAGUUGUUUUUUAGUUUUGACUUGGAUGUGUGUAUAUAAUCUUUUUAGUGGUUCUUUUAUGGAUUCUGUACAGCUGUUGUAUUAGCUGUAUUUUUUUAAAUGACUUGGGGAAUUUGUUUUUAAACCUUGCCCAGACCCGACCUUGUGAGAUUAUGAUACAAGUAUGAUCGUGAUUGUGGAUCAAUAUGUAAUGACUCAAGCUCGGGUGGCUGCCCAAACAAUGGAACACGCUUUGAAGUGUAGAGAUCAAGUCCCAACACUCCAAAGCCAUCCAAUAUGCACACUCCAAGGCCUCCCCUUUGUCUUGACUCAUUAAGAGCAUUUUAGUCAUUUUGUAUUAAAUUGAAACCUAGGCUAUAUAAAUAGAACAUGUUAGGUCAUUUUGUCAUAACUUAGAUGAUAUUUUGAGAGCUCUUUGAGAGUGUUCAUACAAUUGGAUAUCACUUGUAACGUGUGGAAUCACUUGUGUUGGUUGCUUGGGGAUUUUGUUCCCUUGAGGUCACCGUAAGAACUUGAUGUUAUUUGUAUGAAUUCUUGGGUUUUAGUGUUCAAUAUACACUUUGGUUCAUAGUGUUUGUGCAUUGUGUGUCAAGUUAUCUAUCAUUCUAUCUUAUUAUUGUUGUUGUGUUCAUUCUCAGUUUUGGGUGUCCAAACCCGAGACCUUAUUGUGUCAUUUUUGUUCUUGUUAUUGUGUUGUAAUCUUAGUUUGUGGCUCGCUAAUUAUAGGUGUUGAACACCUUAGAAUCUUGUUGUUAUCGUGCUUGUAUUGUUAUUGUAUAGUAAAUUCGAGAGGGGUCACCAAAAGGGGUCCUCGGUUCUUCAAAUCAUGGACUGUUUUGGUGUGUGUUAGUGUCUUCCUUGUCGAUCUUGUAUCAUUUGAUAUCAAAGCCAUCUUUGAUUUUGUUUUAACAAGAUCAAUCUUGGGUUUGAGAGUUGAAAAAAAAAUUUAAAAAUAAAUUAAAAAAAAAGUGAAGGGUUCUUGAGAUUGUUCUUGGCCGAAAGUUGGGUCUUGUUGUAGUCUUGGCCGAGACAUUUUCUUUGUGACUAGAGCUUGUAGUCUUUUGUUUGUUUAGAUUGUUUCUAGUUUUGGUUUCUUUCUCACCAACACUAAAAAUGUCUUGAUCUAAAGGUUUGAGCUUAUGUUGUUUAACUUGUUGUAAACUUGAAGUUGGCCAUGGGUUGAUAUUGUUGUUCUUGACUGAGUGGUACAAUUGUUGUGGACUUGGAGAUGAAUAUUGGUGGAGUUGUUGUUCUUGAGAAAUUAUUGUUGUGAUCUUGUUGUUCUUGAAAUGUCUUGACCAAUAUAAAGUAUAACAUAGAUCCAAAAAGGUGUAAGAUAAAGUUGAAAAGUUAUUGGUGAAGAGACUUGAACACAUCACUUCAAAGACUUGUCAAUCACUUUUUCAUAUUUCAAGGACCUUGUUUUGUGGGAAUAGUACAAGUCAAGUCUCUCCUUUUUGAGUGAAUUUGAAAAAGUUUCUAAGACUUGAAUUUUUCCACCAAAAGGCAAAUUCUUCCAUUCCAAAUUGUAUCAAGACAAAAGCUUCAAGUUGGUGAUUAAAAUUGUGUGGGACCGUGACCAGUUACGUGGCUACCACGUCAUCACGUUUUACUGUUCACGCAACAUAAUUAAGCUCAAAUUUUUGAUUUCUUAGUUUCUAAUCUUUGUUUCUUAGUUGCAUUUUGUUGAUUCUAUUGCUAAUUAGUAAUUGUCUACUAGGCUGUAAAUUAGUUUUUGGGUCCGUUUAUUCGUGUCUACAUUUCUUUGUGUGCUUUUAUCUUUUUGAAAUUCGUUGUAGUUUCUUUAGUUUCUUGGUUCAAGUCCGUACGUAUUUUCUUUGAGUUGUUUCAAAAGAGAAUCUAUUCCGACCUCGAGCCCCAAUUGAAAAUCUCCUUGGAGUAUAAACGAGUUACCAACACUUGUGAGGCCAAUUGAGAGGCAUUUCAAAGUGGGAGAGCUUGAGAGCUUGUGAGGAUGUUUUCUUUUCUAACAUUAACUAGUUUGUUGUUUUUUGUGUUUUUGUUUUAGAAUUUCUUUUGUUAGGAACUAUGGCAUUGGAAAAGGUGACCAUGAACGAUUUGAUGGCUGCCAUAAUUGAUAUGAAACGUGACCUUAGUAGUUGAAUGGAGAGAAUGGAAAAAAUAAUGGACCGAGUGGAAGGAAGAAUGGAAGGGACGGAAAGCUCUCUUUGCAAGGAGUUGGAUAACUUGAUAGAGAAUCCAAGUCUUCCUAAUCAAGUUCCUGUGAGUGGACAUGCUACACAUGAGUUACAAGNNNNNNNNNNNNNNNNNNNNNNNNNNNNNNNNNNNNNNNNNNNNNNNNNNNNNNNNNNNNNNNNNNNNNNNNNNNNNNNNNNNNNNNNNNNNNNNNNNNNNNNNNNNNNNNNNNNNNNNNNNNNNNNNNNNNNNNNNNNNNNNNNNNNNNNNNNNNNNNNNNNNNNNNNNNNNNNNNNNNNNNNNNNNNNNNNNNNNNNNNNNNNNNNNNNNNNNNNNNNNNNNNNNNNNNNNNNNNNNNNNNNNNNNNNNNNNNNNNNNNNNNNNNNNNNNNNNNNNNNNNNNNNNNNNNNNNNNNNNNNNNNNNNNNNNNNNNNNNNNNNNNNNNNNNNNNNNNNNNNNNNNNNNNNNNNNNNNNNNNNNNNNNNNNNNNNNNNNNNNNNNNNNNNNNNNNNAAAAGGAAAUGCAUCCUAAACCCGUGUCUAUGGACACUCCACCCAUUUGAUCCCGGUGAUUAUUUGAAAUAUGGUGAUGAGGAUGUCUUUUGGAAUGACUUGAAUGUGCAUGGAAUUUAUGGCCUUCCUAUCUCGGCUUUCAAGCCUAUUUGUUGUUCCAAGAAGAGUCUAUGUUUUCCACUUGAUGAACAACUCUUAUUCCUUGUUUCUUAUCACACUUAUGUGGAUAGACUAGUUGACUCUUUCUUGGGAGGGUAUUCGGGUAAGAGGGAUGUUUGGGUGUAUGUGAAGUUUGAGCCACCUUGGCAAGAUGUUAUGAUUGAUUACACUAAUCCUAACUCUCAUACCUUGAGGAACUUGUGUUUGCUUGUCCUUCCUAUUAUUUUGCAAGGUUCAGAUUUGAGGUCGAAUUCUUUUUCAAAAAGGGGAGGAUGAUACUAGUAUGAUCGUGAUUGUGGACCAAUACGUAAAGACUCAAGCUCGGGUGGCUGCCCAACCAAUGGAACAAGCUUUGAAGUGUAGAGAGCAAGUCCCAACACUCCAAAGCCAUCCAAUAUUCACACUCCAAGGCCUCCCCUUUGUCUUGGCCCAUUAAGGGCAUUCUAGUCAUUUUGUAUUAAGUUGAAACCUAGGCUAUAUAUAGAACAUGUUAGGUCAUUUUGUCAUAACUUAGAUGAUAUUUUGAGAGCUCUUUGAAAGUGUUCAUACAAGUGUGGAUAUCACUUGUGACAAGUGUGGAAUCACUUGUGUUGGUUGCUCGUUUUGAAACGUUGGUUGCUUGGGGAUUUCAUUCCCUUGAGGUCACCGUAAGAACUUGAUGUUAGUGUUCAAUAUACACUUUGGUUCAUAGUGUUUGUGCAUUGUGUGUCAAGUUAUCUAUCAUUCUAUCUUAUUAUUGUUGUUGUGUUCAUUCUGGGUUUUGGGUGUCCAAACCCGAGACCUUGUUGUGUCAUUUUUGUUCUUGUUAUUGUGUUGUAAUCUUAGUUUGUGGCUCGCUAAUUAUAGGUGUUGAACACCUUAGAAUCUUGUUGUUAUCGUACUUGUAUUGUUAUUGUGUAGUGAAUCCGAGAGGGGUCACCAAAAGGGGUCCUCGGUUCUUCAAAUCAUGGACCGUUUUGGUGUGUGUUAGUGUCUUCCUUGUCUAUCUUGUAUCAGAUUGCACUGGGUAUGUUGUUGUUUUUCUCAACUUACACUAUUAGUUUUAACUCUUUUGCGGCGACAAUUAUAGUUUACGAGUGAAUGGAUUGUUUGAUUAGAACGGAAUGCUUAUGUUUCAAAUUAAUUCAUUGCGUUUUACUUUGUUGCGGAAGGUUGAUGUUUGUGGAUAUAAGAGUUUGACUUUGUUGGUAAUUGUUUUUAAGUUUUGAUUUGAAUGUGUGUGGAUAAUCUUUCUAUGGUUGUCCAUGGAUUCGGUAAAGCUGUUGUAUGUGAGGUGAAUUAUGGUUAGGUGACUCUAUUUAGCUAAUGUUACUGUUCUUUGAUUCUAUUCUCUUGCACUGAUUUUUAAUUAGCUGCUAUGUUUUCUUCGCUAUCGUUGUUUCCUUUUCAUUACUACUUUGAUUUGCUUCACUUGAGUCGAGAGUCUUUUGGAAACAGGCUCUCUACCUCCAUGAGGUAGGGUAAGGUUUGCAUACACUCCACAUCCUCCAGACCCCACUUUCACUUUUUGUGAUUUAACUGGGUAUGUUGUUGUAGAGACAAUUAUAGUUUACUAGUGAAUGGUUUGUGUGAUUGGAAUGCUUAUGUUUUAAAUUAGUGUAUUGUGUUUUACUUUGAUGCUUUUUGGAUAUAAGAGUUUGGCCUUGUUUGUAGUUGUGUUUAAUUUUGACUUGGAUAUAUGAAGAUAAUCUUUCUAUGGUUCUUUAUGAAUUCGGUAGUGCUGUUGUAUGUGAGGUGAAUAUUUUUUUUCUUUUUCUUUUUUAAAACUGACUUAGGGAAUUAGUUCUUUCUUGUAGAGGAAACUAUAGUUUAUGAGUGAAUGGAUUGUGUGAUUGGCAUGCUUGUGUUUCGAAUUAAUAUAAUGCGAUUUACUUUGUUGGUGAAGGUAACCAUGAGAGACCAAGGAGAAAAGACCUGUCCUCUCUGUGCUGAGGAGAUGGAUUUGACAGAUCAGCAGUUGAAGCCUUGCAAGUGUGGCUAUCAGGUUUGUAAUCUUCAAGUUUGCUACUUUGGAAUAAUAUCUGGGUCAUUAGAGGACUAGUCAUUGUUAUUCACAUGUUCUCCCUGUCAAGACAUGCUUAUUAGGGUUGGAGUUGCUUUACUGGUAUUUGGUGGUAGUUCUGUAUUCUUAGACAUCUAAUUUUGUCUUGAAAGUGAUAGGACCGUGGAAAUCUGUCUAGAUUUUAAGUGCACGUAGCACUGUGCGGGUAUUAAUGAAACUGCAAAAUUAAGAAAUUAAAUAAAAAAUUAACCGUGUCAUUCAAGAAUAAAAACUGUACACACAAAUCACAAUUAUAUGGAAAGAAGAAUAAGUAAAGAACUACAAUAUCAGAUCAGCGAGUAGUUUUGGUUAGUGAAGCUCCCUUAGCACCUUAGUACUUGCACUGAAGUAUCAGCUAAACAAGGUGAAUUAGCCUGUCUGCACCUAGCUUCAGACCGUAAGCACAUCUCAAGACAGUCUAUGAUGGCAACACUAUCUGAAUUUUUCGGAACUUUUUGGUGAAAUUGUUUUAAUGGUUUUUGGAGCUCAGCCUUAGGAUGUCGCUUCUGAAAAAAAAUCUUUUAUGCAGUCUCUCCAUUCUUUAAUGUGGAAUUGUAUAAAUUAACCUUGGGGGCUGCCUUGAAGGGUUUUGUUGGGGUUUUUUUUUUUUUUGGGNNNNNNNNNNNNNNNNNNNNNNNNNNNNNNNNNNNNNNNNNNNNNNNNNNNNNNNNNNNNNNNNNNNNNNNNNNNNNNNNNNNNNNNNNNNNNNNNNNNNNNNNNNNNNNNNNNNNNNNNNNNNNNNNNNNNNNNNNNNNNNNNNNNNNNNNNNNNNNNNNNNNNNNNNNNNNNNNNNNNNNNNNNNNNNNNNNNNNNNNNNGGGAAAGAGAGGUUGAGAGAGGGAUAUAUAAGUUUCCGUUUCCACCUAUUCUCCUCGAUUGAUGCUAGAAGAUAUCUGUUCAGGGAUGUGGCAGCGGAAACACUUAGAAUUGGUGCCGGAAGAGUGCGUGCUUGCAUGUCCUUAUUUGAACUCUAUUAUGCACUAAAUUUUCGAACACCUGCGUAGAUGGUCCAUUGGAUUUGGGGUUUUUUAAAGUUACUAUGUAGGAACAUCCAAUUUUUAAGCUUCCGUUUCCUUUUAUCUUUGGAGCCAAAAUGAUAAGAACACCUACAGCUCUUCACAAACACUUCAUGUUCCUAAAGGAGAAGAUGUUAAAUAUGGAGUAACCAUAAGCAAACAUACAUAUUCCCGAAGCUAUUCUUGGCAUAUGCUCCACCUUCAUGCCCAGCAUACAUAAAAAGAGAUCCAGAAUGCUUGAGUGAGACCUGAAAAUAAAUAUCCCGCAUAAAAACCCAUUAUUAAGAAACAAGUUUUAACAAUUCAAAGAAAGGAAUACAAAAAAGAGAGUGAACCUGUUGUGGAUCUGUGGAAGUCAACUAAUUAAACAUUUAAUUAGAUUUUAGUAGUUUUAUUUAUUAUUAUAGAAUAGGGUUUUAUAUUUCCUACUUUCAUAAGGAUUAAGACUUUCUAGAAUAGGGUUUUAUAUUUUCUAUUUUCAUAAGGAUUAGACUUUCUAGAAUAGGGUUUUAUAUUUUCUAUUUUCAUAAGGAUUAGACUUUCUAGAUUAGGAUUUUAUUUUUCUUACUUUCAUAAGAAUUAGACUAUUGAUGUAAUACUCCUAUUUAAAGGUGUUUUUGGAGAAUAAAUCAAUAAGUCGUAUUUCAGCAAAUAGCAAGAGAUUGGGUUCUCUCUUCCAUUGAACUCUAAGGUUUCAGUCUUCCUUUAACGAGCUGAAGAGAUCGGAGUUCUCUCUUGCAUUGAAUUCGAAGGUUUCAGCCUCCCUUGAACAAGCUGAAAUUAUGCAUCGCCCUGUGAAUCGAUCUUUCCCCUAGAAAUCCUAACAAUUUGGUAUCAGAGCCCUAACGUAAUGGGCGACGAAAUCAAUUUCAGAUUUCAGGACGUGUGCUUACAAAAACCCUAAUGGACUCUAAAAUUGCAGCAAUGGAACGUCUCUGUGAAAGAAUUGUUUAAGUCAUCCAAGAACAAUUUUCUGGCAUGAGAAUUGGCUCCACAAAAUUAGCAAUGCAGGGAACGGAGUCGAGUAGUGUCCUAACAACUGGCAAAUCAACAAUUGUUGCUACACUGCCUAUUCAACUAGCCGACCAGAAUCAUCCAUCAAAAGGUAAUUCACAUUCGACAGUACCAAGGUAUGCAAAGAUGGAUUUUCCUACUUAUGACGACACCGACGACCCAUUAAUUUGGGCAUAUCUUUUUGAACAAUUUUUUGAAAAUCAACAUACAACGGAAGCGAAAAAGGUUGGAGUCGCCAGAUUUCACAUCUUGGGAGAAGAACAAUUAUGGUACUAUCAACUUAAACGAGUAAAGGGCCCAAUGAGUUGUAAAGAAUUUCAAAAACAUUAUUUCCAACGAUUUGGACCUGGUGAAAGUAGCAACCGGUGGGCAAAUUAGUCACACUCCGGCAAAUUGGUGAAGUUGAUAGAUAUUUCAAGAAAAGUUGGCUAGGGCUGGAAUUGGAUGGUUCGGUUCACACUAUUCUCUGGAAUUCAAGCUUGAGGACAAGCUCUUUCAACGUGAGGGGAGUAGAUCAAUUUAUUGUUAUAAUUCGUUGGAGCUAUAUUGAAUUAGAUCAAUUUUGAUAUUUAAACGAUAUGAAAAGUCUUCUUAUACCAAUUGCACUUCCAAUGUUGAAUUAAAUCAAUUUAAUGUUUUUCAAACUGAAAUUUAGAUGUUAAAAGAUGAUAUGAAAAGUAGUGUGCAAUUUUACUCAUGCCGAACAAUAACGUAUAUUUCUUCUUUAAACUCUUUGUGAAUCAAUUUAUUGUUAUUAAUUCUUCGGAGCUAUAUUGAAUUAGAUCAAUUUUGACAUUUAAACUAUAGUAUUGUUAUACUAGUUGCACUUUUAGUUUUGAAAACUGCACUUCCAAUUAGUUGAGGUGCGCGCAAUCUGGCCCGGACACCAUGGUUAUCAAAAAAAAAACUGCACUUCCAAUUUUGAAUUGGAUCAAUUUAAUGUCUUUCAAAUUGAAAUUUAGAUGUUAAAAGAUGAUAUGAAAAGUAGUGUAUGGUGCAAUUUUACUCAUGCCGAACAGUAACAUAUAUUUUUUUUUCAUUUUUAACUCUCUGUGUAUCAAUUUAUUGUUAUAGUAAUUCUUUGGAGCUAUAUUGAAUUAGAUCAAUUUUGAUAUUUAAACUAUAUGAAAAGUAUUGUUAUACCAAUUGCACUUUCAGUUUUGAAAACUGCACUUCCAAUUUUGACUUACAUCAAUUUAAUGCUUUUCAAAUUGAAAUUUGGAUGUUAAAAGAUGAUAUGAAAAGUAGUGUAGGGUUUAAUAUCUGUCAUAUUAGUGAGAUGGAAGAAAGUAUCAUUCUAAAUGUUGGGUCAAAGUUCAAACCUUUUGAAUUAACAGUUCAUUUUUUGUUUUUUGGAAAUGCAGAGAAAGGUUGGUUAUAAUAAAGAAAAGAAAUGGCAAGUGAGGCCAAGUUCGAACAGGGCGUCAGGUUCGCCUUCAGGUGGCGAAUCUGUAUCUUCUGCAACUACAGAAGCCAUUACCAGUCGUCUAAAUACCUUGAAUAUUACUGAAAGCGGUGCACAGUCUAGUGGUCCAGUCGCAUCUCUUCAGUUUGGGAGCGUUGAUUUAGCACCCCAGUCACUUGUGCAGCAUCAAAAAGUCAUCUGGAAACACAAAUCAUAUGGAACAGUAUCAGCCCCAACAGUGGAAGCUGAAAAAACACCAAAUGAACAAAAAAAUGUUCAAUUAAGUAAAUUAUUCAAGGGUAACUUAUUAGAGAAUUUUACUGUAGAUAACUCAACAUUCUCAAGAACCCAAGUAAGGGCCACCUUCUAUCCAAAAUUUGAGAAUGAGAAAUCUGAUCAGGAGGUAGUGAUCUCUCCAACUUCUCUUUUUCUAUGGUUCAUGAUGCGUAAAAGUGGUGAUUCAUGAAUAGUAGUGUGGCUCUUUCAGAUUAGGACAAGGAUGAUAGAGAUGGUCUUCAAAGGCUUGGCUACAAUGGAGGUAUAUCUCAAGCUUGAUUGGCUUUUGAUGUUAUGCUAAUUUAAUUUUCGUUUAUUCCUUUAUUGGGAUGGUACAUUGCCUUGUACAAGGCUGAUCGUAUGUUUAGUUUACUUUACCAUUUUUGGCCCUCCAUCAAAACAACACUCUAGGAUGCUUAUUCUAGAACAGGGUUUCAUAUUUCCUACUUUCAACAUGAGGGGCGUAAUGUUGUGGAUCUAUGGAAAUCAAUUAAUUAAAUAUUUAAUUAAUUGAUUUCCACGGAUCCACAACAUUACUCCCCUCACGUUGAAAGAGCUUGUCCUCAAGCUUGAAUUCCAGAGAAUAGUGUGAACCGAACCAUCCAAUUCCAGCCCUAGCCAACUUUUCUUGAAAUAGACAUUGAUAGAUUUCAACUUCACCAAUUUGUCGGAGUGUGACUAAUUUGCCCGCCGGUUGCUAUUUUCACCAGGUCCAAAUCGUUGGAAACAAUGUUUUUGAAAUUCUUUCCAACUCAUUGGGCCCUUUACUCAUUUAAGUUGAUAGUACCAUAAUUGUUCUUCUCCCAAGAUGUGAAAUCUGGCGACUCCAACCUUUUUCGCUUCCGUUGUAUGUUGAUUUUCAAAAAAUUAUUCACAAAGAUAUGCCUAAAUUAAUGGGUCGUCGGUGCCGUCAUAAGUAGGAAAAUCCAUCUUUGCAUACCUUGGUACUGUCGAAUGUGAAUUACCUUUUGAUGGAUGAUUCUGGUCGGCUAGUUGAAUAGGCAGUGUAGCAACAAUUGUUGAUUUGCCAGUUGUUAGGACACUACUUGACUCCGUUCCCUGCGUUGCUGAUUUUGUGGAGCCAAUUCUCAUGCCAGAAAAUUGUUCUUGGAUGACUUACACAAUUCUUUCACAGAGACGUUCCAUUGCUGCAAUUUUAGAGUCCAUUAGGGUUUUUGUAAGCACACGCUCUUUCUGGAAUCUGAAAUUGAUUUCAUUGCCCAUUGUGUUAGGCUCUGAUACCAAAUUGUUAGGAUUUCUAGGUAAAAGAUCGAUUCACAGGGCGAUGCAUAAUUUCAGCUAGUUAAAGGGAGGCUGAAACCUUCAAAUUCAAUGGAAGAGAGAACUCCGAUCUCUUCAGCUCGUUAAGGGGAGACUGAAACGUUAGAGUUCAAUGGAAGAGAGAACCAAUCUCUUGCUAUUUGCUCUAAUACGACUUAUUAAUUUAUUCUCCAAAAACACCUUUAAAUAGGAGUAUUAUAUCAAUAGUUUAAUCCUUAUGAAAUUAGGAAAAAUAAAACCCUAAUCUAGAAAGUCUAAUUCUUAUGAAAAUAGAAAAUAUAAAACCCUAUUCUAGAAAGUCUUAAUUCUUAUGAAAGUAGGAAGUAUAAAACCCUAUUCUAUAAUAAUAAAUAAAACUACUAAAAUCUAAUUAAAUGUUUAAUUAGUUGACUUCCACAGAUCCACAACAGGUUCACUCUCUUUUUUGUAUUCCUUUCUUUGAAUUAUUAAAACUUGUUUCUUAAUAAGGGGUUUUUAUUGGGGAUAUUUAUUUUCAGGUCUCACUCAAGCAUUCUGGAUCUCUUUUUAUGUAUGCUGGGCAUGAAGGUGGAGCAUAUGCCAAGAAUAGCUUCGGGAAUAUGUAUGUUUGCUUAUGGUUACUCCAUAUUUAACAUCUUCUUCUCCUUUAGGAACAUGAAGUGUUUGUGAAGAAUCGUUGGACUGCAUUAAAGUGGUCAUGCAUCCUUUUGUCAUUUUCUGAUACAAGUUUUGUUCAGUUUUCGAUUAGAACUUUUAAAGUUAAUUUGAAUCUUUCCUUCUAGUAGCCCUGACCUUAUGUGGUGUUGUAUUUGCAAGUAGUUGAUUCUAUGCCAUCAUCUUUUGUAUGCAAAAAUUAUUGGUGUAACUAUUUUUCUUUUGGUAGUCUUAAUUGUGCUUGCGUUGCCGGGAGGCUUUGUCGAUAUGCAUGGUGGUUUUGGUUUCGGGGAGAGGAAUGAUGAGGGAGCAACUCUGUUGGAGUUUGCGAGGUCUGUUGGGCUGGUGGUGGUGAAUUUGAGCUUUCUAAAGAAGGACGAUCACCUGAUCACCUUUCGAAGCGCGAUGGCCAAAACCCAAAUUGACUUUUUGCUACUUAGAAAAGGGGAUAGGGUGUUGUGUAAGGAUUGUAAGGUCAUCCUGAGUGAGAAUCUUUCGACCCAGCAUAGGCUCUUAGUGAUGGACUUGGGUAUGAAGAAGGAUAGGAAGAGAAGGGGCGAGGAAGGUAGACCUAGAAUUAAGUGGGGCGGCUUAACGCCGGUGAAUGCGCGGGUGAUAGGGGAUAAGGUGGCGGGAAUAGGGGUGUGGGAGUGUAAGAGGGCGUGGAUAAUAUGUUGGAUAGGGUGGCUAGGUGCAUUAAGGAGAAUGCUAGUGAGGUGUUGGGUGUUUCCAAGGGCCGGGUCGGAAUGAUGUAGUUAAGAAGAAAGUGGAGACUAAGAAAGGAGCGUAUGCUAAGUUGGUUGAGAGUAAGGAUGAAGAAGAGAAGCGGGUUAACAGGAUUGAGUAUAAGUUAGCUAGGAAGGAGGCUAAGUUGGCAGUUACGGUAGCCAAGAUUGCAGCUUUUGAGAGCUAGUUACGGGGUUGCAGGAGAGAGGAGGGGAAAAGAGGUUGUUUAGGCUCGCUAAGGCUAGGGAGAGAAGGAGCUGGGACCUCGAUCAGGUGAAGUGCAUUAAGGGGGAGGAUGGUAGGGUGUUAGUGGAGGACGGUCACAUUAAGAAAAGAUGACAGACAUAUUUUUAUAGGCUUUUGAAUGAUGAAGGGGAUAGAGCUAUUGUGUUAGGUAAGCUCGAGCACUCUGAGGAGUGUCGGGAUUUUAGUUAUUGUAGGCGUUUUAGGUGGAGGAGGUUAGAGAGGCUGUUCGCAGGAUGCGAAGGGGUAGGGCGACGGGGCUUGAUGAAAUCCCUAUGGAGUUUUGGAAGUUUUCUGGUGAGGCUGGUUUAAGGUGGUUGACUGAUUUGUUUAACGGCAUCUUCAAGACGGCGAAAAUGCCCGAGGCUUGGAGAUGGAGUUCUUUGAUCCCUCUUUAUAAGAACAAGGGUGACAUUCAGAGUUGCAACAACUAUAGGGGUAUUAAGUUAUUGAGUCACACUAUAAAGAUUUGGGAGAGAUUAGUAGAGGUGAGGUUGAGAAGGAUAGUGUCUAUUUCGGAGAACCAGUUUGGAUUUAUGCCCGGGCGCUCGAUGACGGAGGCUGGUGAAACAAUAUAGGGAGAGGAAGAAGGACCUGCAUAUGGUGUUUAUCGACUUGGAGAAGGCAUACGACAAAGUCCCUAGGGAGGUCCUUUGGAGGUGCUUGGAGGUGAGUGGGGUCCCGAUGGCGUAUAUCAGAGCAAUCAAGGACAUGUAUGAUGGAACUAAAACCCUAGUUAGAACGGCCGGAGGAGAUUCAGAGCAUUUCUCUAUCUUGACAGGGUUGCAUCAGGGAUCUACUCUUAGUCCGUUUUUGUUUGCUUUGGUGAUGGAUGUAUUGACGCGGCGUAUUCAAGGAGAGGUGCCUUGGUGUAUGCUUUUUGCAGAUGAUGUGGUUUUGAUUGACGAGACGUGGGGGUGUGAAUGAUAAAUUGGAGGUGUGGAGACAGACCUUUGAGUCCAAGGGGUUCAGAGUAAGUAGGAUCAAGAUAGAAUAUUUGGAAUGCAAGUUUAAUGAAAGGAGGCAGGAGGAUGAAAUGGUUAUAAGGUUGGAUUCUCAGGUGGUGUGUAAGAGGGAUAGUUUCAAGUAUCUCAGGUCCAUGAUUCAGAGGAACGGUGAGAUUGAUGAGGAUGUCUCCCACCGUAUUGGGGCGGGUUGGAUGAAGUGGAGGCUCGCAUCGGGGGUGUUGUGUGACAAGAAGGUGCCGCCAAAGCUUAAAGGCAAAUUCUAUAAGAUGGCAGUCCGCCUGGCCAUGUUAUAUAGAGAGGAGUGUUGGCCAGUCAAGAACUUCCACAUUCAAAAAAUGAAGGUGGCGGAAAUGCGGAUGUUGUGUUGGAUGUGUGGGUCAACUAGGGGUGAUAGAGUUCGGAAUGAGACUAUCCGGGAGAAGGUUGGAGUGACUUCGGUAGAGGACAAGAUGCGGGAAGUCCGAUUGAGAUGGUUCGGACACGUGAUGAGGAGAAGCACGGACGCUCCGGUUCGUAGGUGUGAGAGACUAGCUUUGGAGGAUUUUAGGCGGGGUAGGGGUAGGCCGAAGAAGUACUGGAGAGAGGUGAUUAGGCGGGACAUGGAGCAGUUACAACUUACGGAGGAUAUGACCCUAGAUGGGAGGAUCUGGAGGUCGCGAAUUAGGAUAGAAGACUAGUGUCGGUUUGGGUCACCAUUGUAGGGUAUUACUUGGGGGGUGUACUAUUUAUUGCUAUGCCAUCCUGUUUCAUGCUCUAUUGCGAAGUUGUUUACUUUUCCAUAUCUAAUAUUAUCUUUGAGUGUCGCAUUUAUGUUAUGUCGUAUUGUUUCAUGCUUUAUUAUUAUGGAUUUGAUUAUUAUUCAUUGUAUUGAGUCGGGGAUCUAUCGGAAACAACAUUUCUACUUCUUCGGAGGUAGUGGUAUGGACUGCGUACAUCUUACCCUCCCCAGACCCUACUAUGUGAAUAUACUGGGUUUGUUGUUAUAGUCUUAAUUGUGCUCAGUGGUUGUUGCUCAAACAACUUUGUCGAGUCAUAGCUGUGUUAUUGUUAAAAAGCAGUGGGAUGUGAGAGGGGGUUCAUAUAAAAUUCAUCUUCUUCCUUAUAAGUUUGACAAACUCAUCAACUGUUUUUCUAGGCGGUUUUAUAUUGUGCGUUGAUGCUUCUCAUUUAGUGUAAAGAUGAUAUAGGCCUGUGGGCUAUGUUGUUAGAACUCUUAAAAUAUGCUGCUAGGUGCAUGUCGGAUCCCUCAGAAGUAGUGCACUUUUGGAGGAUCCGACGUGGGUGCAACAACUUUUUGGCGAGUCUGAACAACAUAGCCUGUGGCACUAUUUACAACAAAAUUAUUCAUCCCACACCUCCCUGGCGUUCUAUUGUUGUCGAAUCAACUACUACCUGGUAAUUGUCAUGGUGGUUAACCUCUUUGAAUCUCAACUAAGGCUUGCUGCAUUAUUUGCAUGUUGAAGCUAUACUGCUGUUGGUGUUUUUGUUCUUGGACGGAUGUUUUGUGAGGCAUGGGGUACUCAAGCAAGCAAGAAGCAAGCAGAGUUCAAUGAGUUUCUUGAGGUAUUAAACUAAAAAUUGUUUGCUAUGUGGUAGAACUCAUGAUACAUACUUUAUAGAUAUUGCUGAUCCUUUCAAAUCAAUGUUUUCUUAUUACGAAUGAGCCUCAAGAAACUCAUUAAUGAUAAAUAUAGUUUAACUAAAAAAGCUUGUUGCUCUAGAAGACUUGGUGUAGUCAGAAGAAUAAAUUUGCUCAAUCUUACGUUUUUGCCUUUUAGUUUAUUCUCAAAAACUUAAGCUUUAAUUCAACCUCAUGCACUUGUGAGGUUCUCUUCCUUCUGUUUUACUUGUAAAUUUGUCGUUUAAAUUUUUCGUCUUCGCUGAUCUACUCAGUUCUAGCUUUUUCUAUUUGGCCUUUAUUCUGUUUGAUGUGCAGAUUUAAUUGGAUGCGUUGAUUGAUUUCUUAUUAUAUGUGUGAAUAUAUAUAUGUAUGUAUGUAUAUAUGUAUUCCAACCUUGUUAUUCACUAACAACAACAUACCCAGUUAUUCAUUACUUAAGAAAAAUGUUAUGAAGUCAUCAAAUUAGAUCAAAAAGGAUCUGCUGCCAAAAGACUAGAAUGCAAGUCUAGGUUUUGUUUGCAUCAUUGGCAGCAAAAAAUUCUGUAGCUCCUCCAUUUAAACUCAAUUGUCCAUGAGUAGAAGAAUUCAUAUUACUCAGACAACUGAAACUCUUAGUAAAAUGAAUCCUGAUAAUCAUUUAUGAAUCCUGAUAAUCAUUUAGUGCUCCUGAUAACUCAAAGGAACUCUUUCAACCUUUCCACUUUUUGUGUCAACCUUGCAGAUCUGCAGUGUUGAACCACAAAUGAGGUUUCUAUAUGUCAUUUGCUCUCUGGUACUGCAUAGACUAAUUCCCAGGCUUUCUUUUCUUAAUAACCGAGGAGAGAUCCCGUUAUGUAUAAAAGAUCGGGUAUCUUCCGUGGAGAACCAUGUUUUUUUGUGAGGUUCUUCUACCUUUUGGUAUACUUCUUGUCUAUGGGUAUUUAUGCGCUUCUCUAAUGAAAUAUUAUUACCUUAAAAAAAAUAACCAAGGAGAAUCCAUGAGGGUCAGAGGUGCAUGGUUCGAAAUUCGAUGGAUAAUGGGUCUACUACCCUUAAUUUAAAUAACAUGCUUUUGUCAGUGUAGUAUCUGGCUAUCAGUAGACCAAAACCUUGGGGCGACUAAUUCCAAACUUCUUGUGUUCAUAAAAAGAAGAGAUGGUUAUCACUAACUCUUACUAACAUAAAAUAGCUCUUAGGCUUUACGUGUUAUCAAACUAUAUCACGGGCUUCUUUUUUUUUCUCAAGCAAAAUAGGUCUUCUCCAGUCCUAGUCCACCUUGAUCAUCAUUGCAAACUCCAUUCAUGCUCAGAGCUUUCCACCCAAGUUACAAUAGCAGAAUCACUUUGCUCCGACAACUUUAGAUCUUUUUCCCACGUUCUAUGGCAUUUUGAACAAUGGAGGAUGUAUCUAAGGUUGAAAUAAUGGAUUAACUUACGUUUUUUAUAGUAUUACUGGUACUUCUAGAUGCUUAGCUAGUUCCACUCAAAGAUUCCCUAGACCAUCUAGGAGUUGGAAACUCAAUACAUUUUCUACACAAAUUAAAAUUCCUCAACUCUGUCUAGACCAGGAACAAACUGUUCUCCAGGAUUGGAACAAGCUGUGUUACUCUGUAAAAUCAUUGAAAAUGCUACUGAACUUGAAACUCUAGGUUAUAAUGGUUAUUUGAAGAUGCAAAGUCUUGGUUAUAAUUGUUAUUUGAUUUUUUUUCUUAAAAAUACUGAAAUGAAAUAUUUUGGCAGUUUAUGGGCUUUGGUAGAUCUUGCACUAGAGUUUUGGGGGAUAGUUUGUUCUCUAAUUUUAAAUUGUGAUAGUGGCAAUCAUUUUAUUGGUGCAAUCAUCUCCCAAGUAUGGUUAAGUGUGUCACAUAUUAUCACUGUUAAUCGAUUAUCACUUUAUUUAGAACUACCACUCUAAAAAUAUUACUCUAUUGGAAUGCCAAUUGUCAGAGCUCUAUCAAAUUUCAUUUUCAUUCUCACAUGGUGUUAGGCAUACCUGUGGCAACAUGUUUCAUUUUUCACUCUACAUUUUGUCAAUCUAGUUGCAAAAAGCAUUGUGAAGAAGCUCUUGUUCUGUCUUAUCGUUUGUAAACCAAAUUAAUAAACCUUGAAUGUUGCAGCGCAGUCGCAUGUGCAUAUCAAUGGAGUUGGUCACAGCGGUUUUGGGGGACCAUGGACAACGCCCACGAGAUGAUUAUGGUAAGGUUUCAAAAGAAGUCUUAACAUCUUCAUGCAAUUAUAUCCUAGAAAGUAGUCGUAUGCCUUGUUUUUUUUUAAAUAACUAGUAUCCGUACCCGCGCGAUGCGUGGACGAUAUUAAAAAAUUAUAAUCUUAUUUAUUUGAUCAAAUUGAAUUGUUAUUGUCAUUAGUUCAGAUAUCACAACUUGUAAUUAAGUUUUCAAAUUUAUACACGGAAUCACAACUAAUAAGUAAAAUUUCAUGUUGUAAGAUUAAGCCUAUUAAAAAACAUAUAAUCUCUAUUUUAUGUUUGAUUAAGCAUUUCAUUAUACAAAGUUUGAUUGUUUUAUUUUUAAAAAUCUCCUCAUAAAAGUUAUUUCUUACUUAUCCAAUGUUCAAUUGUCUUAAAUCUUUUCAUUCUGGAAAAAAUAGCUAUCAAGAAAUAGCGAUAUCAUGUAUGUAUGAAGGAAACAAAAGACGUCAAUAAACAAAUACAUAAAUUGUCUCUUUUAAAUAAUUUUCUCUAACCAUAUUAAUGCUCCCAAUCACAUGAAGGGUGAUGUAUAACUUGCUUUUCGUUAUAGAUAAUAAAGUAGUUUGAGAAAAUAGUCAAAUUGACAACCCAAGUUGUACAAUAAUUCUGUAAUUUCUUCUUACUUAAUACUUAUCUCCGUUCCUCCAAAAUAUCACAUAAUAAGUAACAUAACCAUCAACUAAUUGUUUGGCAUAAGACGACAUUUUAUGAAGUCACCAUUUUAGGUGAAAAUCUUGUUCACCUAAAUUGAUAGAGUAAUAAAGAAUUUAUUUGAGAUUAAAAAAUUCUACUGUUGAUGUUUCUUUCUCCAAGAUGCUCUUCUUCGCAAUUAUUCCUUGAUAAAAAAUAAAUUUAUUACUACAAAUUGAUGGCAAAAAUUGUAAAUAUUAUAUGGAGAAAAGCGUUUAUGACCUGGUAUAAUAUAAUUUAUAUUGCAUGAGCCAAAUAAUGAUAAUUAUAAGAUAAAAAUGCCACAAUUUCAAGAUUGAUAGCAAGAGCUCAUUAUAAUAUAGGACAAAAUGCUUGUUGUUCACAUCUAACAGUAUUUGCGGCUGGUUAAGAAAGUCAAGCUGCAUUAUGAGAUAAUAGUGUAUUUUUUGAAUCGGUAUAAGGUUAGUGCCAGUGGCAAGAGCUAGAGUUUUUUACUCUUAUACAGUUACGAUUUGCAACUAUUUUAUUCGAUAUUCAGACAUGUAAGAAGAACCAAGUUAGUGAAUUAUCUCAAGCAAAAAUUUAAUAUGCAAUUGAGACACCUAAAAUUUAUAAGGCAUCAUGCUUUAUAAAAGAUUAUAUCAAGUGUAAUACAUAAAGUAUAAUACAUAUUCAUAUACUUCAAUUUAAUUCAGCGUUGCUUUAAUCUGAUCAUAGCUGUGGUUCAUUCAUCAUAUCCUUGCUUAUUCCUCAAUUUGUAUGGUUCUGUAGGAACAUCUCAACCAAUAAUAAGAACUUAUCACUAAAUGCUUCAAUCUAUUAUUCAUUUUACCGAUUAUCAAUCAUAUAUUUCUCUCAUUGAGGCAAACUAAGAAAACCUUGAGAGUUAAGUACAGAAAUAAAACAAACACAAAAUCAUAGAUAAAAUAAAAGUACAAACAUGAAAGCUCACCGAGAUGGUAAGAUUGCAGAAUAUCUCAAAAUAGUUACUAAUGGUAUGCGAAAAUCCAUCCAUUGAAUUAGAAUUGGUCACCGAGUGAUAGUUUUGUGAUCUUUUUCUUCUCGCUUUUUUCUUCCUUGAUUCUUUUUUGAUCUCUAAGUGUGUUAUCUGGAAAAAGAAACUGAAGAUCAUUGGUAAAAAAAAUAAAAUGAACGUGGAGCAGUUAUAGAUUUAAUUUUGAUCUCCGCAAUAUGUAGGGAAGAAACUGAUGAAUCUAAGAAGGAUAACUGAAAUUCCCACAAUUUGUUGAGUUAAAAGGUUUAUCAUCCUUUACAUGAAAAUAAUCACAAAUUUGACUGAGAUCACAAAUUUUCUUGAACCCAAAAACUAAUAAAUAACGAAAUAAACAUUACCCAUUAAAAUGGAAUUCCUUGUUUCUACUUUCUUGCAUAGUACUGAUAGUUCUUUCCUUUUCUUAUCAUAAAAAUUUAUCAGUAACACUUUAUCAACAAUCAAUGAGAAUGAGAAGUAAAUUGAAAGUGAGAGCCAAAAUUGAAAUAAAACCUGAGAUUGAGAUAUUUGUUGUAAAAAAAACCAACAUGUUGAUGUCAGAUUUCCUUCCUAAUUGUCUUUAAUAUAAAUUAAUGGAUAAGGGAUUGAAAUUUCAAUUCUCAGAUGUUGCGCAGAGAAUGUGGAGUGCAGUUGAGAAUUGGGGAAGUGAGAAGUUUCUGGAGAAAACUAAAAUCAGAUAUCUUUUGUGUUUAUGCCAUAGGGCUUUUAAUAGGAUUUACAAUUUUCUUUUUAUUUUUUAAAAUUAGAAUUAUGUGGUGCUGACAUGUGGAGCUUUUUGCCUCUCCUUUUAUAUAUAUAGAUUGUGGUGUCAGGGAUAGCUUGACCCUCGACUAAUUCCAUGUGUACCUGCUACCUCCCCACUAGCUCAAGUAUGGAGUAACUUUGUCCAUCAAUGCUUGCACAGAAUGGAAAAAAUUAUCUAGUGCUUUUGCCUCCACUAGAUUUGAAUUUGAGACCUCAGGGUUCUCAACCCACUUCGUUGACCACUAGGCCAUGCUCUUGGAUGUUCUUUAGUCUUUUAAAAGAGUACUUGACUAUUUUUGGGUGAAAUUGGUUCUUGAGAAUCUGUUUGUCUUAAGAGAUGAAACCCUAUUCGUUGUGUUUAACUUUCACAACUUAAGGAUCUGUAGGUGCUUGCUUUGUAGGAGAAUUCUUAAUAAUUUUGGAGGUUACAUGAGAACGUGGAUUUAAGUACAGCCUUAGCACCACAUUUGUUGAUAUUUCAAAACGAACUUGUUUCUUGAACAAGUUUGUUUGUGGGUUGUAAUUGACUUUUGCAGCUUGUUCGACUGCAACCUUUCGCUGAUACUUCAUCUGAUCUUUCUUUGAACAGCGGUUGUGACUGCAGUCACGGAGUUGGGAAAUGGAAAACCAAAGUUCUAUUCAACUCCCGAUGUAAUUGCUUUUUGCAGGAAAUGGCGACUACCAACAAAUCACUUAUGGCUUUUCUCAACAAGGUAUGCAUUUAAGUGUGCUCUGGUUUCAUUCUUGGUGGAAAAUAUUUGUAUGGUUCUGUAGGAACAUCUAACCAAUAAUAAGAACCUAUCACUAAAUGCUUCAAUCUAUUAUUCAUUUUACCGAUUAUCAAUCAUAUAUUUCUCUCAUUGAGGCAAACUAAGAAAAUUUUGAGAGUUAAGUACAGAAAUAAAACAAACACAAAAUCAUAGAUAAAAUAAAAGUACAAACAUGAAAGCUCACCGAGAUAGUAAGAUUGCAUAAUAUCUCAAAAUAGUUACUAAUGGUAUGCGAAAAUCCAUCCAUUGAAUUAGAAUUGGUCACCGAGUGAUAGUUUUGUGAUCUUUUUCUUCUCGCUUUUUUCUUCCUUGAUUCUUUUUUGAUCUCUAAGUGUGUUAUCUGGAAAAAGAAACUGAAGAUCAUUGGUAAAAAAAAUAAAAUGAACGUGGAGCAGUUAUAGAUUUAAUUUUGAUCUCCGCAAUAUGUAGGGAAGAAACUGAUGAAUCUAAGAAGGAUAACUGAAAUUCCCACAAUUUGUUGAGUUAAAAGGUUUAUCAUCCUUUACAUGAAAAUAAUCACAAAUUUGACUGAGAUCACAAAUUUUCUUGAACCCAAAAACUAAUAAAUAACGAAAUAAACAUUACCCAUUAAAAUGGAAUUCCUUGUUUCUACUUUCUUGCAUAGUACUGAUAGUUCUUUCCUUUUCUUAUCAUAAAAAUUUAUCAGUAACACUUUAUCAACAAUCAAUGAGAAUGAGAAGUAAAUUGAAAGUGAGAGCCAAAAUUGAAAUAAAACCUGAGAUUGAGAUAUUUGUUGUAAAAAAAACCAACAUGUUGAUGUCAGAUUUCCUUCCUAAUUGUCUUUAAUAUAAAUUAAUGGAUAAGGGAUUGAAAUUUCAAUUCUCAGAUGUUGCGCAGAGAAUGUGGAGUGCAGUUGAGAAUUGGGGGAGUGAGAAGUUUCUGGAGAAAACUAAAAUCAGAUAUCUUUUGUGUUUAUGCCAUAGGGCUUUUAAUAGGAUUUACAAUUUUCUUUUUAUUUUUUAAAAUUAGAAUUAUGUGGUGCUGACAUGUGGAGCUUUUUGCCUCUCCUUUUAUAUAUAUAGAUUGUGGUGUCAGGGAUAGCUUGACCCUCGACUAAUUCCAUGUGUACCUGCUACCUCCCCACUAGCUCAAGUAUGGAGUAACUUUGUCCAUCAAUGCUUGCACAGAAUGGAAAAAAUUAUCUAGUGCUUUUGCCUCCACUAGAUUUGAAUUUGAGACCUCAGGGUUCUCAACCCACUUCGUUGACCACUAGGCCAUGCUCUUGGAUGUUCUUUAGUCUUUUAAAAGAGUACUUGACUAUUUUUGGGUGAAAUUGGUUCUUGAGAAUCUGUUUGUCUUAAGAGAUGAAACCCUAUUCGUUGUGUUUAACUUUCACAACUUAAGGAUCUGUAGGUGCUUGCUUUGUAGGAGAAUUCUUAAUAAUUUUGGAGGUUACAUGAGAACGUGGAUUUAAGUACAGUCUUAGCACCACAUUUGUUGAUAUUUCAAAACGAACUUGUUUCUUGAACAAGUUUGUUUGUGGGUUGUAAUUGACUUUUGCAGCUUGUUCGACUGCAACCUUUCGCUGAUACUUCAUCUGAUCUUUCUUUGAACAGCGGUUGUGACUGCAGUCACGGAGUUGGGAAAUGGAAAACCAAAGUUCUAUUCAACUCCCGAUGUAAUUGCUUUUUGCAGGAAAUGGCGACUACCAACAAAUCACUUAUGGCUUUUCUCAACAAGGUAUGCAUUUAAGUGUGCUCUGGUUUCAUUCUUGGUGGAAAAUAUUUGUCACAGUCGAUACAAACAACCAUUGGGCUAAUGACCUUUAGUUUGGCACUGAAAGUACAACAAUUUAGAACGACAUUGAAGUCUAUCUUGUAGCUGCAAAAAACAAAAUAAGUCGUUGAAGGCUUGGAAAUGUGGAUGCCUUAUACACGGAUCUUUUCUUUGUAGUAUUGCAAUAAACAGUAGGACAUAGAAGAAGUAGGUCUGUGAAUACUUGCUAAUUUUCCAAAAGAGCAAUAGGAGUUGGCUAGCGAGGUAUCACAUUGAGGCCCUCUAUGGGAUUGACUGUGGGUGGCAUAAGAACAAAGCUGUGAGAUUAUUGGCUGAUGAACAGCCCCAUGCAGCAUGAUGGUUUCUGGUCAUUUGUCUAAUAAACUGUUUUCUAUUUUCCCUCAGCCAAGGAUAGGGUGAGAGGUGGACAUGGACUUGUAAGCUGAAAUAAUUUUCUUAGUUAUUGAAAGAGAAGGGAGAAUGAGAUUUUAAUGUUAUGGCACAGAUAGAGGUGGGGUAGGUUAUGGCAUGCCUCAUUUGCCGCAUGCGAUGGUAGAGUCACACUCUCCAUUGCUAUCCAAUUGAGCAAGUUCAAAAAGUAAUUGAAGGAAGCACGAGCACAAAUCAGCAAUGUACUAGCUUUUCCGGUCAAAUGCCUAAUUUUGCAUUCAUAUUUUGUGAUGGGUGCAGAAUAUUAAGAAAUCCUGUGUAAGGAGAAUAAACCUAGCUUUUAUACCAUGUGAGAAAAAGAACAGAAUAAGAGAUUUUUUUUUGAGGGGGAGCUGAACUGCUUGAUUAUUGCCGUGAGUAUAUCACAACUUAAUUCACAAGUAGUCUAGAGGGAAGUAUUGUUCUUUAUUGCAAAACUUCAGGAAUUCUAGACCUUAACGAAUAACGUAUAUUCAAGGUAUGUAUAAUUGUCAUGCGUACAAAUCCUUAAUAUUGUUAACACGUAGCUCCAAAGACAAUGAGUCAAAAUGCUUAUUUGAAAUGUUGGUUAUAGAUGACGAACUUUGAUUCUUUGACGAUUCUUCCUUAAAAUGUUCUGAUUUUUGCUUGGAUGAACUUUAUUACUGAAUUUACAAGACGGAGAGGGGGUGAUAUUGGGAAAGUUUAGUACUGCCCUCUUAAUGUCCCAUCAAGAAGAUGUUUUAACAAAUUUCUCGAACUCAACGAAGUCUGAAAUUGCUAGACCGUGCUGCAGUUCAUGGCAUUUAUACAGAAAUCUGAAAGGACAAACUUUGAAGAUAUCUUUCGGAAGAGGGUUUUCCUCUUUUCGUUCCUGGGAAUGUCAAAUCCUUCAUUUUGAUGCUGUUAAGCUCAGCCUUUAUCAAUAGUUUUCUAAAAGUUGAACAUCCAGGCAAGAAGUUCUGUGUUCUAGUAGAUCUCCUUUGGUAGUGUAAGAACUCGGUUGCAAGUCAUGCUGGUAAUUUCCUUAGUUUUCAUGUUGAUGAUGACGAUAAACGACUUGGUAGAAGUGUAACUUUGUUUCUCAGCGGCUGCUGUGAGAAGCUAGGUCAUGUGGCGACUCUAAUACCCAUUUUGAAUUGCAUUUUACUUAUUGAAGAUGGUUGCUUAUCCAUUUAUUUGCCUUUCAGUGUCAAUCUAAGAGGACUGUUAAUUCACGUUCUCUCAUUUUUAUUAAAAAGAAGAAAUAUGAAAUUUGGUUACGUUUAUGUCUUAUUGGAGUAUGAUAAACUGUCUAGUUCUGAAAGAUCCCUUGGUUUUACACGUGAAGGAAAUCAGUGACUUCCUUCUUUGCUGUGUUUGAUGCCCUCUGCGAGGAAGGUACAGCAACCUCUGUUUGCCAGGCUCUUGACGAAGUUGCUGAUAUUUCUGUACCUGGUAAGUUUAACAUUGUACAAAACAUUCUUUAAAUUGUUCAGCUGAUUGGUCAUCUUUUGUGCCGUUUCUUUGGCCUGUUUAAUGCAGUCUCACUCCUGUUUUGUGUCUCUAUUGUUUCAGUUAGGUGGUAGUCGUAUGAGUGUGUUCUCUUCUACCCUCCUUCUAUUGAGGUGAUGUAGAUCAACUAAGAGUUGGAUGCAAAACCGCUUGGAACAUUAGCUCGUGACUUGGUAAAAAGUGUAGUAGGUUGUUAAAAAAUAUAGCAGAUGAUCAUCGGGAUAUAAAGUUGUAACUGUAUUUAUGCAUAUCGCUGCACUUCUGGAGAAGGAAAAGUUUUUGAAAUAAUGAAGUGAAGUAACUUGUAUUUAAGUAAGCUGGAGGAAGAGUUUGGUUGGACGCAAUGCCAUGCAUAUUCCGAACUCCUUCAUAUGACAUAUUGUCGUCAUGGCAUCCUAUAAUCGACCAAGGAAAUCAUUGCUAUGAUUAGCAGGGUCACAUAAGACCUAACAAAGACAUACUAUGCAAGAUUAGUAGAUUACUGCGAAGUUAAGUUGGCAAAAUUUCCUUGGCUAGAGAAGGAAGGAAUGAGAGUGUUGGGACUCUCGCAUUUUCUGUUUGUAGGUGAUACGUUUUUGUUCAGUGAUGCAAUGAUUUCCAGAUGCAACAGUUAAGGCAAGUGUCACUCAUCAUAUAAUUAUUUGUUUGAAGAUUAAUUGACAAAGGCUGAAGUAAUAAUGACGGAAAGCAUCACACAAUUUGAACAAGUAUUUAAUUGCAGAAACUAGAUUUGCUUAUUUGAAAAGGUUGAAGUAAGUUUUACUAGGUGGUACAAGAUUUACUUGAAGGUGUUAUUCCAGUACUUUUUUUUGUCCUCCCUGUUGUAUGUUAUCUUCAUCAAGUGUCUAUUUUUAUCACCAAGAAACUUGAGAGCUUCAAAAAAGAACAUUUUGUGGAAACAAAUGCCGAGAUGAAAAUAUUUCAUCAUGUACUAUAGGAGAUAACAUCUCCUAUGAAAGUGGGGGACCAAGAGUAGGAUUUGAGGGGAUUCGAAAGUGGAUAUGAAGAUUCAACACUGAUGAAAGAGCCCUUCGCAGGAUAGUCACCCCAAACAAAUACAGAAUUCAAGUAGGCGACCAGAGGAGAAGAUAUUAGGAUGUAUUAUGGGGGAGGGGUAUGCAGGGGGGCAUUUUAAUGGAAGGUAAAAAUAUUAUUUAAAAAAUGGCACGAACGUGUGGAACAUGGAUUUAUGUGGCCAAGACCUCCUAAAUAUUCGACUAUUUAAGGCAUAACGAUUCUAACCAUAUCAAACUCGAGACCAGUGAUUAUUGCACAAUUACAUCUACACAAAUUAAAGGAUGGAUGAUCCCUCUAAAGGUUGUGGAGUUUAGAAGGAAUUUAUAAGAUGGGUGAUUUAAGAAUUUCAUCUCAUGGUAUUAUACAAACCAGCCAAUAUUAUCAUUGGACCACAUAGAGGUGGAAUAAACAGAGUGCACAGAUUUUUCACUGUUUGGCCUCUUUAUCAUAAAGCUUCGAGAAUGUUGUUUCCUAGACAUGGCUAGCUGCAUAGUGAGCUAUUCUUUUGUGAAUAUAGAUUUGUCUAUCGGUAUGUCUUAUGUGUUGGGUGUGUAGUUAUGUUUUACUUGUAUUUCAAAACUUUGUUACACCUCCAUGUAUUUGAGGAAGAACUUGUGUCUUGUCACACCCACGAAAAAAUGAGCACGUCAAGGAAAAUGAAAGAUUUUAUACAAUGUUGUUCUCUUCUUGCAUAUGAGAUAUGAGUAGCAAGAAGAUAUCAUAUAUUAUAUGUGUAAGAGGUGGAGAUAAGAGUAUAUUAUUUACUUGUCUAUUACUAUGCUACAUGCAGAUUUUGGGGAUAUAGUUUUGGAUCUCUUUUGGCAUGCUCAUGAAGAAUGCCAAAUGCCUUUAAAUGUUUGUUUCGUUACUGGACUUUCAAAAGGUUGUUUGUUUCAUUACCGGGCUUGCAAAAGGUAGAAAAAGAAAAAAAAAAAUGCAAUAUUUCUGUAGAAACUAGAAGAUAUUCUUGUUCUCUUGAAAUUUCGUAGCUCCUGUGGGGUUUACAGUUAGUAUGGAUUGCUGGGUACUAUUUCUACAGAAUCAUAUUUUUUUCUAGAUUUUCUUCGGUUGUAUACCACUUGUAUACACUAAUAUUUAGUUCAACAAUCACCUUAUCGAAAGAGAAAAAGGAAGAUUUAGCGUGAAUUUAUCACUUUGUUGUGCUAGCACAUACAUCUACUUUUUCCAUCCCUCAGGCCGUUACUUUUGGUACAACUUAUCUAAGGUUUUACCUUGGAUUUUCCUGUUUCUUUCUUAGCUUCUUCCUUCACUCUCUUUUGCUCUUCAAAGGGCUUAUCUCAAUCAUACAUCCUUGCUCUCUGUGUAUGUCGUCAGAUUCAUUCUCGUACUAGAGAAAAUUGUGAGGACUCGGCAUCUUUUCUGUUUACUUCUUUCAAUCAGUAGUUUCAUUUGUCAUUGUGUUUGGUUAUUUUAUGGAUCUCUAAGAGUAUUUUAAUUAGAGCUCUAACCAUGUCGCUAAAAGCAAAAUGUUUCAUGUGCUUUUAAAUUUUGAUUGCUGCUAAAAGUUUUACAUCCUUGUGCGAAAUGAAAUGACAAUCUUAAAAUAUCCAUUCUUUCAUGCGAUUAUCUGUAUAUUUGGGAUUGACUUUUGGAUAUCUCGCAUCUGUUUUCUUUCUAAUAUGUUCACUCGCCUCUGCAUUAUUUGUUUAUGUUGUUUGUACUCGUCUUUGAGGUAGUGUUUCCGCCUUCAUACUUCGUUUUUGAUGUGCAGGAUCAAAAGACCAUAUAAAAGUGCAGGGUGAAAUUUUGGAGGGCCUCGUGGCACGCGUUGUAAAGCGUGAAAGCUCAGAGCACAUGGAGUGGGUUUUGAGAGAUUUUCCUCCUCCGCCAUUAGAUGUUGGUAAGCUGAUCUUUUCCUAUAUGAUCAUACUAAAGAAUCUAGACCAAUAUUUAUCCGGAUUUACAUGUUCUAUUUGUAUUCUUCAUGUAGUGAGAAGAUUGUUUUAUUUGUGGUGUGAUUUUCAUUUGAAUGGUUAAAGAAACCUAAAUGACUGUAUGAGCGACCCACAUCACCUUGUGACUGAGUUUUUGAAAAUGUAUCUUCUACUCAUCAACUAGUCCUCUGAGUCUUCUGUAAUACGCCCAAAUUAAACUGCGAAUAUAUUUCACGCGCAUUUGGAAUAAUUUUCAUCAACCGUACAAGCAAAAGAAUGAUAUCAAUGCUGAGGUGGCUAAAGUGGACUCAGGCAUCAUGUCAACUAUAGAAGGAAGACCUACCAGUAAAUAGAAAUAGGUAAUAGAAAUAUCCCCUCUCCAAUAAUUCAUGUGAGGCAGCCACAACAGGUUCAACUCUUAAUUUUUAUUGGUUGUGUGUGCUUUUUAUCUAUUUCUACUUUUGUGUGUCCUUGAUGUGAAUACAAUAACAACAAACCCAGUGUAUUCCCACAUAGUGAGGUCUGGGGAGGGUAAGAUGUACGCAGUCCAUCUCUAAAGAAGUAGAAAGGUUAUUUCCGAUAGACCCCCGGCUCGAGACACGGAAUAAUAAACAAAUUCAUAGUAAAGCAUGGGAUAAGAUGGCAUAACAUAAAUACGACACCCACAAGUAAUAGUGAACAGAUUCGUAAUAAAGCAUGAAACAAGGUAUCAUAACAAGAAUAAUACCCCCACCAAGUAAUGCCCUACACUAGCGACUCAAACUGACCCUAGCCUUCUGCCCUAAUUCGCGUCCUCCAGAUCUUCCUAUCUAGGGUCAUGUCCUCAGUGAGCUGUAACUGCUUCAUGUCCCGCCUAAUCACCUCUCCCCAGUCCUUCUUCGGCCUACCCCUACCCCGCCUAAAACUACCCAAAGCUAGCCUCUCACACCUACGAACCGGGGCAUCCAUGCCCCUCCUCAUCACGUGUCCGAACCAUCUCUAUCGGACUUUCCGUAUCUUAUUCUUCACUGAAGUCACACCAACCUUCUCCCUGAUAGUCUCAUUCUGAACUCUAUCCCCCCAGUCAGCCCACACAUCCAACACAACAUCCGCAUUUCCGCCACCUUCAUUUUUUGAAUGUGGGAGUUCUUAACUGGCCAACACUCCGCUCCAUAUAACAUGGUCGGACGGAUUGCCACCCUGUAGAAUUUGCCUUUAAGCUUGGGCGGCACCUUCUUAUCACACAACACCCCAAAGCGAGCUUCCACUUCAUCCAUCCCGCCCCAAUACGGUGCGAGUCAUCCUCGUCAAUCUCACCGUUACCCUGAAUCACGAGCCCGAGAUACUUGAAACUAUCUCUCUUACAUACCACCUGAGAUUCCAACUUCACUACCACCUCAUUCUCCAGCCUCACGUCAUUAAACUUGCAUUCCAAAUAUUUUGUCUUGCUCCUACUCAACCUGAACCCUUUAGACUCAAGAGUUUGUCUCCACACCUCUAAUUUAUCAUUUACACCCCCCGCGUCUCAUCAAUCAAANNNNNNNNNNNNNNNNNNNNNNNNNNNNNNNNNNNUCCAGCCUCACGUCAUUAAACUUGCAUUCCAAAUAUUUUGUCUUGCUCCUACUCAACCUGAACCCUUUAGACUCAAGAGUUUGUCUCCACACCUCUAAUUUAUCAUUUCCUUCUCCCCCGCAUCUCAUCAAUUAAAAUUACAUCAUUUGCAAAAAACAUACACCAAGGCACCUCUUCUUGAAUACGCCGCGUCAACAUAUCCAUCACCAAAGCAAACAAAAAGGGACUAAGAGUAGAUCCCUGAUGCAAUCCUGUCAAGAUAGUGAAAUGCUCUGAGUCUACUCCCGUUGUCCUCACCUGAGUUUUAGCUCCAUCAUACAUGUCCUUAAUUGCUUUGUAUAUGCCACCGGGACUCUACUCACCUCUAAGCACCUCCCUGGGGACUUUGUCGUAUGCCUUCUUUAAGUCGAUAAACACCAUGUGGAGGUCCUUCUUCCUUUCUCUAUACUGUUCUACCUGCCUCUGUACCAGGUGAAUUGCCUCCGUCGUCAAGUGGCCGGGCAUAAAUCCAAACUGAUUCUCCAAAAUAGACACUAUCCGUCUCAGCCUCACCUCGACCACUCUCUCCCAAAUCUUCAUAAAGUGACUCAAUAACUUAAUACCCCUAUAGUUAUUGCAACUCUGAAUGUCACCCUUGUUCUUAUAAAGAGGUAUCAUAGUACUCCACCUCUAAGCCUCGGGCAUUUUCGCCGUUUUGAAAAUUCCGUUAAACAAUCCAGUCAACCACCUUAAACCAGCCUCGUCAGAAAACUUCCAAAAAUCCACAGGUAUCUCAUCAGGCUCCGUCGCCCUACCCCUUCGCAUCCUGCGAACAGCCUCUCUAAUCUCCUCUACCUUAAAACGUCUACACUAACUAAAAUCCUGACACUCUUUUGAGUGCUCCAGCUCCCCUAACACAAUAGCUCUAUCCCUUUCGUCAUUCAAGAGCCUAUGAAAAUACGACUGCCAUCUAUUCUUAAUGUGGCCGUCCUCCACCAACACUGUACCAUCCUCCCCCUUUGAUGUGGAAGUUCAUGUAAUUAGUGGAUAGUCCUGCCAGAAAUAUGAAGAGCCUCUAGUACUUCUUAUUUAUUAUUUUUAUUUUGUAUAUUAUUGGUCGAAGGAGCCUAAAUGGAGCGACAUAGUCAAUGAGGAUUCAUACCCUAACUUACUUGGGAUUCGGGCAUAUUAGUUGUGAGACAAUUGGCUUUAAUUUUUGUUUUGAUGUGCAUUCGUAUUUUUCCUUUUUCUAGAGGGUUUGGACCUGGGACCUACGCUACGUGAAAUUUGUGCUGCAAAUAGAUCAGAAACGCAGGUAAUGUCGAUGUGGUUGAGCAGCUAAAGUAGUUUCAUGUAACCAAAGUACUAAACUCUAAGUCUCUUCUACGUGCAGCAAAUAAAGGCACUUCUUCAGAGUGCUGGCACGGCUUUCUGCCCAAAUUAUUUGGACUGGUUUGGAGAUGACGAUUCUGGCUCACAUUCAAGAAAUGCUGAUCGAUCUGUUGUCUCAAAGUUCUUACAGUCACAUCCUGCUGAUUUUUCUACAGGAAAAUUACAGGUUUGGGAAUUUUUUGAAGUAAAAAAAUUAAAAGAUCUCCUGAUUAAUUUUUUGAUGUUACUCAGUUACUGUUGGUUGUCUAUUUCUUGAUAGUCAUCGCUGACCUAACCAACUUAGUAUCUUCUUACAUGUGUUAUCACAAUCAUAUUAUCAUGGUACUGGUUUUUAGAAAGAGAGCUAGCUAGCCCGCUAGUAGUCUUAUAUUUACCCUAGUUGCUCUUCCCUAAUAACCAGCUUAUCAGAUCACCCUCUUCUUGUAGCAUGUUCAACAAUACCUCAUUUUAGCAUAAUUUUUUUCGCGAUGAUGAUUGCUAAUUGCUUCACGGAGAAGUAUGAAUACAGAAACCAUGGUUGGUGAUGUAGGAGAAAUAAAUUGUAGUAUUGGAGAUAUUAUUUUUUUACUUGUAAAAGAAAACUGAGGGAGAUAAUACAUCCUAAAAGGAAGUCGUAAUAGUGGAAGUAUCUCAUGCUUUCCUGUCACAAAAUCCCAUAGCUUUACUUCUACGUUCUCCCUUUUUAACUUACUAGUAUUCGUAUCUACACGAUGGGCGGUUGAUAAUAAAAAAAUUGAUCACGGCAAAUUUUAUAUGUGAAAGUAUCAACUGUCAAAUAUGUAAGAUAAUCGUCGAGUCUUCGAAUUCAACAAUUCAACUAUUCACCAGGUCUUUAAUGGAUAUUUCUAAUGAUUUUUUAUCAAAGUUAUAGCAAAAAUGUUUCCACUAACCUUCAAACUUUUCUAGUGCUAACUGAUGCUCUGUUGUAAAAUAGAACCCAACGGAUGUUUGGAACCACUUGUGAAGAGAUCAAAUUUUUACCAAAUAACUACCAAGCUAGGUUGAUCUCUUUUCCAAGCAAGUAGUCAAAGGAACAUAUUCUCCUCAAUUUUUUUUUGCAAAAUGCAAAAUGUCCAAAAUGGAAAGCACAUCAUUCAAUUUGAAUAAGGGAGUCGUACUAUUAUGUUGUAAAUUUGGUGUUGAUGUUUUGAUCAUCCUUUAGUUUUGCUCCCUAUUGUAGAUGACUUUUGAAUCUAUGUAUAUGUCUGAUUCUUUGUAACGGUAUUGGUCGAGCUGAAAAUGAAUGGUUGCCAGAGGAGAAGUAAAAUUUUUCUUUCAUUUAGCUGCACAAAACAACAGGAAGGAAUGAACGAAUAACUUCCCCAUGAAAAAGUAAAUCGAUGAGUCUGUCUCCCUCUUCACAUCAUUUUCACACCUCUCUGUGAGGUUGAGCAUGGUUUUCAGGAACUAUAGAUGUGUUAUUCACUAAUUGUAUGCGCCUUUUUUUCUCAUACAUGAAAAAGGUUGUGUUUUCCUCUCUCUUGCUAAAUUGGUCCUGUCUUUUGUCAUUACUUAAUAUGUUCUCACUUGACAUGCAUUCGCUGUUCCCUUUCUUUUCCUCCUCUUGUUGUUUCGAACGAACACUUUCUGAUUGUGCUCAUGGAACUACGUGGAUUAGUCUUGGUGUGUGGCUUAACUGAUUUGUGCCUUUUUCUCUUGAUUCCGAAGACCUGAUAGAUAGUUGUAAGGUUUUAGCUAUAUCUUUAGUCUCAACUUUGUUAACCAUCAUUUGGGAUGUACUCAUUUUCUUCAGGAAAUGGUUCGUUUGAUGAGGGAAAAGCGCUUUCCUGCUGCCUUCAAGUGUCACUAUAACUUCCAUAAAAUUAAUGAUUUAUCGAGUGACAACCUGCCUUUCAAAAUGGUGAUCCAUGUAUAUAGUGAUUCAGGUUUUCGCCGGUACCAGAAAGAGAUGAGGUCUACUUCUAACUAUUGCAACAGUAUUUUUUCACUACGUCUCUCAUUUUCACAUCAUUCCAGCAAAAUAAUGUUUAGCUUUUGGGUUCUGCUGCAUUUCGCCACAUCGUGUGAUUUUGUUGAUUAAAAUAAUUCUUGUCAUGUCAGGCACAAACCAGGCUUGUGGCCUUUGUAUCGAGGUAAUAUUUGUUCAUUUAUUAUUCUCAGCCAAAACUGGAACUGAUCUGCUUGCUGCUAUAGUUGCUAACUUUUAAAACCUUUUAACAUUGAAAUGAGACGCCAGUUCCUGUCCUAGUUUAUUAUGAGGACUCAUUUGGUUUGAUGGAUUGGAUAGAACAGUCAUGGCAUUAAAUUGAUAUUAUCUUAUCAAGUCUUUGGUUGGUCUUUGAGUCCUGCUUUGCUAAUCAUGUAUACACCAUUUGGCAUCAUUCUAUAACCUAAUAAAACAUGGAAUAACAAUACUAUAUGGACUAAACAUCAAAGUAUAAAUUUACCUUUAUUUUUUCCUUUAGUCCAUCAUCGACACCCUCUCAAUUUUGUUAAGUUCAAAAAUAAAUGCAUAUUUUAAAUCUUGCCCUUUAUAUCCCAUUUUUAGCAUGAAGAACCAAACCCCCCAAAAAAAAAGUCUUACACUUCAGUCCAAAACAUGUUGGGGUCGGCUAUAUGGAUUCCCACUUCUCCAUUUAAGCUCAUUUCAAAUCAUCAUCAUCAUACUAAAUAAAAUAAAAAUAAGUUUUAUAUAAUAUUGUGUGUAUACACACACACACAUAAAGAACUAAACGUCCAACAAAAAAUUAUUUGUGCAUUGUAUACCUGCAUUACUAAUCCAUGUAUUGCAGUCCUGCAUACUUGUUUCUUAACGAAAUGAUGCCUAAGAGAACUUGUCAGGAAUAUGGCCGAAAGUAUUCAUUCUCCAGAGUUAAAGAGGAAUCAUCUUCCUCUUCUGUAAGUAAAUCAGUGGUUUCUUUUCUGGUGCUUGAGAUGAAACUUCUUUUACUCCUUUUUAAGAACAAAGCUAUGGUAUAUAAAUAGUCGUAUAAAGUUUUGACGCAAUACAAUUUUAAAAGCCUCCUUUGGGGGAACACAAAGAGUUGCAUAGUCAUGUCAUGGUCACAUCUGAACAAUCUAUAGGACAUGAGUGUAUGCUUGAUUUUUAAGUUCCAAUUGAGAAGUAAAUAUAUUUUAUGGCCUGUUCUGCAAACUGUUGGCGUCUAAAGUAGAAUGGCUAGUUGAAUUUGUCGGCAGAAAGUUCCUGAUUAUUUUAGUCGGGGAUUUUAUGCGAUAAGAAGGUGCCUCCCAAGCUUAAAGGCAAAUUCUAUAGAGUUGCAGUCCGGCCGGCUAUAUUGUAAGGAGCGGAGUGUUGGCUAGUUAAGACUUCCCAUAUCCAAAAGUUGAAGUUGGCGGAAAUGAGGAUGUUGCGUUGGAUGUGUGGUCUUACAAGGGCUGACAAGGUUAGGAAUGAGAUUAUUCGGGAGAAGGUGAGAGUGGUUUCGGUGGAGGAAAAAAUGCGGGAAGUGAGGUUGAGAUGGUUUGGUCAUGUGAUGAGGAGGGGCACGGAUGCCCCAGUUCGUAGGUGUGAGAGACUAGCGUUAGAUGGUUUCAAGCGGGGUAGGGAUAGACCGAAGAAAUACUGGAGAGAAGUGAUUAGACGUGACAUGGAGCAGUUACAUCUCACUGAGGACAUGAUCCUGGAUAGGAAGGUUUGGAGGAAAAAUACUAGGAUAGAGGGAUAAGGUGGGGGGAUGAGUCGUAGUCCGUAGUUAGGAGGGUUUUGGUAUCUUUUGUUUGGUAAUGUACAUUAUUUUUGUGGAUGUUGUAUUGUUGUAUCUACGUUAGUUUUAUCAUGUUUCAUGCUUUGAAUAUUUUUGUAUAUUGUCCUGUGUCUUGAGCCGGGGGUCUAUCGAAAACAACCUCUCUACUUCUUUAGAGGUAGUGGUAUGGACUGCGUACAUUCUACCCUCCCCAGACUCCACUAGGUGAGAAUAUACUGGGUUUGUUAUUGUUGUUGUUGUUGUUGUUGUUGUUUGUAUGUAAGGAAGUUGAAGGUUAAAUUGCCAAUUCUUAUUGCUUUCUUCUCUUCUAGGUCAUCAACCUCAUACAGAUUAGUUUAACCCCCCUCCACCCCUGGUCCUCCUUAUAUCAUUAUCUUUUCAUUGUGAGUUGCUGAUGUAGCUUUUCACAGGCAUUUUCGUUGACCUGGAUCUAUUCAAGGUCAAUGAGAAGAAAAGUGCUGAGAUGGUAAGAAGUAGCAAUGAAAUGGUAAAAAAUGAGGAAGAGGACAGCAGUUUAGCUGAUGAAGAUGCAAAUCUGAUGGUCAAGUUGAAAUUUCUUACUUACAAGGUAAUACAGUUUUUAAAUACGCUUUCACUAACAGAGACUUCAUGUCACUCUCGCUUGUUGGUGAAUUGAAACCUGUUGUUCUGCUGCUCCUAGGGGCAUUCUUUUUCAAGUUGUAGUUAUCUUUUAAAUCAAUUGUAUUUCUUUAAUGCAUGCUCAUGCAGAAUAGAGCCAUUUAUGAGAUAAGUGCCCCUUAAUUUGUGCUUACCAACUAUAACCAAAACCGUAGGCUUAUAUGAUACUGGAAUUGUGGAAUCAAUGUUGAUCGCUUGAAGCUGGCAAGACACCUUCCUAGAUUCAACAGUAAACGACAUGGACUUGGGAUUGAUAGAUGUUUCCUUUAGGAUCCUUUCACCCUCUUAUGAGAAAUCAAAGUUUGUGGACCAUCAGAUGUCGAGAUGUCGAGCCUACUGCUUAAUUUUAUUUUAAGAAAAACCUUGAUACGAUCCUAGGAUCGCCCAACCCCUUCACUAGAAGUCAAGUUCGAGGGCUACAAGGUUUAUAGGCUGUAUCAACCAAAAGAAGGAUGUUGGAGCUUGAUUUGAGGCCGACCAAGGGAUGCCAUGAGCCGGAGAUCGAGUUGGAAGGCCAAAAUGACAAGAUUGAGGGAGGAGCUCACUGGUUUGGCGCGACUGGAGGUGCGACGGACCGUCACCAAGGUGACUGGCCGUCACUGUGGCCAUCCCAGGAAGCCCCAGGGCAGUAGCCCACUGGUUCAAGUUGACGGCCAAGUUGACCGACCGUCACUGUGGCCGUCACUUGGAGAUAGAAUGUCAAGUUCGUGGGUGUUUGUUUCUUUUAAUGCGUAGGUCACUUUUGGGCCUUAGUUUGGACUAUAAAUAGAAACUUCUAGGUUAUUUUCAUUAGUUUUUGUUGAAUAUUGAUGAAUUAACACUUGUAAGUGUUGUUGAGUUCUUGUUGAACUUGUUGAUUAGAGAUGGAGGAUGUUAGGAAUUUGAUAUCCUUUCGGUCCCCGUAAGAGCUAGGUGCUUGUGGUAAUCAUUAACGGAGGUUUUAGGGAUCGAAAUACCCUUUGAUCGCCCUUUAGCUAUCAUCUUGUGUCUAUCUUUCUAUCUUUUUAUCGGUUAAUUAUUUGUCUCGUUUUUCAUUUUUUUCUUUCAUUUUUGUGUGGUUUUCGUUUUUCAUGGUUUCGCUUGCAUCAUUUGGUAUCAAAGCCGAGCUUAGAAUCGUUUCCACGAUUCUAGUCUUGGGUUUAUUAUCUAGAAAAUCACAAAAAAAAGUCGUAUUCACGUUUUUGGGUUGUGUUGAAAUUUUGAGUUUUUGAUUUUUGUGUCAUUUUGUGUUUCUAGUACUAUUUGAGUCGUUAUCUAAAAUUUGAGUUUAAUUCGAUAAAUUUUGAGUGACUCACCAUUGUUGAAGCUUAAACUUGAAGAAAAUUCAAAUGAAUUUGAAGAUCUGAAAUUAUUGGGUGAGUUUUGAGCUAUAAAAACUAUUGGGGUUUGUUCCGGAGCUUGAAAUUAUUGAAUUCCGAGUUCGUUUGAUCGAGGGUCAAAAUUUUGACUGUUCUUCAAGUUCAGGCAAGAUUUUGAUCCAAAAGAAUUGAAAAAAAAAGAAGUUGUACUUGUUUAUUCUCAAGGAAUAUUCCCCAAAGAACAAACAAUUUUCUCACCUGGUGCUGGUGCUGGGUAACAGGCAUAGUGACGGUCAAUCACCAUCCCGACGGCCAGUCAACCCUUCUGUCACCCCAAGGCAGCCUCAACCACUUACUGGUUAAGGAGUGACGGCUAGAGUAACGGUCAGUCACCCCUUCAGUCACUUCCAUAAAGUUCCGUAAGCUCAUUUUAGAUUCUUAGUUUCAUUUUCCUUGAUUCUUAAAUAUCUUUAACUUGUUGAUUCUAACACUAAUUAACAACUAGUAAUCCAUCUACUUAGUUGCUAAUUAAUUCUUGAGUUCGUUUCUUUCCUCGUCCCAUUUCUUUUAGUGCUUUUCUUGUUUUACAUUGUCGUAAGUUCUUGGUUCAAGUCCUUAAGUAUUUCUUUAAGUCCUUCAAAAACACAAUGGCAUCUAGGGUUGAUAACCAAAGUGCUUCGGGAGAGAUAAACUUGGAAGCUAUAAUGGCGGCCAUAAUGAAUGUGACACGAGAUGUAAAGGAAAUACGAAGUGAAUUGUCGGGAUUGAAUGGAAGGAUGGUUAAUAUGGAAGGGUGUCUAAACUCCACCACAUCAACUCCUCAAAAUCUUCAUGCUUCAUCUAGUGGUCAUGCUCAUAAUACCUCCACUACUAUAACUCCAAAAACACUUCACCAAAUGCUCAACCCACCGAUACAAAUACACUAACCUAACCCCCAAAUCCCUACUUAUCCAAACAACCGGAAUCCCGUUUGCCCACUACAACCCCAAUUCAAUCAAGUCAAUUAAUAAGCUCCACAAAACCAUCCCAUCAUCCAAAACCAACCACCUCAAUCCCAACUAACCACAACUAACCAAUCCAAAUUGAGGAUGUGGAAGGUGAGGAACCUCGUAGAGGAAACGAAAAGUUGGAUGAAGUGGCCUUGUUUGCGGAAUUUGUACGGAAUAGACGAGGAUCUCAUGGGGAGGAUUUAAAGACCGAGGAGGAAGAUUUGGUCCGGUUCCCCAUGGAAGAGGAAACUUGGGAAACCGACCCCAAGUUCAAAAAGACCCUCAAUGGGACCAAGGAGGCAAUAUGGGACGAGACACGAGUCUUAACUCCAUCAAAAUCACUCUUCCUACCUUCAAAGGAACUAGUGAUCCAUCUGUCUACCUUGAUUGGGAGUUCAAUGCAAUAGGGUCUUCCAACUCAAUGAAUUAACCGAACACAAGAAGGCCGCCCAUCCAAUUGCUCAACUCGAAGGGUAUGCUUCUACUUGGUGGAGACUAAAAGAGUGCAAAGAGAGAAAUGAUAAUCCCGACCUUUCGGAUUGGGAUGAAUUGAGGGCACUCAUGAGAGAGAGGUAUGUGACGGAGAGGUUCAAACAAGAGCAACUCACCAAGCUUUAUAAUUUGCGACAAAGAGGUAGAAGUAUGGAAGAUUACUGUGAGGAAUUCCAAAAUUUGAUUCCUUGUCUUGAGAUUGUCGAACAACCUAAUCAUUAUAUGGCUAGAUUCAAAGAUGGGUUGAACUAUGACAUUGUUUCUCAAUUGGUUAUUCAUAAGUUUGAACAAAUAAAAGAUCUUGUAUAAGCGGCCAUCGAGGUUGAGAGGAACAACAAUGCAAAGGAGUCAUUCAAUAAAGACGACACAACUUCUAAUUCAUCCGGGUGGAACAAGAACAAGGAUUCCAACAAGUCCUAUGAGAAAAGGCCCGUUGAGAAGGCUACCCCAAAGUAUCCUCAAAGAAUUGAAGGUAAUCCCUAUUCUAACACCAAUCCUAGAGAUAUUGUUUGUUCUAAGUGUCAAUAAUGGGGUUAGAGAGCAAGUGAAUGCCCCAAUCGAAGAAACAUAGUUUUUGUGGGAGGUGUUGCCUACUUUGUUGGAGAUAAGGUGAACCAAGAAAUUGAUGAUGAGGAAGACUUUGAGGGUGAAGGUGAAGUUGAGAUAGGUGAAGGGGAACUUAGUCUACCCAAUGGUUUGAUGAAAAAACUUCCUCUUGAAGAUGCAUGGCCUGAGGAGGGGGAGAUUGUGAAUCUUAGCCUUAUGAUGGAACAAGUGAUGAGUGUUAGAGCCUUGGAAUACCCCGUCCAAGAGGAGAACAUGAACAUGACAACGGAAGGGGAACCUUGUUACCCUCCCAAGCUCUUGAUGUUUGCUAACAAUGGUACUAGCAUUUUGCCUAGCACCAACACUUUUCUUUUGCAGGGUUCGGAUUCGAAGACGAAUCCUUUUCAAGAGGUGGAGGAUGAUACAAUCCUAGGAUCGCCCAACCCUUUCACUAGAAGUCAAGUUCGAGGGCUACAAGGUUCAACCAAAAGAAGGAUGUUGGAGCUUGAUUUGAGGCCAACCAAGGGAUGCCAUGAUCCGGAGAUCGUGUUGGAAGGCCAAAAUGACAAGAUUGAGGGAGGAGCUCAUUGGUUUGGUGCGGCUGGAGGUGCGAUGGACUGUCACCAAGGUGACUGGCCGUCACUGUGGCCGUGGCCGUCCCAGGAAGCCCAGGGAAGUAGCCCACUGGUUCAAGUUGACGGCCAAGUUGACUGACCGUCACUUGGAGACAAAAUGUUAAGUUCGUGGGUUUUUGUUUCUUUUAAUGCCUAGGUCACUUUUGGGCCUUAGUUUGGACUAUAAAUAGAAACUUCUAGGUUAUUUUCAUUAGUUUUUGUUGAAUAUUGAUGAAUUAACACUUGUAAGUGUUGUUGAGUUCUUGUUGAACUUGUUGAUUAGAGAUGGAGGAUGUUAGGAAUUUGAUAUCCUUACGGUCUCCGUAAGAGCUAGGUGCUUGUGGUAAUUAUUAAGGGGGGUUUUAGGGUUUGAAAUACCCUUUGAUUGCCCUUUAGUUAUUAUCUUGUGUCUAUCUUUCUAUCUCUUUAUCCGUUAAUUAUUUGUCUCGUUUUCCAUUGUUUUCUUUCGUUUUCGUUUUUCAUGGUUUCGCUUGCAUCAAACCUUUUGGUGAUACUGCACUAAUCAUUUCAAAGACAGAUAAUCUUCUGUUUUUGAUAUAAACAAUUUGUACAAAGAUGGGUAUAUAGAAGUAGGUUCCGAAGUAUAGAACUCCAAGAUCUAAAAGAACACAUGCGAGAAUUAUUUAUUAUGCACUGCACAGUGACGGCUAUGGAGCCCUUUUUCAAACCUGUUCCAUCUUCCAGUUAUGUUAUGUCCUUAUUUCCCAUGCUGCCGUGUGAAAAAGAUUUUGGACUAGGUCAAAGGAAUUUUGUUGUGGAAUGGGAACAAAGAAAAGUGAGUGGUUCAUUUGUUGAACUGAGGUAGGGUAGUUCAAGUUGAAAGAAGAGGUGGACUCGGGAUGUAAAACUUGAAUGUACAUAGUAAAGCUACCAAUGAGAUGGUUGUGGAGGUAUGGAAAGGAGAUUAGGAACUUAUGGAGAAGGCGAUCUCUUCUAAAUACAGAAAAUAGAGAGUUUGGUAUACAAGCGGUAUCUAGUCUUCACAUGGUUUGAUCUGUGGAAACACAUUUGCACUUUUAUGGCCAGUUUUCGAAGCUUACACCAAAACUAAUGUUGGGAGUGGCAGGAAUACAAGGUUCUGGCAGGAUUCUUGGAUUCUCCACUUAUGAUAGCAUGUAAUGAUCUUUUUAGCGUCUCUUCCUAUGCAGAAACCCUUGGACUUGCCCAGUCUUGUUCUAUUUUUGGUGUAAAUAAGAAUUUUAGAAGAUCCUAAAUCUAUUUAUGAUGUAUUAGAAUCCUUUUGAGAAGACAAAGGAUUAGAAGUUGUUUUUCCCUUUAUCUUGUAACUGUGGGUGAUCACUACACCCUUUUUGUAGUUUAUUUAUAUUACGUUUUGAAAAAAAAAAGAGUCGAGGAACGGAUAAGAUACAGAGUUCAUAUCUAAUAUCAUAUAGCUGGAACCUUGAUAUGCCUUAAUGCGUUUUCUAUGAGGUUCUUUAUAUGUUGAGAUUGAGCUUGAGCCUGCAAAUUGAAUCAAAAUUGUGGAAGCGACAUCAUCAAUUUUGUUUUUUCGGUGCAGUAAGAUGCUACAUGGUUGUUUCUCCAGUUAAUAAGAUUUAAAUCUGGAACAUAAUUGGUUAGCAUGUUGCUUUGGAAUUUAUCGCACGUUGAGCUAAGAAACUUCAUCCUCAUUUUGUUUCUUUACUGUGCAGUUGAGAACUUUUUUGAUCCGUAAUGGCUUGUCGACUCUUUUCAAAGAAGGCCCUUCUGCAUAUAAGGCUUAUUACCUCAGGUGAGGUUUACCUGGUUGGUUUUUUGUUCUUCAAUGGACAAGUUCUAGUUGAGCUCCAUGGUGCCUUCAUAUGCGCUGUGUUUGCAUUUCAGUUGGUUCGAUAAGGAGCUGCUGCUAUGUUGUAGUCGACAUAAUUCAUUAAUUAUAAGUAGUUUAAUCCACAUCUUAAUUGUUCUUCUAAGGGUGUUUGAUGUCAUAUAAUGAAGUGCUACAGUUCUAAUGAAUUGUGCAAGUUGUCUGAGAUGCUCAUAGUGAAAUACACUUGCCUUAUUUUUUUUUUUAAAAUAGAAUAUUUGUCGUGAUCAACCUUCACAUUAUGGUCUUGAAAAGCCAUAUCUUCAUUGAAUCUACUAGGCUAUUGAACUAUUGACGAAUUUCUAGUUUUCAGAUCUUAUAUGUCCAGUCUGGCUAGUGUAACUACUUUAAUUCUAGACCUUAAAACUUUUUAGUAGUUGUUCCUCUUAACCCAGCUUGAGGUUAUCUAACAAAUGUCUGUAUUUUUACAUUCUCAAGCUUGUGUUUUUAUGCCCAACCUGAUUCAUUGAUACAAGGACAUGUUUCUAGUGAACUUCCUUUCAAAAAGAGUGAACGGUGUUUUGGCUGUACUAUAUAAUCUAUUCUCAAGGAUAAGUUAUAACGUAUAUUGAUCUCUAUAGCAAUAUGAUCAAUCUAGGCAAAUGAAAAUUUGGAAUACUUCAGCAGCCAAGCAACGAGAACUCAGCAAGAUGCUUGAUGAAUGGUAAUACUAAAUAAACUAAUGAUUUUCUAUGAUGAGCCUCUUUUAUCUUCCCAACGCAGCAUCUUACAGGACCUAAUUUUUCAGGGCAGUAUAUAUACGCAGAAAAUAUGGGAACAAACCAUUGUCAUCAUCCACAUACCUAAGUGAAGCGGAGCCCUUCCUUGAACAAUAUGCAAAGCGUAGCCCACAAAACCAGGCUUUGAUAGGAUCUGCUGGAAAUUUUGUCAAAGUUGAAGAUUUUAUGGCUGUUGUUGAAGGAGAAGAUGAAGAGGGUGAUCUUGAGUCCAUGAAAGAUAUUGCUCCUUCAAGCCCUAGUAUUACCACCAAAGACAUGGUUGCAAAGAAUGAGGGCCUCAUUGUUUUCUUUCCAGGUAAAAUUGAACUGGUUUUGAAACAGUACCUUUUAUCAGAAAAAAAAGGAAGAAGAUUGAACUGGUUUCGAAUAUUCAGAUUGUGUACGGCAUCUGAUUUUUUUAUGUACUAUUAUAAUUUAAAUGUAAUAAAACCUCUAUUAGAACCUCCCGCAACUAUUGAAGUAAGCAUUCUUUUUGACAAGCAAUGCUAAAUUGCAGGAAUACCAGGCUGUGCUAAAUCUGCACUGUGUAAGGAAAUACUGAAUGCUCCAGGAGGGCUUGGAGAUGAUCGACCAGUUCAUAGUUUAAUGGGUGAUCUUAUCAAAGGUAUGAGGUGCUUUUCAACAUCUUUUUGUUUGUUCCUUGUUCAUAAAGGAAUUUGAUUUUGAAUGCCAUGUGUCUUGUGCCUUUAGGUUGUUGUCUGCAUAUCGUGUGCUCACUUCUGCUCGUCCUGUAUGAUAAUGUUUGACGAGCACAAGGUUUAGGACGUGUAUUUUCCUUGUAUAUCGGAGCAGUAAUAGUGGAAGAAUAUCUUCAAAUUAAUGGUUGGAAGUUAGUUGAUAGAAAACAACCACAUCAAAUUUUUUAAAAAUUGAAUUCUUAGCAGUUGUGAAAGUUGGACAUUUUGGGACAUCCCUUAACGGAAGGACUUCUGCAUAUUAUUGGGACAGAGGGAGUAUCAAUUAGUUGUUCUGACAAGCAUUUGCUCUUUAAUACAGGUUGAAACCAAUUGAAACUAAGUUUUACUUAGAAUUAAUGCAUUGUCAUCUGGUUCUUUCCUGCCACAAACAUCUGACUCCUGAAAAUUCUAUUACUCCCUCCGUUUCAAUCUAGGUGUCUCAGUUUAAUUUUUAGUCUGUUUCAAAAAGAGUCCCUCUUUCUGUAUUUGGUAACUCUCUGUUUCCAACAUACUACAUCUCUUGUUCAUGAGAUUCAGUGGAAUUUUGGUACAGCACACACACAUCUUUGUUAAGACGACAAGAUUCAUGAGUCUCCGGUAUUUUCCUAAAUUUCGUCCUAGUCAAACUUAGACACCUAAAUUAAUGUGGAAAGAGUAAUAAACUCCCUAUUUUCCUUGCUUGAAGAACUUAAAUCUCUCUCAGAUAAUAAAGUUUGAUCUUUGUAUGUCCAUCAUAUUAAUAGGUAGAUAUUGGCAAAAAGUUGCUGAUGAGCGUCGAAAAAAACCUUCCUCGAUCAUGCUUGCAGACAAGAAUGCACCAAAUGAGGAAGUACGGAGACAGGUAAAGUUUUGUAUUUAUUGAACUGUUCCCUGAGUAGUACAAAUCCUCUGAUGCAGUUUUUCAUGAAUGGCCACUUUUUAAGGUUAUUUUAAGUUCCAAGUUAACAUAAUGCAGUGUUAGUGCAUCAGAUCUUGAUAUUAAACAUUCUAGUUGUAGCAUCAGUUCUCUGUACUUUGGGUACUGCUUCUUACAAUGCCAUGGAGUGCAUCUUCUAAUUUUAGAGUACAACGGAAUGCAUAAAAAGAACUUGAGUUUUAAGGUUAUUUCAGUUUGGAAAUAACAUAAGAUGUAGUACUAGCACUUCAUUAUCUCACCGGGUUUUAUUCUCAUCUUUGCAGAUUGAGAACAUGUGCCUAAGCACCAAAGCAUCUGCUAUCCCAGUUAUACCUGAAUCAGAAGGUCCUGAGAGAUAGUUCCUUUUUAGUUUCUGAAUCUAUUAUGCUGCUUCUCAUGCAAGUUUUCUUUAAUUUCUGAAAAGCUGGAGCAAUUGAUUUGGUAGUUCACCCAGCAGUUUUAUUUUGCAUUUCUUACUAUGUGAUUUGUGUUAUUGACAAUUCUUGUUUCUUGCUAAGUGAAAAAUUUUGUCCAAUUCAUGUGGAACUGUGACUUUGCAGUUGUCUUGUCUGUGUAGCUUAUAGCGGUGAACCCUCAUCUUGAUAUAUGCUUUUGUUUCUUGGAGAUGAGACAGAUACUUCCCACCUCCACGCCUGGUAUUGCAGUUGUGUUAUAUUUUUCCUUAAGAGUGGUGAAGCUCUGUAUCAUCUUGUUAUAUGUUUGACAAAUGAUAGGCUAAUUUGCUUCAUGGUGCUUGCACAAAUGAUGUUCAACAUUACCUUUCUUUAUGGGUCAGUGGUGUUGGUAGCGGUAGUAAGAAUUGCUUGUUAAAAAGUUCAUUUGCUUGUUCCUUGAGUCAUACUCAUCUUAGUUACGACCCGUCUAAUCAUGCAGGAACUGUCAAUCCAUUCUCCAUUGAUGCACUUGCGGUUUUUAUAUUCCGAGUACUUCACCGUGUUAAUCAUCCGGUACUUAACACUUCAUGUUACUUUGUCCUUGUAAAAUUCUCUUCACCCAUUUACUCCAUUCAACUUGGGUAUUGAUACCUCAGUCCUCUCUUUUUUGCUUGAUCCUCAAGGGAAAUCUUGACAAGUCAUCACCAAAUGCUGGUUAUGUGAUGCUAAUGUUUUAUCACCUUUAUGAAGGAAAGGUACAAAGUUUUGUUCAGCUAACAAGAUUAUCUUUCUUUCUCCAGUAUUUCAUUAGUCAUAAAAAGUAAAUAUAUAAGGCAUCUGUAUGAUUCUGUUGGUACACUUUCACUCUGAGCCGUCAAGAGUUCGAGAGUGAGCUUAUAGAACGUUUUGGCUCACUUGUCAAAAUGCCUCUACUGAAACCUGAAAGGUUAGUAAAUUUCUUUCUUCUGAACCCCAAAUAAUAUGGUUGACCUCUUCCGGUUGAAGUGAUUGAAUUGCUCAUUACUGGAUUAGGUGACCUUUUUGCUUCCUCUUUAUUAGUUGGUUAUGUUAGAUCAGAGUUCAAACUUUCUUAAUAAUCCAUCAAAUUUUGAAUCAUUAGUAAUUUCUCAGUUAUAAAGAGAGUGUUAGUGUUAGUGCAGCAGAUACAAAAACACCAGGUCAUCUUGCCAUUUAUCCUAGCAAUGGUGGAUAGAGUUGCCUAGUACCCGUUGCUGGUGGGAGGUGACAAGUAUCCCGUGGAAUUAGUCUAGCUGCAUGCAACCAUGGCCCGGACGCCAUGGUUAUUAAAAAAAAAAUGUUACUAUUGGACCCAGAUAUCAUAUUUGUUGAAAUAAUGAAGCAAAUAAAUGGAUGCUCCCUCUAGUAGCACAAUUCAACAUAGUAUUAGAGCAGAUAGAGGGUCCCAAGUUCUAGUCUUAUUGUCGCCAGUUGUCAAGAAAGAGUUUCCACAUCUUUUAGCUGUUGAAAAGCGUCUGGCGUGCGUGUGAGGGAGGCUUGUUGAAGACAUAAUUAUGUAGAUAAAAGUGUGCUAGCUUAAGUUUUCAGGUGGGAUUGUCACACACUUCAAUAAUUAGAUUGGAGUUAGUCACAAGAGAAACGUGUAAAUAUGUAUUAGUGUUCCACAUAGGACAAAUAUCAUAAAUGUUCGCAUGGGACACCUAUAAUUACAUUUUCUUCAAUUCAUCAAUUCAUAACUAGAUCUCUCCUGUCCUCUUCUUUAUGCCAUUGUACUUUUUAUAUGCUAUUUGUCUCCUUAUGUUUCUAUCUCCUCUUAACUUCACCCUUGCUUUACUUGCUGUUGAUAUUGUUUUAUGAUCAUUUGAAGGUCUCCUCUUCCGGAUUCUGUGAGGUCUAUUAUUGAGGAGGGAAUCAAUUUGUACAAACUUCAUACAAACAAACAUGGAAGGUCAGUGUUACAUUCAGCAAAUGUAGUUAAUGAGUUCCUCUAAACUCUCUCCCCUUUUUGCACUUGAGUUAUAGUGUUAAUGGUAAGAAGCUGCAUGAUGCCUUCUGAUAUGUUGCACGACGUGGAGCUAUCUCUCUAUUUCAUCCUCAGCUAAAAUUAUUUUCAAUGCAAUAGUUUGUAUUAAAGCAGUGUUUCUCAAUAAUGUGGUGUUUUACUAGGUUAUGUCUGCCUUUUGCUCUCUCAAGGAUGGCAAGAGACGUGUUAUGGAAUUGAUGGUGGAUAUUGAUUUACAGAGGUCCACUUAUCCUAGAGUGUCACCUUCUGCUUGCCCCUUUGUGGGUUUCCAAAGUCUUGUCAUGUCAGUGGCAAUUAUCUUCCGUCUUAGUCACGUGGAUGCUAAGGUGCAGCUUUGCUGUGAAUAGCAACUCUUUAGUUCUAGUAAAGUUCUAAAUAAUUUCAGAAGAAGAUGUUGGUUUGGGAAACAGAAAUUACUUUUCUUGUGUGGAUUCAUCAGAAACCGAGUAGAAGCACCACAAAUAAACUAAUGGUCAAUAUGUAGAUGUGGAGCACAAACACAGAUCUGUGUAACUGGACUUGUAAUAUAAGAUCAGUAAGUUAAAGAGAUGUCCUGCUUUACUCUGUUUUAUAUUCCCUAUGGGUGCCGUAUCUAUGUUAUGUCAUCUGCUGCUGUGCUGUACUAUGUGUUUGUGUGAUAUCUCGUGACUUGAGCCGGGGGUCUUUCGGAAACAGCCUUUCUACUUCAUCAGAGGUAGAGGUAUGGACUGCGUACAUCUUACCCCCCCCCAGACCCCACUAAGUGGGAAUACACUGGGUUUGUUGUUGUUGUUGUUGUUGUAGUUUGUAUUGAAGAUUAAGAUUGUGUUUGAGAUUUCCACUUUCUAUCAGAAGUAGGGAUAUUACGAGUUUCAAAAAUAAAAGUACGGAUAGUAUGUGUGAAUCUUUCUUCCAUCUUCAGCUUGGAGGCUUCGAAUCUCAUUAACUUUGUGAUAAUUGAGUUGUAUUAUGAUGCAAAGAGGUUUUGAUACUUAAUAAUUAACUAUGAAUACUUGUGGUUGGUGGAAAAGUUAGAAGAAUAUUACACCUUAAAACAAUGAUUCUCCACCCUUAGGGCUUUGGUGUAGUGGUAAGAGCACAUGUGAUACAUGUUAAGGUGCACGUCACAGGUUCAGACCGUGUCACAGGAAAGGCAUGGUAAGUGGAAUAGGGUAGAGGGACUGUCCCAUUAUCCACCAAGUUCCGAAUAGUGCGCCGCUAGCCCUAGGGGAUUUCUCAGUUGCUAAGGAAAAAACAGAAAUUUUGCAGUUAAAAGUAAUGCUAUGUUAUCUUUAGUUUCCUCUUUCUUUGGUUCAAGAAUUUCUACUCCUUUCAUCACUUGAAUAUGGUCAGACCCUUCUAUUUUGUUGUUUGUCUUUUAAUUACUGUUUUGGUGUCAACUUUUAGAAUGGAUUGAAUGGUUCAAAGUAGCUCAGAUCCCUAUCAGAAAAAAAGUAGCUCAGUUUUGGGGUUUAUCAGUGUUAAGAAAUUUAGGGCUGAAGGGUUCUAUGAUUUGAAAUGGCAUUUGGAACUUUCAAGCAUCAUAUAGUUGGGGAAAAGAUGGAUCUGAGGGGGCUCUUAUAGGCUGGCAAAGCAUUAACACAAGUCUGAUAUAGUCACUGAUUUCCAGUGUCUUGACUCUACUGCAUAAAUUUCUGGCUUCUGUAGCAUGAUCUGGAGUAGUAAACUCCUUUUUACUCUUGAAUAUAUCAUUCUGACCUCCUUGUGUUGCUUUGCCUAAUAAUAACUUCGUAUAUCCACAUAUAUUCACUGUAAUAAAUUAACUGCAAUGCAAGUAUGAAAACCUGCAAUUUUUCUUCAUGUUUUAAUAGGGUCUAAACAACUUAUAUGCUUUUUCUUUUGGGGUUAAGAUGUCUUUUCUCAAGCAUGACAAUAAAAGAAUAUAUCUCCACCAACCAAAAGUUGGGUGUAUAUAUCGGUAUGACUGGCUUUUCCUAGCAAAAUCAUGUCAUUUUUCUAAUUAUACUUGGCAUUUGGAGGACAAGAAAGUCUGGUGUUUGGUUACGCAUUGACAAAGUUCUGUUUUUGUUUAUUUGAGUGAUAUGGUCAUGAGAAAAGGCUAAGGUCAUCUUCCUCUGUCUAUAUAAGUUCUCACUUUAUUAAAAAAGUUUAGAGAAUUAGUCGGGUUUUCAAUUGAUUGUGACUGAUGAAUUUUCCCCCUUUGCAUGAUUUUGUCCGUUCAAUCUGGUAGAUUGGAGUCUACAAAAGGGACAUACGUAAAAGAGUGGGUUAAAUGGGAGAAGCAAUUGAGGGAUAUUUUACUUGGAAAUGCGGACUAUCUCAAUUCAAUACAGGUAAAUUUGUGCGACUUAGCAGUCCUUUCAGAUCUCUGAAGGCAUGUAAUAUCUCAUCUCACUUUCCACUGGAAAUGCAAUUUAAAUUGCUAUAACGUUAUUCAAGCCCUUCACUUCAAAUGUUCCCGUGACGUGUAGCGGUACUACAUGCAUACUCUAUUUGAGUUGUCAUACCUGUGUAGGAAUUGUAUGUUAAAUACUGGAGUAGUUCAUGUGGGUAUCAAUAAACCAUUUUAGUGAGCCAUUUUUUUUUUUUACCUGCGCUGUUGCAUAAAUGUGUUUUUUCUCUAUGUAUCUUUAUCAUCGGAAUGUGCAGGGGUUUGGGGUGGGGGCAAGUUGGAGGUCAUGUCUGUAGAAAAAGACUCAAUUACUUUUCCUUAAAUGAGCUUGUAUGCCAAAGAAGAUCAUAAGUGCUGCAUUAGUAACGCCUUCUAGUUGGAUGAUUUCGUUGGAUGGUUCAGCAAUCCAUGAAGCAACCCCCCCGGAACCCCCUGGCUCAGUGUGAAAGGAGAGAGUAGUGACAGCUCUAAAUAAGUCACCACAUUGUGGUAGGAGAGCUUUGGAGUGAUUCUGCAAAAGUUUUGUUUCAGGUUCCAUUUGAAUUUGCUGUUAAAGAAGUCAUUGACCAACUGAAAGCUAUUGCGAGGGGCGAAUAUGCAGCGCCUACUUCUGAGAAGAGGAAACUAGGAUCUAUUGUGUUUGCCGCUAUCUGCCUGCCAGUUCCAGAAAUUCUAAGUCUUCUGAAUGAUGUAAGUGAAUUUGCAAAAUUAUAAUUAUGGAGUCCUUAUGACUGGAGAUUUUAUGUCUUGAUGGUUGUAGUUAGUGGUUUAUGUUCUUAUCGUACUUCUUAGUUUGUGCACAAAACAUAUAAUUCCUUGUGGCUGGAUAAUUUUCUUGGCAGGUUGAGGAGACUGAUAGUAAUUCUUGUUUAUUUGUUUGCUGCCUUUGUUUUCUUUCAGUUAGCAAUUUCUUUAUUCUAGAAAAUAAAAAAAAAGAUAUUCUGCUUUGACUCUUUUGUCUUUCCAAUCUGUAAUGAUUUCCCAUCAUCUGAAAUUUCUGCAUUUCUGUCUAAAAAUCCUUCGGGUAAACAGUGAAGGAACUGAGGAGAGGCAUUCUAGUUUUGCAUAAAAGGACUCGACUAUGUUAUCUCAUGCUUCUCAUUUAUUUGUGGACAGCUAGCCCAAAAAGAUCCAAAGGUUGGCAAUUUCUUGAAGGACAAAAGCAUGGAGAGCUCCAUUCAGAAGGCCCAUUUGACCCUGGCUCACAAGAGAAGUCACGGUGUCGCUGCAGUUGCCAAUCAUGGUUCCUUUGUUCACGAAAAGGUGCCGGUAGACGUGGGUGCUUUGUUGUUCUCCGAUAAAUUGGCCGCACUAGAAGCUGAGCCUGGCUCUGUUGAAGGUGAAAAGGUCAAUUCUAAAAACCAAUGGCCCCAUGUCACAUUAUGGACUGGGCAAGGAAUUGCAGCCAAAGAUGCCAAUACACUACCACAGCUACUUUCCCAAGGGAAGGCUAACCGCGUUGAUAUAAAUCCACCGGUCACUAUAACUGGCACUCUCGAAUUCUUUUGAAUUCUAAUUGUAAUUCCAAGUCUUUUGUGGAUUUACGUAAUGUGAACCCUACAUGGGUUCUGAGUGAAUAUCAUGUAAUGAUUCUCCCAAGUUAACGGAACAAUUUUGCAGGAUAGAAUUAGAUCUAGAGAAAAUGUAAAGAUGAUUUUGAGCGCUGUGGGUAAUUUUGAAACCCCCCGGUAGCAUUUCUAAUAAAACCGUUUCGUACCCGUGUUUGAUAUAACUAGUGUUAUUCCUGAUAUGGGUUUGCAUCUGUUCUGCAGCAACUUGAAAUCGAAAUCGAAAUCGAAAUUGAAAUCUGUUCCAUUAAAUUGUCAUUGGAUUGAAAUUGUAUUUCCAGAUUCAUUUGUUUGGGCAGUGUGGUAAGACAACCAGCAAAGUUCCUAGUAGUAAUGAGCUCACCAAAUUCCUCCGCGGCAUCUAUUUGAGACAUUCUCAAUCCCAUGUAAUUGCAAUUGUGGCGUGAGAGACACUACUCAUCUGUACAUAAUUCUAUGUGAAUUUGCAAAGGAUCAUCUAAAAAUUGAAACAGGGUUCCAACUACUGAUCCAAUUUGACAGCAUCUCCACAUUUUUGCUUAUAUCUUCAACAGAAUCACUUCCAAGUGCCACCACAAUAUCCUCUGGAUAACUCUCCUUUGCCUCCUCCAGCAAAAUUUGAAAUAUUUCGCAUUCAAUAUUAUUGGUGAGCUUUUGACCUGUGUAGCCCCUGGUAAAUUCAGAAAGUCGAGACAGAUUUGUAUGAGCAACACCAAGAGGAAUAUAUGAGAACAAAAAAAAUAUCAAUUGAUGGUGUACCUUCUACUUAAUCUAUCAUACAAGACAGUAUUGUCGGUUUGAAGAACCACCACUCUAUCGAAGCAACGUUCAGGAAAGAAAUCACAACCAUGAUGAUCAACUAUGUUUCCACCUGCUUCCAUCAUGUCCUCAAGUGCAUCACAUACCUACAGUAGCAAAAUCAUGAAACUUGUACAACACAAUUUCUUCAUAGUUAAUUGUAUGAAAUACAAGGUCCGUUUCCUUAAGAGUUGACAAAUACCUUUUAUUGCAUUACUACAGAAUAUUUUUAAAACUCAAAGCACUAAGAACACAGAUGAAAAGUACAAUUUUAGUAUAUCUGCAAGAGUGACAAUACCGGUUAACCACAUUGGAGCAAUAUGAACAUAAAUUAUCUAUACAUAACACCAACUAAUGUACAAUUUCCAUCAAGCAGCUACAUUGUAAUUGGCAAACAGCAUUCAUUUGAUUUCCUAUCAGUUGAAAAGGAUAUGAUUGGGUGCUUAGAUUGAAAUAUCAAAGCUGGAGUAAUUGGUAACUAUAUUCUGAAAGUGGCUUACGAGUGUGAAGAAAUAGGGGAGAACAUCCAAAGGCCAGAUGUUGCAAAAGCUCAAACGCAACAAAGGCCAGAUGUUGCAAAAGCUCAAACGCACCAGUAACACAGGACAAUUUUGGUUUCUGUGACAAAGUAAAACUGAUAUGCCUUACCUUUUCUUCCUUGUUUGCUUUGAUAAGAAAACAUGUUUAUACAGAAAGCAGGCAUAUUGGCUGCAGCCUGCAAACCAUGUAGGAAAAUUUUCUCCAAAAAUGCAGGUAUUACCAAAGAAGUCGAGAACAUUAUACCAAUGCAGUACUGUCCCAACAGAAGUUCUCAGUUUUUAUUGCUAAUCUUCAAUUGCAACAGGUUAUCCUAAUUCAGCCAUCUCAUCUCCUUCCUUAACUUGUCAGAGGGUUUUUGCACUUCCCUUUUUUUCUGUCACUUCCCUCCAACCAGUUAAAUGUUAUGAUCAGUGUUCAUGGAAGCGUAAUGCGGAAAAAAGGGACAAAACUCCGCAUCACGCAUUACAUGAUGCGUGAAGCACAAGCAAAAGUUUAAACGAAACAUUAAAAUCACAAGUUAAAUCACCGAAACUAGAGAAAAAAGAAGUGAGGAGUGUAAGUAAAUAAAUAGAGAAAAGGAAAAAGAAAAACAGAAAGAAAAUAGAGCAAAACAGUAACAAAGAAGGAAGAAGGAAGAUAACUAGUAUAUCACUGUCUGAACUAAUUUAAGCAUAGCAAAUAAUAUCAAUAUCUAGUAUUAAGAUAUUGCAAGUCACUAAAUUUUAAGCAAAUAUUAUUGAAUGACGAGCUUAUUCAACCUUGUGAAACAAGCUACAACGAUGAUAGAAAUGAAUAUGCAAUUAACAAAAGUAACAUAGGUAAAUCUUCCUCUAUGCACAUGGAAAUAACAGUACAUUCAACGAACAUUGGAAACAAGGAAAAAUUCGGACUUCAAUAUUUUUUAUUUCAAGCAGUGAAAAAUUAAAACAAAGUACAUUGAAAAAUAUUUCAGAGUAAUGUGAAUUUUUUGAGUAAUGUGAAUUUGAGUGUUGUUGGGGUGGGGGAAGAGGGGUGAGGUGGGGGUGGGGUGUCAUUUUCUGGAAAAUGACUCCCCUUGGCCUAUGAGGGAAGUCAUUUUCCCUCAAAUAGAGGAAAAUAAGUCAUUUUGGAAAACAUUUUCCCAAUGUUUUAGUACAAUCAAACAAGGGAAAAUAAGAAAAUAUUUUUCAGAAAACAUUUUCCAUCAUACCAAACACAAGUAAUCUUAGGAUUUUUUAAAAUUCCACUUUCAAAAAAUUAAAUGACAUUUAAUAUAUUUUAAUCAUUAGAGAAACAUAGAUAUAAUUUUCUUUAAUAAUCUAAGUGAAAAGUUUAUCAUAUAAUGAAAAAAAUUGAAUAAUUUGUACUCCUUUAACAAAAUUUAUUUAGUACCUUCCCAAUAUCGAGAAAUUUCAAAAACAUUAAACUAAAUCCAGUAAAAACACUAAUUUAUUCUUAUUUUUCUAAUACAUAAAUGACUUCUAAUAAGGAGUGAUAUAGUAAAAUCAUCAUUCGAAAGACGAAAAUUUAAUUUAAAACAUUUAGAGUUAAUUUCGAAUCGUAUGUCUAUUUUAUUUUUCAUUAAAUAUUAUUUAUUUUCUUAAUACUUAGAUGACACAUAAUAAUUAAUUAAGAGCGAUUGAUUAUGUUAUUACUAUAAAAAUUAAUAUAAUUUUAUCAUAUCCAAUAGUAAUCAUCNNNNNNNNNNNNNNNNNNNNNNNNNNNNNNNNNNNNNNNNNNNNNNNNNNNNNNNNNNNNNNNNNNNNNNNNNNNNNNNNNNNNNNNNNNNNNNNNNNNNNNNNNNNNNNNNNNNNNNNNNNNNNNNNNNNNNNNNNNNNNNNNNNNNNNNNNNNNNNNNNNNNNNNNNNNNNNNNNNNNNNNNNNNNNNNNNNNNNNNNNNNNNNNNNNNNNNNNNNNNNNNNNNNNNNNNNNNNNNNNNNNNNNNNNNNNNNNNNNNNNNNNNNNNNNAAAAGUCAAUUAAAAUAAUAAAAUUGAUUUACUUUAAAUAUUUAGUUGCAAUUAAUUAAGAUAACUUUUUAUUUUGUCAUGAUUUAUGCUGCACCGAUAAAAUUUUGAGAGUUGAAUAGAACUUUUAUCUAUUUUUAAAAAAGUAUUUUAACUUGUUAAUUAUUGUGAUUUAUAAUAAUUAUUACGUAAUUAUCAAAUAAUAUAUUUACUCCUUGUGUCCCAAGUUAUGUGGCUUUGAUACAAUUUUGAGAGUCAACUAAAAUUUUUAUAUAUCUUUUAAAUAUUUUAAGUUGUUAAUUAUUAUGAUUUGUAGUAAUUUUUUUUUUAUCUCAAUUUAUGUGGCAUUGCUAAAAUAAUGAGAGUCAAUAAAAUUUCUAUAUGUGGUAACAAAUUAUUGUGAUUUGUGGUAACAAAUUAGUUUUGAACAUGAUAGACAGUUAAAUAAAAAAAAUUACUUUCAAUAUGUAGUUAUAGUUAAUUAAUACAAAUUAAUAGAAUAUAUUAAAUAUUUAAACCAUGAAAUAAUAAAAUUAUUAUAUAUUGAAAUAUGAUAUAUAAUUAAAUGAAAGUAAAUAGAUAUUUGGAUAAUUGCAUAAGACCUCUUGUAGAAAUAGAAAUAGAAAAGAACCGAAAAAUAAAACUAUCACUGAGUAAUAUGACAAAACAAAGGAUAACACACUUGUAACAAGACUAAGCGCACAGAUAACAAAACAAAAUCCUCCUACCAACCUAUGAUCCUUGUACACAAAUUCGCAACUUGAAAUCUAAGGUUUAGUAGUAUUUUUUCGAAGUUAAAAUACUUACGAGGUCUUCAUUGAUUAUGUAACAUUCCAAAUUAUCAUCCCAUCCAUCGUGCAACUUCUUCUCUUUAACUAAUUCUCCGACGUUGAUGUGCCGGAGCUCCGUCGCCUCCGACAGUGCCGACGAAGUCGUCGUUUUGCCCGUGCCCGGAGUUCCGGUAAUGAGUAUGUUAGGUUUUCUCCUGCUAUUGUGCGCCAUGUGUGCUAAUUAAAUGCGUUCUUUUCACAAAAAUAGUGAAAAUAUCAGUAGUUAAUAAUGCAAUUCGUGUGAGGGUAUUCCAAAAAUAUGCUAGGCACAAAGUAUAAUAUAGUCAUAAUAAAAUAUAAUAUUAUUUUAUUUUAUAUUUAACUAGAGAUAUUAGAUAGUCGAAAUUAUUUAUCUUAUUAUUUAUAUAAGAUAAAUUAUUCUAUAUAUAUAUUAUGAGAUAAUUAAUUUUGGGAUAACUUAUUUUCAAUCAAACGACUCUUAGGACUCGUUUGGUACGAGGAUUAAAAGAAUAAUUAAUUCUGAAAUUAAUUUUGAAAUAAGUUUAUAACAUAUUUGGUUGGGAUAAAAAACGUGAAAUAACUCAUUUUGAAUUAAUUGUUUAAAAUUAUAGUCUUAUUUCUAUCCCAUAUUAAAUUAAAGAUGAAAUAAGAAGAAAUUCCAAAAUAAGUAAGGGGAAAAUAACAGAAACGAUAUUUUAAAUUAAAUAAUUUUCAUGAAAAUGGUCAUGAAAUUUAAAUUCUAUUUUUUAACCAUUUCAAUUUACUGACUUAUUUUAUACGUUUCUACACAUAUUCUAUACAGUUUCUAUACAAAUAUUAUACAUAUAAAUAUUCUAUACGAAAAAUUAUAUAGUUUUAAUACACAAUUUAUAUAAUAACUGCACGUUUUUUUUACACAUUUUAUACAAUAAUUAUAUAAGUUUCAUAUACUUUUUAUAUAUUUUUAUAUGUAUUUUAUACAUAUACACAUUUGAUAGAACAAUAUAAUUUCUAUACAUGUAUCUUAUAUAGAUACGUAUUCUAUUUAAUAAUUAUAUCAUUUUUAUAUAAUUGAAUUAUUAUUUCUAAACAAUAAAAAAGGUAGAAUAUUUGAUCAAUUAAAAAUUUUAUAGCAAAAAAAAUUAAAAUAUUUUUAAAAGAAUCGAAUUGCCCAAAUUGAAUACUAUAUCAGUAUUGUAUAUAGACUGUAUCAGUAUUCUAUAUGAACUGUAUAGGGUGAAUCUCAAUAAUAGAUUCAAAUUGGGAUGACUUUCAAAUUUUAGCCCCAAAUAAAAAAGCUUCCUUAAAAUAACCUUUAUCUAUUAACUAAUAUUUUUUCGGACAAAAUUAUGUCUGAUCAAUGGAGUAAAUUACAUAAAUGAUCCUCACAAUGGAUAACAACUCCAUGUUUAUAUCUUUCAAUUUUUUUUUCUCCUUUUAAUUUUACUUUUAUUUUUAUUUUUUAUUUUUUAUUUUCUCAACCCUUGCUUUUUUUCUCUUUCCUCUCAACUUUUUUUUUUUCUUUUUAUUUUAUAUUAUUUUUUUCUAUUUUCUUUUCAAUUUUUUUUGUUCUUUUUAGUUUUUCUCAACCCUUACUUUCUUUUCUUUACACUUUUCAACAUCUACUUUUAUAAAAAAGAAAAAAAAAACUUUUUUUUAUUUUUUUUCUUUUUAAAUUUUUCUGAACCUUUAUUUUUAUUUAAUCUUUCUUUUUUUAUAACUUUUAUUUUUUUCCUAUUCUCUCUCAACUUCUACAUUUUCUUUGAUUCUUAUUUUUUAAAUAUUUUUCCUCAUUUUCUUAUUUUUCCGCAAGUUUUAUUAUUUUGUUCUUUUCUUCGAUUUAUUCCAUUCAAGUUACAUCUCAUGAGUAAGAGUCGACACUAUCACAAUAUAAAGGCAAGACUUAUGGCUUUCGAAUAAUAAGCUACGUUUCAUGGGUAAGAGUUGACAUUACUAUAUUGUAGAGGCUAAACUUAUGACUUUCAAACAACAAGUUAGGUUUUAUGGGCAAGAGUUGACACUAUCACAUUGUAAUUUGAUUUAUGAGAUGUUUUAUAAUUCUUACCUUAGAGGCAAGACUUAGCUCAGUGACUUUCAAACAAUAAAUUAUACCCCAGGAGCAAGAGUUGACUCUACCAGAUUAUGUUUUCAUUUACGAGACGUUCUACAACUAUUGUCUUAGAGGCAAGAUUUAGCUCAAGGACUUUCAAAUUACAAAUUAUAACCAACGGGCAAGAGUUAACUCUACCACAUUAUGUUUUCAUUUAUGAGAUGUUCUACAAAUAUUGUCUUAGAGGCAAAACUUAUUAGCUCAAGGACUUUCAAACAACCAAUUAUGCCCCACGGGAAACAGUUGACUCUACCAUGAUAUGUUUUCAUUUAUGAGAUGUUUUACAACUAUAAAAGAAUUAAAAAAAUUGUGAAAAUAAAAAAUGAGGGAAAAAAUAAAAAUAAAGUUUGCGAAAAAUGAGGGGAAAGAAAAAGAACUGAUAAAAACCAAAAUAAAGGUUAAAGACAAACGAAUUAAAAAAAGAAGAAAAAAAAUAAUGCUUGAGAAAAAAGAAAAAAAAAAUAAAGGUUGAGACAAACGAAUUAAAACAUGAAAAUAAAAUUAAAGGAAAAAAUAAAAAAUAAAAAUAAGAAAAAAUAGAACAAUAAAAUUAAAGGAAAAAUAAAAAAUUGAAAAUAAUAAAAAAUAGAAUAAUAAAAUUAAAAAAUAAUAAAAAGUGAAAAAAUAAUAAAAAUUAAAUUUGAGAAACAAAUAAGUGUGAAAAGUUUCAAAAAAAUAUUUGAGGCAUAGAGGGGCAAAAUGAUACUUGUACUAUACUUAAAAAGUAAGGAAUGUUAUUCUUUAAAGACAUUUCUUAUUGGGGUCAAAUAUCUAAAGUCACUCAUAUUUGGAUCUAUGACAUGCAAUUUUCUGAAAACCACCAGUUAAGAGCCUAAAUAAUGGCCCAAGUUUGGAUUGACUGUAUGUUAAAGUCUGUUUUUAACCUAUUUAAUAUUUCAAAAAUAAAAUUUCACAAUGAUGUUUUUAAAAAAUUGAGUUGGAAUUUACUAUAUAAUAUAAGGGACAAUUCAUAACUUUGGUAGUCCUCACAACCUCUUAAUCACUCUUAUGAUUACAAAUAGUUGUUGUAAUUGGUUGUUUAUCAUGUAUUGUCAUUAUUUGAAAGCCAAAUUAUACUCUACUCAUAAUAACUACUUUUGUUUGGUUUAUACAUUACAAGUGGCCCUUUUCCACCCCCUCGCUUACUUUUAAUUUUUGAUUUUUCUUGUAAUUAAAAUAGAAAAUGAUUAGUAAUAAUUUAUAUUAUAUUUUGUUUAAUACAUCAUAUGUAGUGCAAUUUUUGAAAGAAAUUUUCUUUUCACUUUAUUGUCAUUCAUAAUUUAUUUUUAGUUCUCAUGAUUCAUUUUUCGAAAGUCAAUUUGAGUAAUUUUUAAAAUUAAAUUAGAUUAAAUUAAUUUGACAUUUCAAAAAUAAAAUUUAAAUAUUUAAAAAAUAUAUCAAAAUUAAUAUAAAUUAUAAUUUUCUCAUAUCAAUAUGAUGAAAAACUAUAUAUUUUAAAAUAUUGGUCCUAAUUACAUCGAUUGACUCUUAAAAGAAAAACUAUAACAAUUAAAAAGGAAGAAGGGGGUAAAAUUUAGGGAAUUUUAGAGGUAAAUUUUCUUUGUGAAUUAAAGUAUUUAUUUGAUAUUUUUUACAUUUAAUGAUUUAAACAUAUCUUAUAUCAUAUAUUCCUCUCUAUACUAUGGUUCUAGAAGAAAAAAUAAUUGGUAUAAAAUACUUAAAAUUACUUGGUUAAACUUUUGUCAUAGAUAAGAUAUGUUGAAAAAUAUUAUAUUUCAACUUUUAUCAUGGUUUAACCUUUAAUUUCUUUACAAGGCAAGCCAAAUUCCUUUUCUCUUUCUUAUAAUUUGCAUUAAAUAUUGCAUCUGUUUUAAUAAAAGGUUAGUGCAUUGAUUUACAAUAAAUUAGCAUUUUUUGAGAAAAAAAAAAGAAAAAGGACAAGGACUCUUAACUUUUUAAAGAAAUUUAUUCAGUUAAGUAUAAUAUUGGGAGAUGAAGAAGAGGAAAGGAGAAUAGUACGAUCUUAAUUUUUUGAUAAUUAUAUAUUUGUAUAAGCUAUAGACUAUUCAUGUUGACCUACUUUUUUCUAUCUUUUUUAGAAUUCAAUAAAAAAAUUUAUGAACAAUUUAAUCCACACCUUUAAAACAUGCAUUAUAAAUAUUAAAAGCAGAAAUUAGUGAAUGAUGUUAUAUAAUGUUGAAAAUGAAGGUAGCGUCAUUGAUCAAUAUUGAAUUAAUUAUGCAACAAAAAUAACAUAAUUUAUGCUUAUUCAAUCAAUUAAAAUUAUAUUUAUUAUAUUUAGGUUUAUGUCCAGGCUCAGCACGGGUCUCGUGCGACUAGUCUAGCAUAUAUGCUUGGAUUUUCACCUUUAAAUAUUUCUGAACUCCGGCAUAGAUAUAUUAUGUUGGAGUUUCACCGGCAUUUAUUGUAAUGGAGCUUAUGAAAGAGUACAGUUUUUGUUGAAGAGGAGCUAAAUAUUGAAUAGUUAUGAGAUCAUGUUGUAGACAUCGUUAGAGUUCUUGGAGGCUAUUAUACCGUAAAUCCUAGAUUAUACUUAGAUAAAGAGACAAUUAUUUCUUGAAAAGACAUUUCCAAUAUCCCAAAAAUUCAUAGGAUAUUCAUAAAGAGAUCAAGAUCUCUAGUAUCUCACAAAAUCACUCAUAAAUUCACGGAUAUUUAUCGAAAGAUCAACCAUCUCAAAUAUCCCACAAAAUCACGGGAUAUUCAUAAUGAGGUCAUCCUACGUUCGAGAAAUAUGCUACUAACGACCCUCGAAUUACGGUGAAAAUCAAAAGAGGAAUCUUCGAGAGAGAAGAAUUAACGGAGAAAUAGAUUUAUACCCAUAUCUUCAUCAAUAAAUAUUGAUAAAUAUUCUCGUUUCUUCAUAUUUUUUGUGAUUGCAAUUUAUUUGCCAUAAAAUGUAUUGCAAACACAUGUGUAAAAGUUAAUGACGUGUCUGAAAAGGUGUUAUUUGACAAUUUAUCUCAUUUGUAUGUUAGGUUACUUUGUUAGAUUUGAAGAAUAAUAUGACGAGAAUGGUUGGGCCUCGUGUCUGGACUAGUGCAACACACAAUACUUCGCAUCAAAUAGAAAAGCCCAUGUGCGAGAAACAAAUAGAGAAGCCCAUACAUUUGCAAAUUGCAUCAAAUAGAAAAGCCCACGUGUGAGAAACAAAUAGAGAAGACCAUACAUUUGCAAAUUGCAUCAAAUAGAAAAGCCCAUGUGUGAGAAACAAAUAGAGAAGCCCAUACAUUUGCAAAUUGCAUCAAAUAGAAAAGCCCAUGUGUGAGAAACAAAUAGAGAAGCCCAUACAUUUGCAAAUUGCAUCAAAUAGAAAAGCCCAUGUACGAGAAACAAAUAGAGAAGCCCAUGUCCUUCCCUCUCCAUUCUCUGUGCGAGCCCAUAUGGCUGAAGCCUUGUGUUUUUGAUGGAAAAAUAACAUAAAUUUCGAUAGUUUGGAUCUUAAUUACAAAAAAAUUAUAAUUACUGAAAAUAUCAAUUUUAAAUCCGUUGAGCUACAUUAUUAACUCUCCGAUACAUCCAACGAAGAUACAUUUUUUCCUUUAUAAAGAUACAUAAUUGGCUUUCGAUACAUUUUCUCUUAUUUGGUGUCUGUCGAGAUACAUAAUACAUCCAACGAAGAUACAUUUUUUUCUUUUGUAAAAAUACAUAAUUAGCUCCCGAUAUAUUUUUCUUCAAUUUUGAGUGUCGAGAUAUAUACUUAAUUAGCUCCUGAUACAUCCAAUAGAGAUAUAUAACUAAUUGAAAUUUUUGUAAUUACUUUGUAAGGGUAGAGAUUUGUAUAAACGUGAUAAAUUAAGGUGUGUGUUUAUGUUACUGUUUUGUUAGAAACUUUAUACCUUAUAUAGCCAUUUAUCAACACUAACCUCUCAUACAUGUGAAUAAAUUAUUCGUUCAAUUAAGCAUAAUUUCGAAGUGCAAAACCAUGUCUGUUUUAUUUGAUAAACUCCUUAUAUAUGAGAAAAGAAAAGUACUUGCCAUUUUUUCUUUUAAUCCUUUCCUUCCCAAUAAAGAAUUGCAAAUAGAGACGAGAGGGAACUUUCUACUGAACUGUGAACCAUCGAUAAAAAGAGAAAAACAAAUAGGUUAAAUAAACAACCAUUGAAUUAUUGUCGAUUGUAGUAUACGGUGGCAUACAUAAUUGUAGGUGACACUAUCAGAAAUUAGAUCUAUGGUGACGGUUGCAAAAUCGUUGCAAUAGACCAAAAAAUAGUUGCCAUAGACCUAUCGCAACGGUUCUGCAACCGUCCCAUAGGUGGGCGUUGCAAUAGAUCUAUUGCAACGGUUUCUGCGACGAUUGUCUAAACCGUCGCCAUAGGUAGAGCUAUGGUGACAGUUUUUGACAACCAUCGCCAUAAAUAGACCUAUUGAGACGGUUAUUUCUUGACUUAUUGAGACGUCUAUUUUUAUCUAUUGCAACGGUCACAAACCGUCGCAAUAGAUGUUAUUGCGACGCAUUUGUUGUUCUAUUGCAGCGCUUUUUGACUACCUAUUAUAACUAUUUCAUUACUUAUUAAAACGCCUAUUUUCAUCUAUUGCAACAACAUUAAACUGUUGCAAUAGCAUCUAUUGCGAUGCUUUUGUUAUUCUGUUGCAACGCUUUUUGACUACCUAUUGUUAUUCUAUGCUAACACAAUAUAUAUACAUCACAAAACAAAAUCAUUCAUUAAUAAUAUAAAUCAUUCAUUAAUAAUCCAAAUGAUUAGUUAAGUUUUUACAUACUAGCAAGUUCAAGUCACGAUAAGUUUCAAAAAAUUCAACACAAAACUAUUGAUAUUAGAGCAUUUAUCCACAACCCAAAAAUCUUCUCCAGUAAGGUCAAUGUCUUCAUCAUUUUCUUCAUCUCUUUCUUCAUUUUGGACACCUAUAAAAAGAGAACAAAUAAUAUAAAUUAGCACUUAAAUGACAACAUAAAAAGGACUAUUCCACAACAAAAUAAGUACAUAAACCACACAUAAGUUAGCUAGUGAAGAGACAAAUCAACCAAUCAUGGUUAGAAAGAAGUACAAACAUCCAAAUGUGAGAUGAUAAAAAUUAAAGAACAAGUGAAAUUGCCAAAAGAGAAAACUACAGUUCCACAUUUAUAUAGGUCUAACAUAUGUGAUCCAGUUAGCACGCUCCACAGUUCAAAAGAGAAACACAUUCCAAGAUGAAAAAACUUGAUUAUUCUCUAGUCUAACAAUUAGAUGUCCUAUAAUGGUGAAGCAACAGCACUUCCAAAAUCACAAUACUAUUUUUGAGUUUCAUUUGUCAUAACACGAAUUUGGUAACGUAGUUUUUUUCAUGAUUAAAUAACAUAGCCAAUACCUGAAUUUAGCAACAGUAUCUGGUGUGUAGAGUAUGCCUUGUGGGGAACUUGCUUAUUACUUAAGAGAAAAGACAAGUUGUUAUACUAUUAAUUAUAUCCAAGAAUGAGGAUAAUGAGGAAUUAUAUAAAAAAAUAGUUAGAGAAUUACCUUUCUCAGUUAUAAGAGCAGCUAUAGUUUCUGCCACAUCCUUCAAGACACUACAAAAAUGUUUGACAUAUAAUUUUAGUAGAACUUUUAGAUUCAGUUGCAUAGUCUACACAAGAAACUAAAGAAUACCUGCCACCACUCCAUCGAACUAAUAGGCCAUUUGAGAAUAUGAUGUUACUCUCGAAAGCUUUUAGCGCACUGUUGAAUGCCUCCAACACAAGAAAGAAAGAGCAAAUAACUCAAACUAGGGAACUGAAAACAACAAAUAUUUUUUUGAAAAUAAUAAUGAAUACCACUAGAUUAAACCCAAUGUCCAGGUUGGAUUGCAGGUCCCUCAAUGAUGAGAUUGGGGACUACUCUUAGUACUGUGCCGUGAGGCACCAAUAAGGCAUCCAAACCAACAAAAGCUGAAAAUAAUAAAUAAAAACACUUGCUGCAAUAAAAGACAGUAAGAGCACUUACCGUCUUCGACAUCUUUCAACUGGUAGUACUGAGGUGCUAUUUCUACAAGCCAUUCAGGUUUAAGUUCAGGUUUUAAAUGUAUUGUCUAUAAUCAUGUUAGGGAGAAACUUGUAAUUAGACACUGCUUACCAACUGUGAUUCUGCCACUGAGUCCUGUCCAUGUAGUUGUCCAUCCUCCACAUUGGUAUCCAAGAUCAUCAGCAUGAGUUCCAGCAACGAGUAUUUUUUUGCGGUCUUAUCUAGAGGAAGAAAUGGUUUCUUUGGAUCUUCCUCAUUUUUCAACAAAACCAAGGAUUUGUGAACUGUUUCAGGUGAUAGGUCUCUAUGUGCCUAAAUAAUGUGAAAAAAUUAACCAGACUUAAAACUGAUCGAAGAUAGUGAAAUACAGAAUCAUUAUUGUGCUAAUGUAAGACAAUAUAUAGCCAACUGCUAUUUAGAUUCCAUAUAAAAAACAACUAUAGAAGAGUCCAACGGAGAACUUCAACAAUUGAAUAGAACAAAUACUGGUCACAUGUAAUCUCCUUAAAACUUGAACAUUUAGGGAAGAGUAUGAUAUACAAGGUUCUAGAAGGCAUUUUCAAAACCAACAGUGACUUUCUAUCUAUAAAGAUGGGGUUGGAAGGCUAUUAAUCCAUUUUAAGAGGGAGUUUCUUCUAAGAAGUGGUUCUUGCCUACUCAUGUUAUACGAUUGUUCUCCAAUAUGAGAUGAUGUUGUACUCUUAUAAAUGUAGAGAAAGUAGUGUUAGACUCAGAAACGCCUAAAUAGUCCCAAUAGGCAACAGAAAGAUGUAAGAAUACCUUGCAACCAACCAAAUCCAUCAAUGAUCUAUCUGUAAACGAAUGUUUAAAUAAUUCAUUAACAAAUUUAACUCUCAAGAUUCUUUCAACAUUAUUAUCUAUCCUGGUCAUCAGUAUCUUCCCUGAUUCCACCAGUGAUAGCAGCUCCGUCAAAAUUAAUUCAUACCUAAAUGACACCAUGACCUGCAAGUAUUCACAAAAUGCAAACGGAUGGUGUGAAUUAGGCUAAAAAGCUAUUUUUUUUUUACUUCCAACUCAAGGUUUUGAUCAUAUCAUUGGCUGGUUGAGACUGUCAAACAACAUCAAUAACAUAAGCUUUAUCAUGGUAUGAAAGUAGAAUAAACUCUCAGAGAUUGGGGUUGGGGUUGGGAUUUGGGGGGUUUAAGAUAUGGAUUGCUUUCGAAAAAGCCAAUAUAUCACAAGUUGGUGGUGAGGGGAAAAUCAAGUUGUUGUUGUUAAGGGUACACGUAAAGAGAGGCCCAAUAUUACAAAGAUUGUCUGGUUGAGCGACAGCUUUGUGCAGUAAGGGAAGGUUGCAUAUAGCAGGAGUGAAUGAACAUCAAUUAUUAGCUGAAUUUUACUCGACGCAUCAAAAGUAUUAUGUGCAAGAUCAAAAAGUGGUUAGCACUCAAGUGUGUGAAUGCAGACACCUUAAUCUAAAGAAGCAUACAUCUGAGAAUCUUCAUCUACCUUCAUACGACAUACUACCAAUCUAAGGUAACACUAAUAAACUAUCUCAUCGAGUCUUACUGAACUUAUCAUGUUGUUUUUUUCAAGAACCUAAAUUCAUGUAGACAAGCAAAUAAAUGUCAGUGACAGCAUUUUGAGAUUAAAAGAUAGUUUGUACCUUGAAAAUAGUAAAAAAAAUUUGUUUUUUAAUGCGGAAGCUCUUAACUUUCUCAAAAUCCACCAAAUCAAAAUAUAUAUCUUUCCCAAUCUGUCGUCAUAUGUCUUUAUCAUGAGCAACCUAGUCAAGUCAUGCAAUAAUUAAAAGGUAACUCGAGCAACAAGAGUUUGUCCUGAAUCAUUAGAUGAACAGGACCACACUCCCAGAUCAAAACAAUUAUCUUCAAAGAGAGAAUUUAACUGUCAGUUCAUAAGUACUCGCCAAUUUUCAGAGUCAAAUAUCAAGAUAUAUACAUCCAUAAUUUUAGAAUGUGCUUCUGUGAGAAAUUCAGAAAAAGAAAAGAGACUACUACAAAUUCCUUCAGAACAAUCAUUUCAUGUCCUAAAGCCAGUCUAUAAAACUACACACAAUUCAAUAAAGAAAAAGUUAGCUUCAGUAAAAUUUACUGCCCAAUUCAAUAUAAGCAAAUAAAAAAGGUAAACAGACAAGAUAAAGCUUCAUCAGUUUAAGAUCUAUGAGAAAAUAUUUGCAACGUGGAAAAGUACUUUGAUUACUCAUUUCAUACUUUUCUUGUAGUUCCACUCUUCAUUUUUUAUAGGAACAGACAACAAUGGAAAGGGGUGUAGGACUAACACUAUAUAUCAAGCAUAAAUUCAACAACAUAGUGUACCUGUAAGUUCAAAAUGACACUAAAAUGCUUAUUAGAUCUUAUGUCUUCCCCAACUUGACCUCUAUUGUUCAACUGUCUUCUUCUUAUUGAACAGAUGAGCAUCGACCAAUAAAUGUGGAACACAAGUAAGGUCAAGAGCAUUGUGUUGAAGAAGUAGUAUAACAUUGUAUCAUAUGCCUCUGACAACUUCAAGACCUCCCACAGAUAAUAACUGGGAAGUGAAACACAUCGAACUAAUUAGGAGAAACUAGAAAAGGGGAACAAUACCAUGAGUAGAAAAUCUGAUAAGUGCUAACCUUGAGGAUCGUAUGACCCAAAAUGAAAAGAAAAAUAGCCUAAGUACAAGCCAGGAGACAACAAAACAACCAAACAGUACUCUAGCUCCAAGCUUCUUCCACAAAUAUUUAAAAAGUUUGGCAGCCUCCAUAAAGACAUCACUUGCAUCAUGUAAUGCAAGAAUAACAAUCCUUAUUCGAAAGAAGCUACACAUGUCAAAACACAACAAAUUAAUACACAAACUGCAACAGAUUAAAACUGCUUCUUUCUUCUAAUAUAUCGGCAGCAAUAGAAAUAUUUUGCAUUUGCUAAUUUAUUUCCUCGAGUGUUAGCGAAAUAACACUGGGUUAGAGACUUCUUUUCAAAAUUUCAAGUAGUCUGACAAGGUUUUUGACAGAUAAUCUCUGCCAUUGAAACUCUUAUACACCAAAAAACCCUAGGUUUUUUUAUAUAUGAAUAUGCAAAUUAAAAUUAUCACCAUUAUUGGCAUCUAAUUGUUCUUCCUUUGGCAAUAAAUGUUCAGUUGUCCACUUCCCUUCUACUAUUUUUACUCUUGAACUAGGUUUUCAGAGUUUAAAAUCUACUUAGACCAAACAUCCCUUACCCUACCAUCAAUUGAAAAUGAAAAGAAAAGUUAUCUCUUAAAAUAUGUCAAAGAAUGUCUGAGCUCUGUGGUUAAGUGCAUAUGAAAAUUUCAAGCACAUAUAAAAUUCCCACUUGUAUUGCACCCACCAUAGGCAUAGAGACCAUAAAAGUGUUGAUAACAUCAUACAUAAAUCAUGUCCCUGUUUUCAUAUCAAGAUAGAGUAUACAUACACAAAUGAAAAAAAGAUAAUGAAAGGAGGAAAGUGAUAACUAAAAAACAAAAGGUUAGCUACUGAUAAAUUAAACUUUACCUUGAAAUAUAUGAGAAUGAAAUCAGAAUAACAGUGACUAUGUGAUGAGACAUCCUUACAGCAAAGUCUUUCCGUUGCGUUUCCCAAAGAAGGAAAGCAACAAUGAAAUAGAUGUAGAACCCACAUUGGCACAUAUAGGUAAGUUUAAUUCCAUCCCUGAAAUGAGAAAUGAACAUAAGAAGUCAGAUUCUAUCAACGCCCAUGUAAACAUUUUAUCAAAUAUCCUUAUGGCUGCAAGUACCGGUUACAGGGUUACUUCUACCAUCUGGGUUGCCCCGCCAAGAUACGGGUCCGACUUCUUUGAUGCCCAAAUUUGCUCAGAAAGAAAGAAAAAAAACAUCAUAGCAUUAGAAUUUUUGCUAGAAUUAUUACUAGUAAAAUUGAUUCUCGGUUUGGAUGUGAGCAUUUUGGAGAGAACAAGCAAACACUUUAAGGGGUCGUUUGGCUGAGUUUAAUUGAAAAAAGGGUUGUUGAAUUUAUUUAUAUUUUCACAGUAGAAAUUGAAAUCACAGGCAUAACAGAGAGGAGUAACAACCCUUUUAACUUUAUCCUCUACUCUCCACAACCCUCAUUUUUAAUCUCUGAGUUUUUUUCCUUUUAGGAAAAAUUCUCGUGUGUUUUUCAACCUAUCAAUUCCCCAGCUGCCUUUAUGAAAAAUCAAACAUUGAGGCUCAGAUCUGUAAUGCUUACAAUACAACAAGAGAGACCGGAUCGCCGCAAUGACUGCAAACACCGAUUGCAAGCUCACCUGCUAUCCGGGUUGCCCCGCCAAGAUACAGAUUCAAUCGCUCUCCUGCAUUAAUGAAUUACUCAAAGAAGGAAAGAAGAAAAUCAUCAUCACAGCCUCAGAAAUUUUGCUGCAAUUAUAAUUACAACUACUACUACUAAUUCUCACCUUGGGGUUGAGAGUUUGGAGAAAAUAACCAAAGAUUUAUAGAUAUUUCAUUGAGUUUUUAACUAAAAAAAGGGCUAUUGAAUUAUUUUUUUUUCAUAGUAAAAACUGAAAUCACAUCUACUCUCCGCAACCCUCAUUCUUCUUUACUUUUUGAACUAAGCUUUUUUCCUUUUAUUGGGAAAUUCUUGUAUUUUUCAACAUGCAAAUAUUCCAGCUGCAAUGAAAACAACAACUAAAGUAACUCAUUUCUACCUUGUGGAGAUAAAGAGGAGAUUUUCAAUAGACCCUUAGCAAAUUGUGGCCUAAGUUGCUCGGCCUCUCAAAAAUGUUACCUGACUUGCCUCCCUCGUGUCGAUUCGUCCAAAAAUGAAUUACUUUUGGAGGAUUCUAAGUGCACCCAUCAACAUUCUCAAAGAGUCCGGGAAACUUAGAAGAAUAAACUAACCUUAAAAUCAAUUAGAAGAAUAAACUAACCUUAAAAUCAACAAAUUAGAAGAAAGCCUCAAAUUUUGGAGGAUUCUAAUCUGAAUUAUUGGAGGAUUCUAAUCUGAACUACUUUUGGAGGAUUCUAUGCGCUGAGGUUAUUUAGUCAGAAUCAUCAAUUAGAAGAAUAAACUAACAUUAAAAUCAACAAAUUAGAAUAAAGCCCCAAAAAUGAACUACUUUUGGAGGAUUCAAGUUCGAACUACUUUUGGAGGAUUGUAUGUGCUGAGGUUAUCCAGGAAACCUAGAUCAAAAUUGUCAAUUAGAAGAAUAAACUAACCUUAAAAUCAACAAAUUAGAAAAAAAACCCAAAUUUUCUCCGAAAUUGAAGUGGUGGUCGGAGCAGUGGUGCCUCUUUACAACCUCAACGACUAAAAUAUGGCAGCUGAAAAUUGAAGGAUGCUGUCGCAACUGAGAUUAGAUGGAUGGAGAUAGAUCCUGUGGCUGAAAUUCGGUGUGGAAUAGGAUGGAGAUAGAUUUGGGUGAAAGUGAACUCAGGUCCGUGAGGUCGGAGCUUGAAAUAACAGUGAGGUCGGAGCUUGAAAUAACAGUGACGGUUGGAGCUGAAUAUCAGUGGCGGUCGGAGGAGCUUUGCUUUGUGGUGGCUGAUAGCGGACACACAGUGGAUGUUUUUGACGGACAUAAGUGUGUAUGUAUAUAUNNNNNNNNNNNNNNNNNNNNNNNNNNNNNNNNNNNNNNNNNNNNNNNNNNNNNNNNNNNNNUAUAUAUAUAUAUAUAUAAAAUAAUAUAAAACGGAUGAAAUACGUUGCCUUAGAUACUUUAUGAAAACAGUUUUGGACAACCGUUGCUACAGAGUACUCUAAUACAACGGUUAUAUGAUAAAUGCAAUGAUUAUACCAUCAAAUAGGUUUAUUACAACAAAAAAAACUGCAACGGUUGAAAUCGUUACAAUAGGCUAUCUAUAGCAACGUUUUUUCAAUCGUUGCUAAAACUUUUAUUGCGAUAGGAAUAUUUUCUGGUAGUGUGAUCAAAUUUCAACUAGAUAAGGAUACAAGGGUUUACCAGCCAACCACAUUAUAAUAUUCCGCAGCCAAAAUGAAGAAACACAUUGAGUAUAUAUAUAUAUGAUCCAAUCCAAAUGGUUUGGAGAAUUUGUGAUGUCCUUUGAUGAUAAAACGUAAGUUAAUACAUAAAAAUAAUCCUAAACUUGACAUCAAAUUAUAAUUUUGAUCUUAAACUUUGAUAAUGCACAAAUAUGACCUUUAGCUAUUCAAAAUUGUACAAAUAUAACCUUCAAUCCUACGUGGCAAAACGCGUAUUCAACACGCAAAAUUGGGUGCGUCCAACUUAAAAUCUAAGGGCAUAAUACAUAAAUAUGACCUUAAACUUUAAUAGUGCACAAAUAUGACCUUUAACUAUUCAAAACUGCACAAAUAUGACCUUUAAAUGACUCUUCACUAUUAUUUUUUCAUUAUUUUCGACUCAAAGAUGAAAAUGACAUCUAAUUUCUUUUGUCAUUACGGAAAAAGAGUAAUAUUGAAGAUUUAUUAAUUAGGCGGGUCAGCCUCAUACAAAAAAAAUUAAGCGAAUAUGUAUAUAUAUUAUAAAGCAGAGAAUAAAUUUAAGUUAUAUAAUAUAUUUAAAUAUUAUUUAUUUAAGUAUUAAAUUAAAGAUGAAACUAUACUAAUGAUAAAAAAAUUAUAAUUUCAAUAAAACUUUAUGAAAUUAAUGUUAUUAAGGAUAGUAGUAGUAUAUUAAACUAACGUUAUCAAAUUAACAUAAUUAAAAUGUUAUUAAAACGUUAUUAAAUUAACGAGGGGCGGACCUACUUGGUUGCCAUGGGGUUCACUCGAACCCCCUCGGUAAAAAAAUUACGUUAUAUAUAUAUAAGAUAGAAAAUAUAUAUUUAUGUACGUAUAUUAAUGUUGAACCACAUGAAACAAAACAUUAGAUAGCCCAAAAUCGGAGGUCAUAUUUGUUUAGGUUUUGAAUAGUUAAAGGUCCUAUUUGUGCACUAUCAAAGUUUAAGGUCAAAGUUAUAAUUUGGUGUCAAGUUUACGGUAAUUUUUAUAUAUUAACUCUAUUAAAAUCAUACUUUCCUUUUCAAGAAAUAAAUUCACAAAAUAAACUUCUUGUACGGGUAGUACUUUUUAAAAUUAGAUUGAAAAGAAAUAAUAAGUUCAUAUAAAAGAUGAUGUAAAGUUGAGGAUUUGGGUAUGAGAUUAAUUAUACUACUAAUUAGGUGGUCGACAGUUGUAGAAUUUUAUUUUUCAGUGUUAUUAUUAUUAUUAAUUUUACAAUUUUAGUCUCAAUUUAUUACUAUCUCUUGUUGUAUCCUCUGCGAUUCUUUGCUCCGAUUACUAUAUAUUAUUUGUUGUUCUUAUUAGUUUUUCAUUAUCACAUUUUCACUGAUCAUUUGUACUAUUGCAUGUCAUUUUAUAUUAUUUUUAAUACGUUUUACUUUAUCAAAAAUCUAUGAAAAACACCCACACUAUCCUUAUAAUUAAGGAAAGAAUAAGUGUUAGGAUAGGAUAAGACUGCUAUAGACGAUCCUUUCCAAACUUUUCCUUUUUUGUUACUCCUUUCAUCUCUACCUUAUUAACAAAGUAAACAAUGUUAAAAACAAUUUAACUUAGAAUUCUUAUUUUAUUCAUAAUAAAUGAUUUAUAGUGGAGAAUUUCCAAUAGAGAUAAAUAUUAAUUGAUUUCUUUUCAUCUGUUCUAGUUUUGAUUAACAGAAUUAUCUGAUAUCUGUUAGCGGUGGGAGAUAACAAGAAUUUUUUAGAAUUAAUCAAGGUGCACAUAAACUAACCUGAACACUGUAGUUAUAAAAAAAUUCUAAACAAUAAAUUUUAAAAAAUCAUAAUUUUUUUUCUUAAAUAUCGUACCAAAUAAAUAAUGCAACAUAAAAUGAAACGGACAUUGAACCUGAUAUAUAUAAUUGUUGUACAUAUAUAUUCGACACGUAGCCAAAACAACAAAUUGCGAUGUCCCCGCCGCAACAAAGCACAUGGUACAUCCCAUUUGCAUGAUACACGUACUUACACCAACACCAAACUCUAAUCAUAGCUUUACACAUGAUGACCAGUACUGUCUUCACUCCUUUUUGGAGGGGGGUUGGAGUGCCAUUACAUAUGUACUAUUGUAUUUGCCAAAUGUUUGUUGUAAUAUAAUGUAAUAGCCACAUGGUUAUUGCCAUUGAACGACACUUGCAAAAGAUCAUAGUUUACCUGCUUCAUGAACAAUACAUUGGAAUCCUCCAUUUGCUACGUCUUUCAAUGAGAAGCAAGUCAAUAAGUAUUACUAACCACACCCAGUGGUGCAGUGGAUGAGGCCGCUUUACCCUUAAUCAAAGACUGAGGAUUCGAUCUUGGACACAAAAAAAUUUUGUUGGAAGCGUUACCCCCGAAUAGAGUCUUAUUCGAUGCGAAUCUGAAUUAGUUGGACUCCAAUGCAGGUACCAAAUACUGGAUGAAAAACCAAGAAAAAAAGUCAAUAAGUAUUAAGUCUUUUGAGCAGAGCCGUAACCCGUAAAUCUAAAUUAGUCAGAUUUCAAAGCUAAUACCGAACACCGGAUAAAAACAAAGGGCCAAUAAGUUUAAGUCUUUUGAGAAGAGCCGUGGCCUAUUAUAUUGGAACAGGUUUUGUGAACAUGACAUUGGGGCCAUAGAUGCUUCACUUAUUUGCCAACUAUAUAUUGUGUACAUUUCCUUAACAAGUGUGAAAAAAAAAAAGAGAAAAAGUGCAAGGCCCCAUUUCGGAAACUACAAUGAAUUCUGCCCCUCUGCAUAACUGAAUCUUAAUUGUAAUGCACUUACAUUCGACACGUUAUGGUACUACUCAUCAAUGGUACGCACACAGCAUCCUUCCAAUCUCUUUUUUGUUUUUGAUUUUUCAUCUGGUGUCCGAUUUAAUCUAGAUUGCAUGUUACAGGGCCCAUUAAGGCGGCAACGCUCUCAAUAGAGUUUUCUCCAUAUCCAGGGUCGAACCCUCGAUUUCUAGUUAAGGGUGGAGCAACCCCAUCUACUGAACCACAACUCAUGUUGGUAGCAUCCUUCUAAUCUCAUAAUUGCUGUGAAGUGGUCAAAUAUUUUAGUAAUUUAUCCAAUAAAUUCUUAAUUUUAAACAACAAAAUUUAUUUUUUUUGCUUAUACUUAUUUAAAUUUUGUAACAAUUAGAAGUGGACAAAUAAAGUGAGACAAAAUGUUAAAUAGCCGGCUAUAAAUCACGUGCGAAAUAAUAAAAAAACAAGAAUGGCAAAUAUUAGUGAAUUGUACACACGUUGAUGCGUCCAAUCCAUGAAAUACGUUUAAAAUUUAGACUAAUAAAAUUAACUCAAAACAUGAGUGAUCUAAUCUUAACUUGGAACAAAUGAUAUCUAAUUGACACUUUUUUAUUUUGGUCUUGAAAAACUAUUAAUCUCUGUAUGAUAAAAAAAAAAAAAAAAUGGUGGAUGAUAUGAAGCUUUGCCUCUAAAACAUCGAGGAAUGAUGAGAUCCAUUCUUGUGUGCAUUUGCUCAAAAAUCUAUCUACCUAUUUGGGGAGAUCAUUUCCAUUACAUUUUGUAAGAAAAAUGAUUCAUAAUAAGAACACUAAGACGAUACUAAUAGUACUAAUAAAUACUACAAAAUAAUAGCAGCAGCAUUUAUUGAAAACACCUAACAACAAAUUAUGGUUCUUCCUGUAUUUGAAUCUAAAACUUGUUAUCCAACCUCUAAUAUAUAGAAGGUUAAAUAUAUAUAACCUGCUCCCUUAUUUCUCUCCCCAGGUUGGCCAAAAAAUUAAUGCGAUUAUGUGUCUCAUUUCGAGAAUAUUAAUUCCUUCCAUUUUAAUUUAUUGUGCUGUCCUCCUAAAUCUUUUUUUUUUUUUUAAAAUACUGCAUCCGUCCCAUCUUAUGACACCUUUUGCUUUUUAAUCCAGAAAAUUAAAGUCUCACCUUACUAUAGUUAAAAAGACAAUUUAACUUUAAAUACUUUCAGUUUCCACUUAAUACAAUAAUUUAUAACCAUACCAAAAAAAUUACCAUACCAAAAAAAUUAAGAUAAUUUUAAAAUCACAAAUAUUAAAAAUCUUCCUAUUUUUAAAAUACCAUGAAUACGAUGCAAGUUUAACGAUAUAAAAUGGAAGCAGUAAAAGUUCUUAAAUGGAAGGUGAAGAGUAUCUCUUUCCGAAUUUUAUAUGCAAAAGAGAAGCAGGUGAAAAGAUGGAAAGUUCAAAUUUGUGUACAAAAUAUUCAACAUAAUUAAAUAAGUUAAGAAUAAACUUAACUUUGUUAUUGCAUAUUACAAAUUUACAUAAAAAAUAAAAAAAAUUAAUAACCUAAAAUAACAUAUCAAGCUUACAAAAUAUUUCGUACCUACACAAAAACUUAAAAUAAUUCAAAAGACGGAUGCUCCAAUACUUUCAUUUUUCGAAACUCAAGGUGCAUGCCCUUUUUAUAUCCACUCUUAAUAAUACAUAUAGUCCAAUUACACUUGGGUGUAAAUUUAGUAUUUUAGUUUAAAAUUUCUCGGAGCAAUUCGUGUAUAAGUGAUUUUUGUUAAACCAAAGAAUAUGGUUCUCAGCUUUGCAUCCACUUCACUUUAAAGUUAAAUUUCUUCACCACACGAUCUUUGCCAUAUAUGCGUUCCCCUACCAGGAACCACCACGUUCAUUUUCCUGAUCCCCAAUAUCUUACAUCUUCAUUAUCAAAUUAACAAUAGUAUUCUUUUCUUGUUCUAGUCUUGGUCAGUCUUGACAAACAUGUAAAACUUCUUAUAAUCACAAACUUCAAAAUUUUCAUAAAAGUAAUUUCAUGCGGAAGAGAUAAAAUAGAUUCGAAUCUAACUAAACGGAGAAAAAUUGCCUCGCCGUAUAAAGAGUCCAGAAAAUCUUAGUUCUUACCGAUAUGAUAUAUUUCUCAUCAAACAAUCAAAAAUAUGCUUUAUAUAGCAAAUAAAUUAAAUUAUCCUCAAAGAAAUUGCAAUACGGAUGUGAUAAACUAAACCCCACAAUUGAACAAAAUAUCAAAGAGAUGUUAAGAAACAGGAACGCUAAAGCCCAGGUCAGAUUAGUUACACGAUCAUGGAUCUGUUUCCAUGGUUCAAAAGAGUACCCACCUAGUAGUAAUAAAACUGUAUUUUAACAAAUAUCCCUAACCAACAUCUCCUCCGAAGAACAAGAGUUGCCAACACAACUAGCAUAAGUAAAUCACUUAGCCACCACCCAAACCACCUUUUUUUAAAAAAAAAAAAACACACAGUAAAAUAGAAAAUUCUAACUAAAAAUAUUUACAAUUUUGUUCUGACAGAGAAAAAGCAUGCAGUGUGCAUGUUCUCUGUACGUACACAAGCGCAAGGUGGCAGAAUUAUUAGUGGCUGGGUUGUAGAUUUACUUCUUUACCCUUUGGAUUGAGUUGAUAUUACGUAAUUUACCUACCGCCCCAAGGAGAGCGCUGCUUCUGUAUCCAACCUCCAUGCAAAUCCUCCGCCGUCCAUUCUCCACACAUCGCACGGCAGAAUCAAUGAAUUCUUCUCCUUCCCGCAUCGAACCACCCUCACUUUGCAGGUGAACGCCGCCGUUGUUUUGCUCUCCGGCAGAGGCACAUCUUCCUUCAUCAUCAGCCAAACAACUACUUCCCCUGCAGGGGUUCCAUCACCUACCAGAUCUUUGUAGGCCAUGUUGGCCCACCUAACUCUGUUUAAACCGUCUGAUAUAAACCCUGGACAGGUGUCCUGCUCGAGAUUUAUCAAUUUCUCCUCAUCUGUACGUCCUAACCCAUACACUUCCACCCACGCGUCUGUUACGCUUUCCACUUUUACCCAUGACCCCACUACCCGUACUGACUGAGGAAACAUCACUACUGAACGAUCCAUACC
rnacentral:lncRNA from 1 species